GACUUGUCACAGGUGGCAACUGUCUGAGCCUGUGUAUUCUAUUCUUUGUGCCAGAAUUUUCUUACCACUGAUUACCAGGCACAUAAUCACUCUUGCCAUUUAUGACCUUUGGGAAAUGAAAAUUAAAAUGUUAUUAGUCCAUGUGGGUAGCAGUGGAAUUGGUCUGAUGUAAUGUUUUUAAAUUGUUUUUAUUUUUUGAAAUAAAUGAUUUUUACAUCUACUAAAAAGUAAAUUACAACUAUUAAAGGUUAUCUUAUUAAAAAGUAUUUCCCCUUCUCCAUUUCUUCUGUUCCCUUCCCCUGAGGCAAGGAUUCAUAGUACUGCAGUUUCUUGUUUUCGUUUCCCAGAAAACCUGUAAAUGAUGACAUGCUAUCAAAUGCUAUUUAAACUUAGCAAUUUGUUGCAGAAAUUAUGCCGUGUCAGCACAAAUACAAGUCCUCAUUCUUUUUCUAGAGGUUGUAGAGUAUUAUUUCAUUUUAUAGAUGUGCCAUAAUUUAUGUACUUAGUCAUUUGUUAAUAGGCAUUUUAUUGUUUCCGGUUUUUUGCUGCCUCAAACAAUGCUUUGAUGUGUAUAUAUAUGUAUAUAUAAAAUAUCAUCUUUGGGCACAAUACAGGUAUAUUCGAAUUUCCUGUUGGUGAAAUUGCUAAGUCCAAAUAUAUGUGCAUUUUUAAUUAUGAAAUGCAUUGCCAAAUGGCUCAGCGAAGAGAUUAUAUAAAUUAAUCAAUUACACUUCCACCAACAACAAUCAAGAUUACCUGUUUCUUCAUACUCUUGCCAACACCAUGUUUGAUUGAAUUUUUUUGAUCUUUGAAAUGUUAUAGAUGAAAAAUUGGGAGCUCUUUAUUACUUAAAUUUGAAUUUCUUCUACUGUGAGUGGAGAGGAAACUUUUCAUAUUGUGUUGUUUGUAUUUCUAACCAUAUCCUUUGCCCAUUUUCCAAUAUAUAGUUCUUCUCACUGUUUCGUAAGAUAUUUUGAUAUAUUAAGAGCUAUCAUAUACUGGAAAUAUGAUCUCCAGCUUUUAAUUUUAAUUUGACCUUGUAGAAUUAUUGCCUUCCAGAAUUAUGUUUUGUAGUCAAAUUUAUUAGUCCCUUUUUAAAAACUGUACUUCCAAACAGAGCACCGCUUGGAAUAACUAUUCUAAAAUAAUAAAGAUUAUUUUGUGAUUUCUUCCAGUGUUUUUAUGAUUUUAAUUUUUAUGGUUGUAUCUUUGAGCUAUCUGGACCUUAUUUUAUGACAGUGACAAAGGAAUCUUUAUUAGUCAGGAUUAAAGUAGUCCAUGAUAACAAACAACUCCCAAAUGUCAGUGGAAUAACACAUCAAAAAUACAUCUCUUGCUCAAACCAUCUGCUGAAGGUCUGCAAAAACAUUCCAAGAUAGCUAUCCUCAGUGAUCUAGGGAUGUUUCUGUCUUGAGCUCAACCAUCUCAGCAAGAGGCCUUGCAUUUGCUGUGGCAGGAGAAAACAGCUAGAGAAUCAAAGAGGAUUCCUCAAUGCCUCAGCCUAGAAGUGACAUGCAUCCCUUCUGCUUAUUGACCAUGUCCAAGUCACAUGGCCCAGCCCAAUUCAAGGAGGCUGGGACAUACAGAUUCCAGUAUGCCCAGGGGUGAAAGGAGAACCAGUGAUUAGUGAGCUCAUAAUGUUUACCAUAAUAUCUAUUUUAUGUUACUCUAGAUGGCUGCCAGGUCAUCUAACAUUACUUAUUGCAUAACCUAUUUUUUUCUCAUUGAUUUGGAAUGCUAUCUUGGUUAUACACUGAAAGCUUCUGUAUCUUUCCAUUUUCCCCUGAGAUCAUUGACUUUUCUAUAUAUUUUUAGACUAGUAAUAAAAUGUUUUAAUUAUUGUGGCUUUACAAUAUAUAUUACUUGGUAUAGUCCUGCUUUAUCAAGUUUUAUUUACAUUUAUAUUAAUUUUCAUUUGAAUUUCAGAAUCAAUUUAUAUUGUUCUCCUAAAAACCAUGUGUAUUUUUUAUUGGUAUUUCUUUAAGUGAUGAGAUUAAUGUUAUAACACUUUAUGUCUUUAGCAUACUACUUUUAUGCAAGCAGAAAAUAUGUCUUCAUUUAUAUUCAGGUUGUCUUUUGUAUUCCUUAGUAAUGUUUUAAGGUCUUUAUCAUAUAGAUCUUACAGUUAAAGUUAAGCUUCCGCUGAGUGUUACAUCACUUUGAUGUUUUAAGUGGAGCUUUUAUUUACAUUUCUAACCACCUUUUAUUAAAUAAAAGGAAACUAAUUUUUGACAUAAUAUUAUGUAUCCAUGUACUUCACCGAAUCUUUUAAAAAAUAGUUUCCAGGCCGGGCGUGGUGGCUCAUGUCUGUAAUCCCAGCACUUUGGGAGGCCGAGGCAGGCGGAUCACAAGGUCGGGAGAUGGAGACCAGCCUGGCUAACAUGGUGAAAUCCCGUCCCUACUAAAAAUACAAAAAAAAAAAAAAAAAUUAGCCAGGCGUGGUGGUGGGCGCCUGUAGUCCUAGCUACUCGGGAGGCUGAGGCAGGAGAAUGGAGUGAACCUGGGAGGCGGAGCUUGCAGUCAGCCGAGAUCGUGCCACUGCACUCCAGCCUGGGCAACAGAGCAAGACUCCAUCUCAAAAAAAUAAAAAAAAAAUUUAAAAAAAGUUUUCAUUUGAUUUUUUUCAUUUUAACUCAUACUCUCUGUAACAAUUACAGUGUCACCUCCUUAUUUCUAAAUUUUAUAUCUAUUUUUGUCUUUGAAUUUAAGUUUAUGUAUUUUGAUGACUUGGUAAAAUUCUCAUCCCUUUGCAGUUGGGCAAAAAUUAAUCAGUGUUGUAUAUGAUAUCAUUUUAUUAGAUUCUAAACUCUUUGUGAGUUAGAACUAUUUAAUUAAAUAAAAAUAGUUGACAUCUCUUAUAGGAAAAUCACUGUGUGAAGUCCCAAAUGAUAUAAAAAAAGAAAUAAAACAUAGUUCUUAUGCUCAUGAUUCUUACCUUUGAAACCCUCCCUCCUCAGCCCCACAAAGCCAGGCACAGUGGCUCAUGACUGUAAUCCUAAGGCUUUGAGGGGCUGAGGAUGGGAGGAUUACUUGAGCCCAGGAGUUCAAGGCUUCCAUGAGCUAUGAUCGCACCACAGCACUCCUGUCUGGGUCAAUGAAGCAAGACUGUGUCUCAAAAACCAACCAAACAAAAAACAACAGGGAGUGUCCAAAGGCUGUAAUACAAGGUCAAAUGUAGUAAAUGAUGUAAUUGGGAAUCGUAAGAAGUGUUUGGAAAUAUUAGAUUUUAAUUUGCCCAGUGGUGCCGUAGGUUGGAAUGGAGGGAAUGCAGGAAGAUGGGCAAGGCUUCACAGAGAAGGAAGCAUUUAAGUGAUAUGUUGAUGUUCAGAAACAAGAUAGCAUGUGAGCAGGGUGUAGUGACACGUACCUGUAGUCCCAGCUACUUGGAAGCCUGAAGCAGGAGGAUCACUUGAGCCCAGGAAGUUGAGGCUUCAGUGAGCUCUGAUAGUGCCACUGCAAGACAGAUUGUGGAUUGCAGAAAUGGCCAUUGCAUUCCUCAGGGGAAAAUCUAUACUCAUUUUUAAAGCUUAAUUUUUUUCAGCAUCUAGAAUAGGUGCACCCAUGAACAUUCAGUAUCUUCAGGAGACUAACCAUAUGGGAAUGGUUUACUAGUAACUCAUUUGUACUUGAGUAUCCAUUAUAUUGGAAACUAGGACCAUUUCUUUCUCAUUAAUUGAGAGUCAUGAUUUGUCUAUAAUGUCCUUUAUGAUGCAGAAUUUAUCUGAUACUUUGAGUUAAAUCAGGCUUGCUUUUUGGCUCAUAAGUAUUUAUGUAUAGACAGAAAUUGUGGCUUUUAUCUAUUUUUAUUAAGUAAAAUUGUGACUGAUUUUAUAGCAAUUAAGAUGAAUUUUUCUUUGCAGACAAAUUUUAUUGAAGGAAUAUUGACAAUCAACUUUCAUUGAAAGCAAUGGGUUUUGUGAUUUCAUGGAAUAAAUGCUCUGUUCUAAGAGUUAACUGACCUAUGUUUUUGUUUCAGGGUUUUGGCUAAAUAGCUGCACAUCUGUAGCACAAAGCCAUUUUUCCUCAGUUUCCUAUUGUGUAGAAAAAACAUUUGGGAUCACAAAAUUCCUAGGUUCCUUCCAUUCUGAAAAUUUUUACACUAAUUCCAACUUUGCCUUGAAUGUCUAAUGAUUUGCAUUUCUCUAUGUAAAGCACAUCUCCUGGCACCGAACUGAAAAUGAGAUUAGAAAACACCUAGUAGAGAGGAUAAAAGGUACAAGUCCUAAGCUUAUUUUGCAUUCCCCUUCUUCCUUUUUUCUCCCCUGAGAAGCAGGAUGUCAAGCUCCUUGGAAAACUAAUAUUUCAAAGGAAAUAUCAAUUUGCAACUGAAGUAUGGGAUUGAAUGAUUUCAUUGUCUCAAAAUGAUAUGGUGGUGAGGGUAACAUUCUAUAAUUUAAAUAUUCAAAGUUUUGAAAAUGUACAGAUUCUUUUAGUAAUUCUUCCCCAGAAAUACUAGUAUUUACUAGUAGUAUUUUUUAAAAGCAAGUCUUCUUUGCAAGAUAUAAUCAGUAUUGAAUCCAUAAAACAGAAUAUUUUGGAAGUAUGGCUUUAACACCAUGGCAUAAUUAUAGCUGAUUAUGACCAGAGUUUUGAAUUCAAGUAACAUUAACACACCACAAUUAUUGAAGUUGUAUGUAUCCAGAUUAGCAAAAUGAGCAAUAUUUUUCUCUCAACCCUUAAUUCCUACAUGUUAGUCCUAUUUCCUCUGAUAUUUUCAGGAGUCCUCUUUGCUUUCAGUAGGUAUUCAAAUGAUGACUCUUUCAGUUCUCCAUAUAGAAGACAGAAAUUAGUCUUAUUCUCAAGCUCUAACAAACCUUCCCAAAACCCAGUGACAUAAAACAAUAAACAUUUGUUAUUGCUAAUGAGUUUGCAGGUCAGCUGAGUGGUUCUGGGUUCAUGUAUGUGUCUGUGGUCAGCUGUGGGUUGAUGAAGUGGCUCUGCUGAUUUGGGCUGGGGUCUCUCACAUGUUUCGAGGUCAUCUGGCUCUAGACUAGUCUAGAGUUGUCCCUACUCAUCUCCGCGUGUUUUGUUCAGCUCUCCCUUAAAAUCAGCACUCUUCUGGUUUCUCCACCCUGGGGAUAUCCUCACAGUGAAAGCAGAACAGUAAGAGACAGAGUGGAAACACACAAGGCCUCUUGAGGCCUAGACUUGGAACAGGCACUCCAUCAAUUACGCCACAUGCUUUCGCCCAAAGCAAGUCUCAAGGUCAAGCCAGUUUUCCCCCGAUUUAGCAGUAGGGAAAUAGAAGGAGCUACAGUCAUGUUGCAAAAGGAUGUGGAUACAGGGAAGGUGAAGAAUUGUGGCCACUUUUGCAAUCAAUCUACCCCACUUUCCUUCUGAGAAGCUGGUUGUUUCCAGUGAAAUCAAAGCCAGCUGAAACCUGGACAAUCAAGUAGCCAAAAACCUUCCCUGUUAGACUUCAGCAUAUUGAAUUUGGCUUGUACCAAUUUACAGAGCCAGUUGUUAAACACAGCUAUUAAACUACAUAAACUUCAAUCUAAAUACAUUAUAUUGAAAAAAGAUGAUCAUGUUAAUACUGUCACUUCCUACUUUUUAUUAUUAUCCAUGUUCUCAAAGUUAUUUAUAAUCAUUAUAUCCAAAUGGUAGGAAUGCUAUAUAAUGAUGCUACUGACAUCUCUGCCCAAAUCUGUGCUCAGUGACACCAUGUUGAUAGAUUGAAAUUGGCCAUGAGAGUAUUUACACAAGAUAAAUUGACAAACACUACUAAUUAGGGCUUUUUUUCUUCCUUUUUUUUUUUGAUAGCUGCUUGUUAACAUUUACCAGCCCAUCAUUGCCUGUAUGUGUGAUGGAGGAUUUGAAGGCCCAAGUCAAGUCAUUCCUGCAUUUUAUAGCAUGAGUUACAGAUUUACUUUAUUGACUUUUAUGUGUUCUAUGGCUUUGAUGGAAGAAGGAAAAUAUGUGGAUAGAGUAAUUGAAGAAACGAAAUUGCUUAAAGCUACAUUUUAAAAUCAGUAAUGACCAUAGUGAUAAAAGCUGUUUCUCUCUUUCUUUAGUAAACUUUACUGGAUGUAAUGAAAACAAAUUUAUUCAACUUACUAGUGUCAGUGUACAAGAAUAACCUUAAGGAAAAAUGGAAGAACAUGCAGGUGAAACAUUUAUAAGGAAUCAAAAUGCUACUCAUUAUGCAAAAUGCCUGCAGAAAUAUCUCUAUCAGAAGCAACUAAAACGUAUACAGUUGACCCAGACGGAGAACAAGGGCCCCUUCUCAGGUAUUAGAAAUGGUCUAUAUAUUGAUAGGGGUUACAUGGGUCUAUGCAUCUGUCAAACUCAGCAAAUUAUUUAAGGUCUGUAUGUGAUUUCACUGUCUAUGAAUUAUACCUCAAUAAAAACGUAUAACGUUUAUCUUAUGAAAUUUGAGUGCAGCUGAUAUUAGAUACAGCAAUGUGGGCUGUCAAGAAUACUUUAAUGGAGAUGUGCAUUUGGAAAUAAAUGCCCUUCACCUGGUAUAUGGAGAUAUUUUUAUGGGAGGGAAUAGCCAUUGAGUAGGCUGGGUUCCAGUGACUUCAUGGUCAUGCCAGUCAGCGUUACCAGCAAUCCAGAUGGCAGAGGGGGCUGUAGCAUAGACUCUGAAUUAUUGAUUCUGGGUUCAAAUCUGAGCCUAGUUCCCAGUGACCCAGCACAUGUGAUUUGACCUUUCUGUGCCUUAGUUUCCCUAUUUAUAAAUGGCAAUGAUAAAAAUAUUUCCUUCACAGGAACGUUUGGAAGACCAAAUGAUUUAAUAUUUGUGAAGAACUUAGUAUAGUUCUGGCACAGAGCAAACACUAUAUACAUAUUUAUCAGAUAAACAAAGUGACUCCAAUAAGCUAGCUGCAACCACCGCAACUGUCAUCUACAACUUAACCAGUUUUAUUUUUUUACAGCACUUAUCCUUCUUUAAGAUGAUCUUAUUUUGAAUAAUUUAUUUGCAUGUCAUUGUCAGUUGCCCACCCACCUACUUCAUAAGCCCCAAGACAUAAGGGACUGAUCUGUUUUGUUCUUCCCUGUACUCCUAGAACAGUGCCUGACACACAAUAGAUCAUAACACACUGAAUGAAUGAAUAAAGGAAUGAUGUUUAAAGCAAAACAGGUUCUUAAAGAAGUGAGUCCUAUGAUAUUAAUGUUCCACCAAAAUCAUUUCCUUAAUUACUGGUUAAAUUGUUAUGUGCCUAUCCUGUGUGCUGAGUGGUACGUAAACAGCUUACUGGGGAUGAGGUAUCUGGAUUGAUAUGACCAAGGAAAUUUCUUGAGUGAGAAGGAGCCAAUAAUUGGAAAACCCCUGAUUACCUAAUGCUUGUAGCAUGUCCCAGGAUCUGAAGAAUUUUUUAUAUAUCAAUAUUUUGAAUAAAAUUCGUAUUUGUCCUCAGAGAGACAAAAACUUCUGCUUUUAAGAAUACUCAGAAGCUAAACUAAGACAUUCAUUAUACCAUCUAAUUGUGCUAGAUUGACAUUUUUUCCUUCAGGAUAAUAAAUCAAGUAAGAUUAAGCAAUUUAUACUAUGACUGGGAGGAAACUCAAAUUAACAACAGACUAGUUCUGCCCCUUAAAUUUGGCAGAUGCUCUAUUUCCAUUAAUCUCUGCACCUGGCUUCAAAUUUCAUGAGGCAGGGUCCUAAUCACACUCAUCUAUGCAUCGCUCAGAGCUUCCUAGAGUGUCUUGUAUUUAAUACACACAAUAAAUAGAUGAGCAAGCUAAAUGAAUUGAAUUUGAAAGUGUAAAUACAUGCACAAGAGCUUGAGACCAAGGAUUUAAAGUAAGGCUUUGUGUUUUACCAAGACUGCCCUCUGGAAGAACAGAGGGGUCACCCACACAAUCUGGAAAUUAGGCUCACUCCUUCCAUUUUACAAUUCCUUAUUGGCCUUGGUAGGCCUACAGGUUAUUCUCAAAAACCUGACACACACACAGAAACACUCCCACACCCCUCCUCCCCCACCACACACAGUGUAGUGAUGGAUUUACUUCAAGGACCAUGAGUUACGAGAUAAGCCACACAGAGCAGAGCAAGAGUGUACAAUACUGAAAAAUAUGUUGUGGUGAAGAUUCAUGUUUGAGUCAUAGGACGGGAAUCCAGAUGUUUAUUUUUAGGGGUCUCAGAUAACAUAUCUUUACAUUUGAAAGGCAACAGGGUAUUUGUUUGGUUACACUAUAAGCAUGUAUUAUUUUGUUGAGACUAAAUUACUUUUUUUUAUUUCUAUGAUGCAGCACUCUUUUAGUAUGGAGAGGCUCAUUUGGCAAUUCCCUCACCUUUUUAGUAGAAAUGAAUUUUGAUACAAGACCAAAUGAGUGUCUCUUUCUUUUCACUAACUCCCAUGACCUGCAUUCUGAGUUGUUGUUGUUUUUUAACUUGAGAUACAUGAGUCCUCUGUGCUGCAUUCUGUCAUCCCCAAUAUCAUUUCUACAGAAUGAAUUGAGCAAAGAUGGCCUAGCAUUCGUAUUUAGCAAGCAAAUACUAUGUGUUUAGCAAGUCUUCCACCAAAAUACUUAGAAAGAUCAUGUUAACAGUAGAGGGUGGUGACUGCAAGUUGUCCAGGUUCUUGGCGUUUUGCACAAAGAAUUGGACAAAACGUCUAGCAGAGCAAAGAAAGAAUGAAGGAACAAAGAAGGAAAGCAGGGAUUUAUUGAAAACAAAAGUACACUCCACAGUGUGGGAAUGGACUCGAGCCACAAGCAGCAGCUCAGGGGCCCAAAUACAGAAUCUUCUUGGGUUCAAAUACCCCCUAGAAGUUUCCCAUUGGCCACUUCGUGCUCACCUCAUGUAACUGAAGCAGUAGCCUGCAAUCGGUCUGAUUGGUUGCAGAAAACAGCCAACCAGAGGCUGAAGUGAAGUUACAAAGGUCACACUCCCGUGCAAACAUCUGAUUGGUUGCUUUUUGCAACCAAUGACCUGCAUUCUGAGGUGUUUUUUUUUUUUUUUUAACUUAAGAUACAUGAAUCCUCUGGGCUGCGUUCUGUCCUUGGCUGCUUUUUGCAACCAAUCAGAGGCUAGGGUGAAGUUACAAAGUUGCCAAGGAAGACUGGACCUGCAAUCAGUCUGAUUUAUUGCAGACAGCCAACUUCCCAUCUGCCGCAUAGAAAAGGUCAACUUAGGCGUGGAAAGUUAGGGUUUUCCUUUCAAUUUAGUUCCAGGAAAUUGGCAUGAAACAGUCUUAGGUUCCCUGCCUCCAGGCCCUAUUCUCCUGCCUCAAUCAUGUUAUCUAUGGCAGUGCUUCUAAAACUAUAAAGUGCAUCCACAUCCCUGUAUGUGCCAGUGUGGAUUCACCAGGUCUAGGGGGCACCUGAGAUUCUGUAUCUCAAACUGGGCCCUGGGUGUUGCUAUAGACCACACUCUGAGUAGCAAAGUUCUAAAGGGAAAUAUAUUUAUCACCCUUCCACAAACGGAUUCUAUUUAAAAAAAGAAAAAAGAAAGAAAAGAAAAAAAUCAUGUUAUCUUCCUUAAAACAUAGUUUCAUAUUCUUUGCCUCUAAAUUAGGUGACUGUAAACUCCCUAGGCAAUGAGGAGAUUCCCAGCUAUGGUGGUCUAAGUGCAAAACAAUUUUUUCCACACCAUCAGCAGCAAUGUCCACGCUCAUUAAGGCUGUAUUUCUGGAUUUUCCUUUGCAAUGGGCUUCCAUGUUAGAUCUUCACUACAUCCAAUUUCAGAAAAAAAAAAAAGUUUUGAGAAAAGUUCUCCAUGUGAGAGCACUUCUGUGCUGUUUUUGAAACUUCCUUCUCAUUUUUCUGGUAUCUUCCAGCAGGCAAUGGGGAAACCUGCUUAAGCUCACCCCUCUUUCACUUUGAGCUUUAUGGUGACACUUUUCUGGCACAUAUGUCAGCAGAGCCCACUUUUUAGCUGAGUUGAAAGGAACAUGGGAAGCACUGCUUCAUUUCUGCCUGGAAAAGCCAGGGACACGAUGAAAUGUGAUUUUGUUUCCUGAAACGUGGAAGGAUGGUUGGCGAAAAAUGAAACAUAGCACAGCCAUCGCUCUUCACUAAGGGCCAACUCCUUGAGAAAUGUGCUACUUUAACUCUCAGUAGUUUCUGGACAAGGCCUAAAAUCAAUCAUAAUCCUAAAAGAAAAAAAAGUUCUAUUUCUUUUCCAGUGGUAUUUCAGAGAAUAGGAACUCUGUUACAAUUUGAUUUGCACUCUGUUCGCAGAAAACCGACCACGCGCACUGGUUUUGCUUAUUGGUAUGUUUGGAUACACACGUGCGUGCACCUGCUCAGACCACAAAAUUGAAGCUCAGAAUGGAAAACAGAGGUUUCCAUUGAGGUUUCAGCUAAAAUAAAUUUAAAUUUAAGCCUUUCUUUGCCAGUUUGUGCUUCAAAACUUCAGAAAGUGAGGAGAUGCAGGUCAAAGGGCACAGAGCAGCAGAUAUGUAGGAUGAGCAAGUCUAGAAAUCUCAUUUACAACAUGAGGACUGUAGUUAGUAAAACUGUAUGGUAUUGGGGUUCUUUGUUAAAUAAGUAGGUUUUAGCUGCUCUUGUCACAGACUCACAAAGUAACCAUGUGAGAUGAUAGAUAUGUUAAUUUGCUUUAAAGUAGCAAUGAUUUUACUGUCUGUGUAUCUCAUAACAUCGUGUCAUAAACCUCAAAUAUAUACAAUAAAAUAUAUUUAAAAAUACAUAUAGGCUGAGUUUUUCAGGACAUAGAAAAGAAAUAUGAACUGGAUGAGAAUGAGAAACUCACAUAAAAUGGAAGAAGAUUACCAUUAUUAUUAUUACUUUGAGACAGAGUCUCGUUGUGUCACCCAGGCUGGAGUGCAGUGUCGUGAUCUCAGCUCACUGCAGCCUCCUGAGCUCAAGGGAUUCUCUGACCUCAGCCUCUCAAGUAACUGGGAUUACAGGCACCUGCUACCACAUCUGGGUAAUCUUGUAUUUUUGGUAGAGAUGGGGUUUCACCAUGUUGGACGGGCUGGUCUCGAACUGCUGACCUCAGGUGAUCUGCCCGUCUCAGCCUCCCAAAGUGCUGAGAUUACACGCAUGAGCCACUGUGCCCAGCCAGAAAAAGAUUAUUAUAUCAAGAUGGUUUUAUAAUAAUGAAGAAUAGAAAUCUGGACAUACUCAGAUUUGUAGCAUAGACUGAUGGACAGUCCUGUUUGCUCUCCCAAGCAGAAAAUCUAAAAGGAAACCUGGCUUCUAAGGGUUUGGAGAUUCAAACCUUGAAUUCUGAUUCUCUAAUUACAAGUGGACUUCAGUGAGUUAAAAAUACAGACAUCAGCUGGAACUUGAAUGGAGGGUAGGGGCUUUGCUGGGAGUUGCCUGGUGAGGGAAAUAUUUUAAAAAGACUUUGAGUAAAACUGUUGUAAGACCAACAGGUUCGUAUGCCCAUUUGCACAGUAACAAAUCAUUUGCAGCAGAGAAAGAGUUUAAUCAUUGCAAGUGCAGAUCAGGGAGAUAAGAGGAAACCCUCAAAUCCAUCUCCCUGAAGGAGUUCUGGGCUGGGAUUUUUAAAGGGAUUAUGAAGAGUGAGGGGCUGGAAAUUUGGGAUUCUUGAUUGGUUGGAGUAAGGAGGAUAAAAUCAUCAGGUUUUGGAAAAUGAAUUAUUUGGUAAGUCAGCUUCUCUUGGAGCCCUAUAGACCAGCUGGCGUCAGUAGUUUUACUGGUAUGCAGGACCUGAAAGAAUAUCUUAAAGGAAAAACUGAAUGUUUCAUAAUGUUCAAGUUGUUAUCUGUACAGCAGUUGAGGGAAACUAUAUCUUGUGUAACAGGGUCUAUGUGAUUCUAGAACAAUACACAAACAUCUAUGAGGAAGCAGGUCAGAGGAAGCUGACCUAAUAAUUUGUGCUGAAUGUGUGGCAAGUUUGGUUUAUUUUCUUCCCCCACAACCUUCUUCCCUGAUUAAUUUUAUAAAGUUUAUAGGGAUGGUUUCAAAACAAAGGAAAACAGAUACAACCAGGUUGGGUCCAAAUGAUUCAGGACAUUCUCAGCAACAACAGCCCCCAUGACUUGAGUCUCUCUAAUAAAAAAAGAAAAGAAAAAAUCUGAGGACAACUGUAAGGGUAGUCAGGGUUUUCAUUUUUUUUUUUUCUGUGACAGAGUCUCACUCUGUUGCCCAGGCUGGAAUCCAGUGGUGCAAUCUCGGCUCACUGCAACCUCUGUCUCCCGGGUUCAAGCGAUUCACCUGCCUCAGCCUCUCGAGUAGCUGGGACUACAGGUGUGUGCCACCACACUCAGCUAAUUUUUGAAUUUUUAGUAGAGAUGUGGUUUUGCCAUGUUGGCCAGGCUGGUCUCCAACUCCUGACCUCAGGUGAUCCACCCACCUUGGCCUCCCAAAGUGUUGGGAUUAUAGGCAUGAGCCACCAUGCCCAGCCAACUGUAAGGGUUUUUAUAGAUGUGUUUACAUAAAAGAAAAUAGCACAGGGAAAAAGUGUGCAGUGUCAAUAAAUGGGACAGGAUUAUUCACUCCUGGUUUGUAUUCCCCAUCCCAAGAGAACGACGAUUUCACUGCAAAGGCAUUUUAAGAGCCAUGUAGAGGAAUUGUGGCCGAUUGAAUAGGAAGUUCUACCUGGUUCAAAUGAGCUCACAUCUCUCGGGGAAGCUGGUGACUGUGGACCCAGGUAGUCCAGGUCAUCUUUGAGAAAUGAUGGAGAACGUAGUGUCAGAGGUGAGGGGAUUCUGUGGCCUCCAUCUAGCAUUCUGCUUGGCAUCUCCUACAAAAACUUCUCAGAAAUAUGAGAAAUACAGGGGAAAAUGUUUGAAUGCUAUCCCAUGGCAGUUAAUAUGGAAUCUGUUGUGGUUUGUGGAUUAGUUGUGUGAUUCAGGUGCCAUUGGAGGUUUCUGGAAGAGAAGGGCCUUUUAAAAGCCUCUGAGAGGCCAGUAUUAUCCCCAGAAAGAAUGAGAGGAGGUUUAUUGUAUGCACGCAAGCAAUAUCUAUGAAUCCCUUUACUUGCUUGUAUCUUACCCUCUUCUGCCCUAGGAACAGGCUCGUGGGAGAAGUGACCCAACUACACCUUCCUGCCAGUCUCGAGCAUUUUAGGUGUUAACCACCAAAGUGGCUGACACAUGUACUUACUCACUUGGUUUUAAUUUGCAGAGUAGGAACAAUGGACUUAGAUUUUUUUAAACUUCUCUAACUCUUUAAUCACUGAAUGAAAUAACUCAUGUUGGAAAGACAAAGAAUUUCCUGGUAGACCUUUUGAACAAGAGCUCAUAGAUUUCAGUGCCAUUGGUAGCCAAUGUGAUACCAUGGCAUUGUUGUCUAUUGUGUUUUUUAGGUUGUGACCUAUUUGUGGGUUAUGAAUUCAAUUUUGUGGAUUGGGACCUGCAAUUUAAAAAAAAGAUGAAGGAAAUAGAACAUAAUAGAGUCAAGCGCCAUGCAAUACAAAAUGUCAGAGGUAUCCCAACUAACAAGGGUGAAUGAUGGUUUGUAAAACUUCAGUUACGUAUGUAUACGUGCAUGUAUGAGUGUUCUGAGUGAUAAUAUAAAAUGCAUUUUUUACUGAGGAGCAUGAUCAGAACAAUAUCAAACCAUUGACCAACAUCAACAUAUUUCUAUUAGAAAGAUAUUUAAAUGAAGUUUGUAUAGUAAAAGGAAGAAAGAACACUAAAAUAUUUGCAAAUCUACCCUGCACAGUCACUUUAAUCUUUUCAGCUUCUAAUUGAGAUAGAUGCUCUAUAUUACCCUGUUUAUUAAUAAACCCUCAAAGAUCUAAAAAGGUGAAUUAACUCUCAGGGGCUUUAACAGAUAAAUUAACUUGAACCUGCCUAGUUGUCUGUUUCAGAGCCAGAAUUCGAACAUGGAUUCAUUUUAGCCGCAGUAAGCACCUGUGUUAGUCAGAAUUCAGUGUGGGUAACAGAAGGGCAGGCCAGAUUGGAGAGAGCUGGAAACAUAUUCCAGGUAGAGACAAUGGUGCCUGAUGAAGCCUAAGGGUCUGAAUGCUGGAGUAAAGCCAGGGGUUAUUUACACUGUGACUGGGUGUGAAUCUACAGAUAGAUCUGAAACUAGAAGAUAAGCCCAUGAAGGAAAUGGGAAAAUGUGCCCUGAUUUUGAGUUACAUUAGCAAAAAAAAUCAAAGCUGAGUCCAAGAUGGAAGAACAUCUACAUAAUUAGAGAGGACAGAAGUGAUCACGAAGACCUAGGGGACAGGGAGAGGCCUCAGGUAAUGCAAAAUCUGUACAUAAUGAUUGAGGUCAGGAGAACAGAUGCUCUUCCCGGGUCAGUUUUAAGGCUGAAAUGUUUCAGGAAAACUGGGAACAAAGCAUGGUUGGAAAUAGCAGGCUAAGCUGAUGCAUCAGGAGACUGCAGAUCUCAGUGUUACCUUGCCUGGGAACAGGAUGGGCCCCAAGUAUGGCUGAGAAUGCAAGUCUCAUGGGUAUAUGUUUAAUGAACCUAGUUGGGAGAUGUUAGGAGGAAGACUGGUUCUGAUGUGAAAGUUUCCUUCCAAAGAAUAGGCCAACCUAACUGCAGCAGUGCUGAUUAUGAUGGAAAUUUCCUAUUUUGAUUCUUCAUCAAAAGAAAGAAGAGCCGGUACCAUGGUUCUUGCCUGUAAUCCCAGCACUUUGGGAGGCCAAGGUGGGAGGAUCACUUGAGGCCAGGAGUUUGAUACCAGCCCCUAUAGGAAACAUAACAAGACCCCAUCUCUACUAAAAAUUAAAAAAUUAGCCUGGCAUGGUGGCUAUGUGUCUUUAGUCCUAGCUACUCAGGAGGCUGAGGCAGGAGGCUCUCUUGAGCCCAGAAGUAGGAGACAGCAGUGAGCUAUGAUCACACCACUUGCGCUCUAGCCUGGGUGACAGAGCAAGACCAUGUCUCAAAAAAAAGAAGAAAAAGGAGAAAUUAAAAAGUUUUUCCUUAUGGUUUAUCUUUAGUAGUUUGACGUAUUAAAGAGGUUUAUAUUUUAUUAUUAUAUAUGCAUUAAUAUAUAAUCAGAUAUUAAUUAAAUAUGUAUUAGUAUAUUAUACAUUAACAAACUUACAUUGUCAUCUUCUUCAACUAAUUCUAAGCCUCAAACGAAGUGUAAAAGAAAACUGAAGCAUCAAAAAAUUAGUCAGCUUCAGGCACUAUCCCAAAUGUUGAAGUUUUCCAUGUAAAUAAAUAAAACCUCUAAAAUUAACAAGAGGCUAUUUUCACUGUUGCCUGUUGGACACAAGCCUUAAUUAUGACAGUGAUCUGAAUAGCCAAGUUACACUGUAAGGCUGUUUCCCUGAAUGGAAACACCAACCUUUUUUGCUUUUUUGAAAAAGAAGCAGAAACAGAAGCAGAAGGAGAGGGAGAGGGAAAAGAAUUCUUUCGGACAAAAUGUAUCAAAUGUUUGACUUCACUCCAGAGGCAAUUUUUAAAUACCAAAAAUUGUUUCACAUCUAUUCCCAAUAAGGUUUGCCACCAAAGGAGUUUGCUCUAAAUUUGUGACUGGAUGUUUGGUUUUCAGAGGUUUCAGGAUUUCAGAAUCAUGGUAAGGGAUUAUAGACAUGUAUUUGGUAUGUGCAAUAUUGGGGGACUUGAAUAUUAAGUCUGAUUGGGAACAUCUCUGGGUUUCUGUAUGUGUACACAUUCUACACAAUAGUGUAAAGUUUUCUAGAAAAUUUAGUGUCAGCAAAAAUUACGCUGGGGUCUGAGUUUUUAUGUGAGAAUCUUAUAAAGAUCAAAAUAUUAGCUAAAAUUUAAAAUUUGAGUUGAAAGGGCUUGAAUGCUGUAUUAGUCUGCUUGGGCUGCCAUAAUAAAAUGCUGUAGAUUAGGUGGCUUAAACAACAAACAUUUCAGUUUGGAAGGCUGGGAAGUCCACUAUCUGGGUGCUGGCAAGGUAGGUUUCAGAACAUUCCUUCUUUUGGCUUGUCGGCAACCACCAUGUCACUGUGUGCUCAGAUGACCUCUUCUUUGUAUGUGGUGGUGGGGGUGGGAGCUGGGAGGUCUCUCUAAUAUCUCUGUUGUGGGAUUUUUCCUUAGUUCAGCUGAAGACAGGGGUCCUUAUCACAUGGCCACGAAAAAUCUGGCUUGCAGACAAUCUGAAGCGUGAGGAGGGCCGGGUUUAUUGGGUGAAAGAGGGAAACAGGGACGCUCCGCAAGGCCAGAAUCCCUGCUACAGCGCUUCCUGCCUGAAGAUUGAAUCCCAGGUUCCACCCAGGAAUAGGAGGGGCCAGGCUUCCCCCGCUGCAAACAGCACCAACUCCCGUGGCUCCAUGCCAGUGCGCAAUCCUCCCAGUGUGCAGGCUGGUUGGAGUUUUUCCAAGGACCUCUUCCCACCUGGCUGUCUCAUCUCAUUUUGUAAGGACAUAAAUCCAAUCCUAUCCUAUCCUAUUCUAUCCGAGCCCCACCCUUAUGACCUUAUUUAACCUUAAUUACUUCUUUCUAGACCCUAUCUCCAACUACUACUGCUUUAACAUGUGAAUCUGGGAGUGGGGGAGAAAAUUCUAUCCUUAGCAGAUGCUAAAACUCAGGACUUGAAACUGCUUUACCAAAUGAUUAUGUGCUGUGGUCUGAAGCAGUAUUAUUUUUUAACCCAGUGUUUUUCAUUCCCAUGUUUUUUUCUUUUCUAAGAAAUUAUUUUCUUCAGGAUCAAAGCGACAGAAACUUAGAAGUGGCAUUUGAAGUUGCCAACAUUAAACCUUUGAUCAGUCCGGCCUAGUCACCAGCCAAACAAGGAGGAGAGAGAUUGUUGCUCAUCCAUCUAAAUUCACAGCUCAAAGGUGCAGAAAUCCAGCUGGAGUAGAAAACAUUUCCUGUACUGAGUUAAAUUUAACUGAACUCCAUGCCUGGAUGAUUUCUGCCAGUGGCGCCCGUGGGAUUGUGUGACCCCCUCUGGCUUUGCUAUCUGCAGGUUUCUUGAUCACACGUGGUAUCCAUUUAUCAGUCCUGGCUGGAGCCAGUUUCCCAGAGCAAACAGAUUCAGGAUGAUCCGCACUAUCAGCAGAGGUUCACCAAAGUUCUAAUUAGACCAGGAAGGUUUAUUAAUACAAUUAGCUUUAGGGAGGACAGUUACAACAGGAAGCAAAUUCCUUGCAGCAUCCGGUCCUCUCUUAGCCAUGUUAGUUGAUUAAGAGGAAAGCCUCAGACUUCAAAAUCAAGAGCAAAAUUGAAAAUGUCUGGGAAUUUAACUUUCCAGUAACUGUAAAGUUUUAACCGUGAACUUUCUAUUAACUGUAAAGUAUAAUUUAACUUUCUAAUAACUGUAGAACAAGAAAGGAUUCUAGAAAAAUCUUGGGAAAAAUUAUUAAUGAGGGGCCUGAGGGCUUAAGUUUGGGGAGAGUGGGCUUCUUUUGAUUUGCAAUGUGGAAGCUGCUUUUGCUCAUGCUUUCUGAAGAUCUUCCAUAAAGAGGGGAACUGCGAAUUGCAAAGUAAAGCCCCUGCUGUGGAGUGAAUUUGCUUAUGUCACACUCUAUCUGAGUGACCCUUAGGAAGUUCCCUAAUCUCCCAUGCCUGUUUUCUGGGUUGUAAAUGCAAGUAAUAAAAGUAACUGCCUCAUAGGUUUGUUGCAAGUAUUAAAUAAGAAAAUUUAUAACGGACAUAAAAGGGAGUUGGCAUAGAGUUAAUGUUCAGUAAAUGACGAGUGUAUCCUUCUCCUCUUCCUCCUCCUCCUCCUCAUCCUCCUCCUCCUCCUCCUCAUGGACAAUUGGUUUCAUCCAUCUGAUAAUGAAACACUGUGAAUUGCCCCCAGGAGUGCUUUAAAUGAUGUCUACUUGUACAUAGAUGCUCAAAAUUUUUGAAUUCUAUCAGUAUGACAUCUAGAAGAGUCAUGGGUAGCACCAAGGGAUAAGCUCUUUCUCUGGAAGAAUAGUACAUUUCUUUCUAUUAAAAAAACAUGAAUUAGUCAACCCAUUAUGUGUUUGUUUUUUGCCCUUAUUACCAGAAAACUACAAGAUGAUUUUCAAUCACAGUGAGGAUUAGUUUCUGUGACUAACAUGUUUCUUUCUUUCUCAUUCUUAUGAGUUUGAUUUCCCAUUCUUAAGCAAAAAAGCACAAUAGGUGUGAUUGUGUGUACCAUUUUUUUGAAUGAGGCAGGAAGAUAGUUGACAGUUGGUUAAUUCAUGUAUUCAUUCUAGUUAGUUUUGUGUCUGCACUUCCUUCUGGAAUUUAAACAUUUUUGAAAAUACGGUCUCUGUUCUAUUUUUUAUUUUUCAUUCCUAUAAAGUUUUAUUGAAUGCCUAUAUGUGUCCAACAUACCAGAUCCUAAGGUUUCACAUAAGUCAGAUUGGUCUCUGUCCUUAAUGGUGUUAUCAUAUAGCAGAGGACAAAAUCAUAAAAUAAUAAUAAUAUAUGAAAGAUAUGUAAGCAUGUAAGGUCAAGAGGGUGGAAAUUUCUUCUGUCUUAUUCACUGCUUUAUUGCUACUCCUAAGGGAGUGCCUAAAACAGAUUAGAUGUCCAAUUAGUAUUUAUUCUAUCAAUUACUGUCCCAGGCAUUUUACACAUAUUAGAAAUAUGAGAACUAAUGUUUAUUGAGCAAUUCAUAUCUGUAUACCAAACAUUCUACUGGUAUUUCAACACCGUGAACUAGAAACAAUUACUAAGGUUAUGAAAUAGGAGUUAACACUGAAGUCUAGAGAGGUUAUGCAAUUUGCUUAUGGUCACACAGCUAAUAAGAGCUAGAUAGAGGUCUCCUCUAGAGCUCAUGAGCUUAACCAGUACCUCCAUCCAUGACACUGUCUUACCCUAAUACUGGAGGAGUUGAGGAAUAGGCUUCCCCACAUCGUGGAUAAUAAAGCUAAAAUUUUCUAAGGCAGGGCCUGGUUAAUGGAGGGCACAUGCAAGCUGACACUCUCAGGACUCCAAAGUGUACACACUUUUCACUAUACCACACAGCCUCUCAUGCACGUAGACAAUCACACACAUACAAACAUUCUAACAAAAGUUUGUAGGAAUUGUGCUGGGACCAUGCUGUAUAGCUGUAGUCCAUGGUGUAUAACAUGCCUGCAGUAGAAUAUCUAUUGAAAUGAAUAGAGCUACAAGGUUAAUCCAUUGGAGAAGGAAUUUGGUGUGAUACUUACAAGCUCCCCAGUGGCAUGAAUGUGUCACUCUUCACAACACUGCCUAGUUCUUGUGUAGAUACACUAUAAGCAUUAAGACAAUUUAUCCUUACUGUACAAGACUAUGGAGUGUAGAUGUGGUAGACCUAAUUCUGAGAUGGCCUUCAGAAUCCCAUCCGUUGGUGUCCAUGCCCUGCCCAUUAAGUGUGGGCAAAACCUAAGGUUUGCUUCUACCCGGUAGAAUAUGACAAAGGUGAAGGGAUUUUGCAGCUAUAAUUAAAGUGUCAUGUCAGUUGAUUUUGAGUAAAUCAAAAGGGAGAUUAUCCUGGGUGAGCCUGACUUAAUUAGGUGAAAGCCCUUAAAAAAGGAACUGGGCCCUUCUGGAGGCAAUAGACUGUUCUUGAAGACUUGCUGAAGUUAGUGGCUCUUUUGGAGAAGCCUACAUAUCAAGGAAAUAUGACAGCCUCCGGAACUGCAAGCAGCCUCUGGUAUCCAAGGCCCCAACAAAAAGCCAGAGCCCUCAGUCACAGAGCUCAAGAAAUUGAAUUCUACCGUCAACCUGAAUGAGCUUGGAAGUGGAUUAUUCCCCAAUCAAGCCUCCAGACUUUAACCCAAUCUGGCUGAUCCCUUAGUUACAGUCUUAUGAGACAUUGACAGGAGAGUGGGUUUAGACGUUAAUAUCCCAUUUCCGUUACCAGAUAUACUGCAAAGACAGAGAUCAUUUUUUCAAGGAAGUUGUGACUAAGCACCAUUUGAAAUAUCACUAUUGUGGUUUUGACUGACCCCAGAUGAAAAGAUGAACUCUCCUAAGAUUUCAGGCAUCUUUAAGGAUAGAUUGUAAUGAUGCCAGGUGAUUCCUAGAUGAGAUACACUAAAAUUCCUCUCCACACAAGGAAAAUAACAGUGUGUUCUCUACUUCUCUUGGAAGUUCCAUCAUUAAGGAUAUUGAAUAUGACCAGGCACAGUGGCUCACGCCUGUAAUCCCAGCACUUUGGGAGGCUGAGGCAGGUGGAUCAGUUGAGGCCAGGAGUUCGAGACCAGCCUGGCCAUGACGAAACCUGUCUCUACUAAAAACACAAAAAAGUUAGCCAGGCAUGGUUAAUUAGCCCUGCUACUUGAGAGGCUGAGGCACAAGAAUCAAGAAUCACUUUAACCUGGAAGGCAGAGGUUGCACUGAGAUCGCGCCACCGAACUCCAGUCUGGGUGACAGAGUGAGACCCUGUCAAAAAAAAAAAAAAAAAGAAUAUUGAACAUAUGUUUACAUAAAUUAAUUAUUUUGAGCAAUGACUAUUUCUGCUUCAGAAAAUCUGGACUUCUUAAGUUGUGUUCAAGAAAAAAAAAACAAGACAACAAACACUUCAGGUUUAUCCUUUUAUGUUGUGACUAUGUGGGAAGAGAUUGUUAAUUUAAAAAAUCUGUUAACACCAAACUCUCUUUUUUCUCUUUUCCUCUUUUUUUUCUCUCUUCUCUGUCUCUCCUCAUUUUAUAGGUUUUGGUGUCUAUUUAUUUUUUCUCCAUGUAUUGCCACCCUUUGCUCUAGGCUUACAUACUUUUAACUACAAAUCCAGGAAGGAUCCCUGAUUCCACCUGUUCCAGUGAAAACCCUGAUGUAGCUUUCAUUAGACCAACAUAGAAUAUGUGCCAACACUUGACCUAGCCACCGUAGCCAUGGAAUUUUAUUUAUUUAUUUAUUUAUUAUUUUCUGAAACAGAGUCUCACUCUGUUGCCCAGGCUGGAGUGCAGGGGUACGAUCUUUGCUCACUGCAACCUCCACCUCCCGGUUUCAAGUGAUUCUCCUGCUUCAGCCUCCCAAGUAGCUGAGAUCACAGGCGUGUGCCACCACACCCAGCUAAUUUUUGUAUUUUUAGUAGAGAUGAGCUUUCACCAUAUUGGCCAGGCUGGUCUCAAACUCCUAACCUCAAGUGAUCCACCCACCUUGGCCUCCUAAAGUGCCGGGAUUACAGGCAUGAGCCACCGAGCCUGGUCCGUAACCAUGGAUUUUAAUGAUCUGUUCAGCCAGGCCUGGAAUGCACGCCUUCCCCUGUAGCCAGGAGUAAAAUAAGCCUAUCAGAACCAUGCAGGCUGGAGUUACAUUUUCAAAGAGGAAAAUGGAUAAAAACGUUCCAUUACUGAGACAACCUCAGAUAUUUUCCUCAGAGUGGAAAUCAGGAAACCAACUUAGAGUCAUCUCAAGAUUAGAGGGAAUUUGGGCUAGAAGGAGAAUAUUCUAAAGCUACUAUUUACUAAAAUAUUACCUAAUAGUACAGGAAUAGACAACUGUAUCAAUGGAGUAGAAGAGAUUAGAAAGUGUUCAAACAAGCAUAACUCAUUUAGAAUGGAUGCAUGAAAUGCUAUUUCAUUGUAGCACUAUUGUUUUAGAAAUGGUUUUAUUAAACUAUACACAAAUAUAUGAACACAAAUCCAUUACAGUACUGAGUAGUGGAAUCACUAUUUCUCAAAUAACUAGUCAUCCAGUACAGUAGACUGACAUCUUACUGUUUUUACCAUCUAUUUGUUCUCUCUGGUAUGGUGUUUAUUUCUACCAUUAUUUGUACUUAUAUGAACAUUUUUGGGCUGAGAUGGCUAUCAAAAAUGUGCACCAGAGUGGCAAAGAAAAAUUCCCUAUUCAAUAUAAAAAUACCACUUUUACUGGGGCUCUGGGAACCUUCAAGACAGUGAGCAAGGAAGUAUUAGGUAAAAUUACCAAUUAUGUAGCUAAUUAGAUAUGAGGGGAAAUCCUUGAAAACUUAGUAGGCCACAUACAUAUCACUGCAGCCUCUAAAGAUUGACAAGUAGAGGGAAAUAAAUUGCCAAUAAAUGAUACUGAGAAUAUAUGUCCAAACAGACUAUGCCAUUAUAAGGUAAUCACUCCCUGAAACAUAAAAAAAGUCUAUUUUAUGAAUUUUAUAUACUUAUAGUUUAUUUUAUUAUUUGUAGAACUUUUAAAAUUUAUAUCUUCAUAUAUGAAUUUCAUUUUUAUUUUGUGUGUUCUAUCUUAUAUAUUUGUAGAUAAUUUCAUAAAUGUUUAUUUUUGCUAGUUAAGCAUCUGAUAUAAAUGACAUUUCCAAUUAAUAGUGAAAUGGUGUUUCCAGGAAAGAUAUUGGAACAAUGAAUAUCCGUAUAUAAAAGUAAUUUUGGCAACCUACUUCACACCAUAUAAGCAAAUAAUUUCCAUAUUAUAUACAUACCUAAAUAUUGAGGGAAAACCAAAAUUGCUAGAAUAUACAUAAUAUACUUUUUAUAACUGUAGAGUGGGAGAAAACAUUUUUAGACAUAGCGCAAAACCCAGAAGCAAAGUAAAACACUGGUAGGUUAUCUGCUUAACACUGUUAAACUUCUAAUGGGCAAAAGACAAAGCAGACAAAGGUAAAGACAAGUUACAGGCUGGGAGAAAACAGUUACAAGAUAUAUCAGAAAAAGGGAAACAUAUACCAUCUCUAACAUACUCUUACAUGGCUCUUACAACCCAAUAAGAAAGUGAAGUUCUCAGGUAUCUGUGAAUGCAAGCCACAGUUGUCUCUUAGCCACAAUGUCUAGGGUGCGUCAGGAUUCAGACGACUGCAGUUCCUGGCCAAGUACCCCCUAGCUUUGCUGAAUGACAUGCCUCUUUAUGGCUUAUGGACAGCAACCAUUGGGUUCAGGUCUUUGCCCCAUUUCCUGACCCAAGGGGCCACAAAAUCCUUUGUCCUCACCCCAGGCCACAAGAAGAGCAUCUCCUCAGAAAGUGGCCACUGGUUAUUUCACCUGGCCCCAAGACGAUGCAAGGCACCCACUCUGCUUUUUUUGUGAUGAGAUGGAGCAUGACUGGCCUUGCACAUGACCUUCAGUCACUGCCUCUUUGCUCUUUGGUUGUUGACUUUGUCGGCAGGGAAUUCAGAGGGAAGGAGAGUCAGCGACGUGCUCUCGUAAGGUCAUCUUAGAAGACCACUCUCUCCAAUUAUUUUAAGCAGCUCUUUAGAGCUUUCUACAUUGUGAAGUUCUUUAUCCUACCUGUGUAUCCCUAGGGCUUUACAGAGUGGAGAUUCAGUAAAUAUUUUGACAAGAGUGAGCAAAUGAUUUAACAGUCGAUGGAGUGCAAAUUGCCAACAACUUACUGUAGCGUUUCCAUCCACAGCAUUCAGGGUCAGUGGCUAAAAUACUUGUCGUAAAGGUGCCAAGCCUCCAGGCAUCUAGCAGGGCAUUAGCACACCGAAGCAUUUAUUAGACUCAGGAAUAUACUCUUUAUUGGCUCAUUUCAAACAAUACCUAAAAAAGAAACCUCUUUUUUUAAAGCCUUCAAAAGAUGGCAGGAUGUAUUUUUUCCUAAGACCCAUAAAACAGGUAACAUAAACUGUUACUAUUUCAUAAGAAAAACUUAGGUACAGAAAUACUCAAACACUUAUCCAAGGGAGCUGGAAUUUGUGUCAAAUUUUCUUGAGGAAUUACAUGGCUCGUACUAUUUAGACCAUGUUCUAAACAAGCAUUUAUCGCUCUUUGAAGUUGUGUCGUAUUUAGAAAUUUAGAUUCAUAGUAAUUAGAUAUUUAGAUAGAUUAUACUGGAAUAUUUGGGUGGCAUAUGGACAGCAGGUCUGUAAAUAAAAUUUAAAUCUUCAUUACUAUAUUUUCUACAUUCUGCCUUAUGCUUGAUUUAAGCUUUUUUCCCUUCUUUUCACUGGUUAGAUUUUUUUUUCAUUUAUUUUUUCUUCUAGGUCGUUGACCUUUUUAUAGGCAUAGAAAAUGCCUUGUACCGUGCACCAAAGUUCUUAAAAUUUUAAAAGCUUUCUUUGACUAAGUCAUCCCUUGCCCUCUUUUGAAGCUAUUCUGACCUCUAUUUUCUAUUUUAUUUUAAUUAAUCAUAUCUUAGGAUUUGUAGGCUUAUAUGUGGAUGCAUGUAUAUUAUCUUGUUAAGGGUACAUAAGGCAGUUAUACAAAAGAUUAUGUUGGCUUCAAAGAAUGUUAAACAAAAGGAAUGAGAAGAUUCCUGAAUAAUAUAGUUAUGCAUACUCAGAGCUUCUUUCAUAAGGGCAUUUGAAAUGUAUGCUGAUCACCUCAAGGUCGCCAUGAAAUGGGAAGAUUUAAACUAGUGGUGUUUGGACAGAAACAACUUUUACCUUGAAAGCCAGCAAUCAAUGACUGAAAAAUGUAUAUCUAAGGCUGGAAAAUCAUUUCAGUAUUAUUAAGUAUUCUGAUGACAAAAAAGGUUCAAACAUUUGUGACUCCCAUAGCUAGUAUUGAUAUGGGUGAUGGGAAAUAAGGAUGUAUUUAUUUUAUUUGGACUUUAGUCAUGUUUUUAUUGUCUGUAAAAAUGACUUGACUGUUACAGCUAGAACAUUGAAGAAAGAAGGGAAGCAGGUCAAAUGGGUCCCCAGUGAUUCCCUGUGGCACCUGGACUUUCUCCAGGAAUUGAUUGUUACAUAUUAUUCCAUCAAACACCUUUUAACCAGUCCAGUUCUUGUCUAUGGAUCCAGACAAUUCAGUCUUCCCAGGGCUUACCCAUGUUUCCAUAUAUCCAGAAAGUUUGUAUAUUAUGGCUAGAAAAGCAAUUAAACCACUUUGGAAGGGUUGGGGGAAGGGAGGGUUAGGGAGAGACUUGUUAAAGGAUACAAAAUUAUAGCUAGAUAGGAGGAAUAAAUUCUAGUAUUGUAUAGCUUUGCAGGAAGACUAAAGUUAACAAUCAUAUGGUAUAUAGUAUCAGAUAGCUAGAAGGAGGAUAUUUAAUGUUCCCCACACAAAGAAAUGAUAAAUGUUUUUGAUUUUAUAUAUAUAUAUAUAUGAUAAUUACCGUGAUCUGAUCACUAUAUGUUAUAUGGAUCGAAACAUCACUAUGUACUCCAUGAAUAUAUACAAUUAUUAUGUGUCAAUUUAAGAAAUUAAAUUAAAAAGAGAAAUUAACCCAGCCUCACCAUUUUACAGCAGAGGGACUUGAGGUGGAAAAAAUUCAAGAAACUUUACUCUCGUCAUUCAACGGAGUGAUCUUUUGAAAAAGGUAGCAUUACAAGAAAUCCAGUAUAUACCCACAAAUACGUGGCCACAUUUCUUGACAAUGUUCCAAUUAUUAUUGAUAUCUACAAUUAGAAUUAAAUCGUUGUUUCUAACCAGUAAUAUUCCAAGUAAAGUAGUAACAUUGUUUAUUCAUUGGCAUUAGGCAUCUAUGGUUAGCUCUACAGAAUUAUAGUUGAAAUCUAUGUGAAAAUAUCAAUUUUUACACUUACCGACCAUAAUAGGAUACUUACAGAAGAGCUUGAUACCAGACUGUCAGCCAAAGAUUUUCUGAAUUUGGUAUGAAUUUUCUAAAGGUGGAGUGAUUUGCUUCAAGAGAAAAUUGCUUUGAGUGCAUUUUGCAGUCAAGAACUUUGACACCUUGCAAUUUACUAGUUGCAAAGAUAAUCUGAUCACAAAGUAAGAAAUCUGAUCGUUGUAAUUCCAAUUUAUAUCAAUAAGAAAUAAUAAAUAAUCUUUAUUUUGGAGGUUUGCUAAGUGACUGAAAGUUUAUCUAAAUACAGACGGUUUUGCAUGAACGCUAGGGACUGAAUGAAACACUGUUUGCCUACCAAUUAACCAGGCAGGUGUGAAACAUAAGCAGUGACCGACCAUAACAGACGAUCUCUCAGAUAUUGAUCACUCUUUUAACAGAAAAAUUCCUAUGGGCAGAUAGAGGAGGGGGAGAGGGCAGCAUUCUCUUGAGAUUGUCUUAGGGAAGGAUGAUCAUGAAACUCUUUAUAUCUGAAAAAAAUUUUAAAUCCUUUUAAAUAUCAAUCCAGGAGGAUUAGCUAAGCAGCAAUAAAGCACCUUAUAACUGUUACAUAGUUAAUUCAAAGAAGCAUUGUAUCAAGAUAAAUAAAUAUAGAAAACAAGGAAUCCAUUUUCAAGAAACAUACUUUGUUCUAGUUCUGACUUCAGAUUUAAAACACACACACAUACGCAGAAGACACACUGAAUAUGAUUGAAUCUAGAAUAUAGAAAUAAAAUAAUUGAAUAUAUUCCAUUUGUUAAUGUGUGCAUGUGUUUUCAAGACAUGGCUCAAUGAUUCUGUAGUUUUUUCCUUAUUUUUAUUUUGAGAAUUUUCUAGAAAAAAUAUGUCUUAAAUACUUAAUUUUUACUUCUUGGUUAUCUUAGUCCAUUUGUACUGCUACAGCAGAAUACAUGAGAUGAUAAUUUCUAAAGAACAGGAAUUUAUUUUCUCACAGUUCUGAAUACUGAGAUGUUCAAGGGGCCGGCAGGUUUCGUUGUCUGUGAGGGUGGCUCUCUGCUUCCAAGAUGGUUCCUCUAGAGGAGGGAACACUUUGUCCUGGCAUGGUGGGAUGUGGGCUCAAACCCUGUAUGAAGCCUCUUUUAUAAAGGCCUUAAUCUCAUCUUUGAGAGAGGAGCCCUCAUAACCUAAUCAGCUCUUAAAGGUUCUACCUCUUAAUACUAUCACAAUGGCCAUUAAGUUUCAGCAUCUGAAUUUUAGAGGGGACAUACUGAGGCAAUAACAAACAUUAUGUUUUUGAGAAGGUCCCAUUUUUUCUUAAUUUAAAGCUCAGUCCAAUGAAUAUCUGUAACAAAGGGUUAGUGAAAUCCCAGUCCAAAAUUAUCAUCUUUUGAAGGUAAUUCAGAUGGACAUUUCUUGAGUUAUCAAAAUGUAUAAUAUUAUCUAUUCAAAUCUUUUCUGUUUUAUUAAUUAAACUCAGGAGAUUAAAGUACCUUGCCAUGACAUUGAAACUAGUAAAACAGCCAAAUAUGAAAACCAAGCAUGCUGGGAAAAUCCUAAUAAUGAUGGAAUGGCUACCAAGUCUUUGUUAUUCCCUUGGAUAGUAGCACACCUUGGAAAGACUUAGCAAAGCCCAGAUUUCAGGAAAGUAGAAAAAUUGCAUUUAAUGCUUUGAUUAUAAAAUUAUCUUGUGAGUUUCUUGUUUUUUUUUUUGUUUUUUUUUUUGAGAUGGAGUCUCGUCCUGUUGCCCAGGCUGGAGUGCAGUGGCACGAUCUCAGCUCACUGCAAUAUCUGCAUCCUGGGUUCAAGCGAUUCUCCUGCCUCACCUUCUCGAGUAGCUGGGACCACAGGUGUGCGUCACCACACCCAGCUAAUAUUUUUGUAUUUUUAGUAGAGAUGGGGUUUCACCAUAUUGGUCAGACUGGUCUUGAACUCCUGACCUCGUGAUCUGCCCGCCUUGGCCUCCUGAAGUGCUGGGAUUACAGGCGUGAGCCACAGCACCUGGCCAUCUCGUGAGUUUUAAUGCAACUGGCAGUUGACUGUGGGUCCUAACCAUGGGCUCUGUUUUUCUCAAAUGUAAAAUUAUUGGCCGAUGUGGAAGACCAUCCAUCCUGUAGGGUGAGGCCCUGCUUUUUAUAAGGUAAUGGAAGAGUAUGCUAUUCAAUAUCAAGUUAAAAAUAACUUUUACCAGUGUGGAAAAGAAAUGAGCAGGGAAACCUAUUGACCAUUAGGCUUAGUUUUCUGUUUGGUGCCCCAACUUCACUCCAUCUGCUAUCUUUUGGAUCUCCAGGGUUUUCUUUCCUACUCCUUACCCCAGAAAGCUGCAUUAUUCUGGCUCCCUGAGCAACUGACUUCAGUCUGAGUUUCACCAGUGGGAGGUGCUGUCACGCUAUUGGAGGGCAGAAGAAGAGCAGCAUGAAAUGGUUAUUUGGUUAUUCCCUAUUCCCUUCUGCUUCUGCAUCACAUUUCUGGCAAUGGCUGAAUAUCUCCCUAACUACAGCUCCCAACAGGCAACCUCUCUUUCAUGGUUCCAGCUCUUACCAGUUACAAUAAUUCUAUUUCUAUCACAACCCCUUCUUCCACCCCUACCCCAAUUCUUCCAGUCCAGGGGUCACAAUAGCACCCCACAGUGGCUAUUUCCUGGGUUUACCAACUUCUUUUGUUGGUUCUUCCAGCCUGCUUACACCUCCGACUUUUUUCCUCAUUAAAGUCUCUUCACUUAAUUUAUCUGAUUUGAAUUUGUCUCUUUACUGAGAUCUUGACCAAUACCUGAUUUUUUUUUUGUACUUUAAGUUCUAGGGUACAUGUGCACAAUGUGCAGGUUUGUUACAUAUGUAUACAUGUGCCAUGUUGGUGUGCUGCACCCAUUAACUCGUCAUUUACAUUAGGUAUAUCCCCUAAUGCUAUCCCUCCCACCUCCCCCCACCACAUGACAGGCCGCGGUGUGUGAUGUUCCCCACCCUGUCUCCAAGUUUUCUCAUUGUUCAAUUCCCACCUAUGAGUGAGAACAUGCAGUGUUUGGUUUUUUGUCCUUGCGAUAGUUUGCUGACAAUGAUGGUUUCUAGAAACCAUAGCUUCAUCCAUGUCCCUACAAAGGACAUGAACUCAUCCUUUUUUAUGGCUGCAUAGUAUUCCAUGGUGUAUAUGUGCCACAUUUUCUUAAUCCAGUCUAUCAUUGUUGGACAUUUGGGUUGGUUCCAAGUCUUUGCAAUUGUGAAUAGUGCCGCAAUAAACAUACGUGUGCAUGUGUCUUUAUAGCAGCAUGAUUUAUAGUCCUUUGGGUAUAUACCCAGUAAUGGGAUGCCUGGGUCAAAUGGUAUUUCUAGUUCUAGAUCCUUGAGGAAUAGCCACACUGUCUUCCACAAUGGUUGAACUAGUUUACAGUCCCACCAACAAUGUAAAAGUGUUCCUGUUUCUCCACAUCCUCUCCAGUACCUGUUGUUUCCUGACUUUUUAAUGAUCACCAUUCUAACUAGUGUGAGAUGGUAUCUCAUUGUGGUUUUGAUUUGCAUUUCUCUGAUGGCCAGUGAUGAUGAGCAUUUUUUCAUGUGUCUGUUGGCUGCAUAAAUGUCUUCUUUUGAGAAGUGUCUGUUUAUAUCCUUUGCCUACUUUUUGAUGAGGUUUUUUUUUUUCUUGUAAAUUUGUUUGAGUUCUUUGUAGAUUCUGGAUAUUAGCCCUUUGUCAGAUAAGUAGAUUGCAAAAAUUUUCUCCCAUUCUGUAGGUUGUCUGUUCACUCUGAUGAUAGUUUCUGUUGCUGUGCAGAAGUUCUUUAGUUUAAUUAGAUCCCAUUUGUCAAUUUUGGCUUUUGUUGCCAUUGCUUUUGGUGUUUUAGACAUGAAGUCCUUGCCCAUGCCUAUGUCCUAAAUGGUAUUGCCUAGGUUUUCUUCUAGGGUUUUUAUGGUUUUAGGUCUGACAUUUAAGUCUUUGAUCCAUCUUGAAUUGAUUUUUGUAUAAGUUGUAAGGAAGGGAUCCAGUUUCAGCUGUCUACAUAUGGCUAGCAGGUUUUCCCAGCACCGUUUAUUAAAUAGGGAAUCUUUUCCCCAUUUCUUGUUUUUGUCAGGUUUGUCAAAGAUCAGAUGGUUGUAAAUGUGUGGUAUUAUUUCUGAGGGCUCUGUUCUGUUCCAUUGGUCUAUAUCUCUGUUUUGGUACCAGUACCAUGCUGUUUUGGUUACUGUAGCCUUGUAGUAUAGUUUGAAGUCAGGUAGCAUGAUGCCUCCAGCUUUGUUCUUUUGACUUAGGAUUGACUUGGCAAUGCGGGCUCUUUUUUGGUUCCAUAUGAACUUUAAAGUAGUUUUUUCCAAUUCUGUGAAGAAAGUCAUUGGUAGCUUUAUGGGGAUGGCAUUGAAUCUAUAAAUUACCUUGAGCAGUAUGGCCAUUUUCAUGGUAUUGAUUCUUCCUAUCCAUGAGCAUGGAAUGUUCUUCCAUUUGUUUGUGUCCUCUUUUAUUUCGUUGAGCAGUGGUUUCUAGUUCUCCUUGAAGAGGUCCUUCACAUCCCUUGUAAGUUGGAUUCCUAGGUAUUUUAUUCUCUUUGAAGCAAUUGUGAAUGGGAGUUCACUCAUGAUUUGGCUCUCUGUUUGUCUGUUAUUGGUGUAUAAGAAUGCUUGUGAUUUUUGCACGUUGAUUUUGUAUCCUGAGACUUUGCUGAAGUUGCUUACCGAAAAAAGUCCAGGACCAGACGGAUUCACAGCCGAAUUCUACCAGAGGUACAAGGAGGAGCUGGUCCCAUUCCUUCUGAAAUUAUUCCAAUCAACAGAAAAAGAGGGAAUCCUCCCUAACUCAUUUUAUGAGGCCAGCAUCAUCCUGAUACCAAAGCCUGGCAGAGACACAGCAAAAAAAAGAGAAUUUUAGACCACUAUCCCUGAUGAACAUCGAUGCAAAAAUCCUCAAUAAAAUGCUGGCAAACCGAAUCCAGCAGCACAUCAAAAAGCUUAUACACCAUGAUCAAGUGGGCUUCAUCCCUGGGAUGCAAGGCUGGUUCAACAUAUGCAAAUCAAUAAACGUAAUCCAGCAUAUAAACAGAACCAAAGACAAAAACCACAUGACUAUCUCAAUAGAUGCAGAAAAGCCCUUUGACACAAUUCAACAACCCUUUGUUUUAAAAACUCUCAAUAAAUUAGGUAUUGAUGGGAUGUAUCUCAAAAUAAUAAGAGCUAUUUAUGACAAACCCACAGCCAAUAUCAUACUGAAUGGGCAAAAACUGAAAGCAUUCCCUUUGAAAACUGGCACAAGACAGGGAUGCCCUCUCUCACCACUCCUAUUCAACAUAGUGUUGGAAGUUCUGGCCAGGGCUAUCAGGCAGGAGAAAGAAAUAAAGGGUAUUCAAUUAGGAAAAGAGGGAGUCAAAUCGUCCCUGUUUGCAGAUGACAAUUGUAUAUUUCGAAAACCCAAUCGUCUCAGACCAAUACCUGAUUUUUAAGCCUAAGGUUAGGAACACAUAGGAAAAAUCAAGGUGAGUAUUAAAAAUUAGUAGAAGGAGACCGUUUAGUGUACUACUCAGAUUAGUAGCUCUUUGUACAGUCAUCCUCAAUAAAUGGGUGCUUCUGAUGACUUACUUUUUUUUCUUUCUUUCUGAUAAAUUGUUCUUAUUAAGGAAUUCUAUUAAGUCAUCAUGGAAGAUGUUAUCUUCUAAUUUUACUUGAUGCACAAUUUGGAAAUAUAAUUAGUUUACUGAAUAAUAUCAUCAAGGUUCAAAGAGGACUCGGUGAUCUGGAAUUCUAGAUACGUAGAAUAGAAAUUCUGAAAUUGCAUGCAAAUCUUAAGUAUGUGUGUAUAAAUAUACAUAUACUGAGUGAUUUGCUUUGCAACAUGGUGAUUUGGCUGUUUAGAAAUAUUAAUGAUAUUUGAACAUCAUUAAAUGAAGUCAAAGGCCAGCUAUACCCUGCAACAGUCAGACCACAUAUGGUGACAUGCUGCCACUUAGGGGCACUAUGAUAAACAGGUAAACAACCAAGAGAGCUGUGUGGCAACUAGUUUCAAGCUCAGGGUUUUAAGAGCUAGAUUUAGGGGCCUGGGUUUUACUCACAUCUUCCUCCGGUGCUAGCUGUGAAAUUUGGACAAGCAGCAUAUCUUUUGCUCAUCUCUGAAAUGGGAGACCUAAGACCAUGGGAAUACUCAUUAAGUGAAUGUACAUGAAGUGAUGCCUGACACAUUCCAAAAACUCUCCAGACAAUACCUAGAAUACUACUAAUAAUUACCAGUGUGUAAUUGGUCUGGAAACCACAUGUUGUGAGUAACAGUCUAGGGAACUGGGAACAAUUCAGUUUAUGGACAAACAUACUGAGGGAUAGAGUAGGCCGCUUUCAAAAUGUGAAAGAUUGUCCAAGAGGAGAGAAAAUUGUUCUAGGAAGGCAGGAGACUCUCAGUGAAAGGUACAGAGGAAUAUAAUUUGGUCCAGUAGCAGAAAUACCUUUCUAACUCCUAGAGCUGUCCAACAAGGAAAUAGGCUGAUAAGCAAUGUCCUUUUGAGCCAUUAGUCAACAAAGGCUGGAUAAUCACUAUGCGGAAUAUGAUUUUAGCAGGAACUCCUGCAAUAAGGGCUGAAGUGGGGGAGGGCAAGGACAGGGGAAAAGGUCACAACAUGACCCUUAAUUUCCCUUUGCACUCUACAAUUUCAGACUCUAUGUGUGUGUUGGACAGAAUAUCAGGAAAAUGGCUGCCACCUUUGUUUGCAUUCAUGUUGUCCUCUUUCAAAUCAGGCCCUUGGCAAAGGUCCUGAGACACAUUGUCCAAACUUGCUAUUGACAAUCCUACAUAUAUUUUCCUGUUCAGAUGCUUUGGCCUGCCAGAGGCUCACUGGGUGUCAUACAAUAGUCUUCUGUGUCACCAGCCUUGCAGAUUUCUUCAAGAAACUGUUUGUUGAGUAGGCGCUUACUAGCUGGAACAAAUCCCUUUGCAAAGGUGUACCUUCCUUUUCUUGAACAGAAUGAAAAAUGUGUUGAGCAGGAAAAGAAACUUCACAGUAUUUGUGUUUUUCUUUUGGCCCUUUCUGCUAGGUAUCCUCACUCUAAUUGAGCAGGCUCUGGAAACCUGAAACGCACAUCAGUCUUGUGCCUUUUUCUGUUUCUUCCACUAGCAGUUGAUAAUUAUAGCUUUUCGUAGAUACUCAGCACAUUCCAUGUUUUUGAUGGGAGCAGAGCCUUUGUAUGGCAAAAUUGCUGAUAUACUUUUAACUAAAUCUGUAGAUGUGUUAUGUUUAGAAGGCAGCGGAAGAAGCCUGAGCUGGCAGAAUAAUUGCUGUGUUAGGGCGCCACUGAAGACAAAUAGUGUGCCCAAGAUUGUGAAAAUCCUUUCUUAUAAAAACUUUUUCCAACACCAGGGUUCCUUUUGGGACAGAAAUAACAAUAUCUGUUCUUUCUGAGAAAACUUGGAGAGAAUGUCAAUGUGAUAUCUCAGGGAUAAUUCAUUUUUGAAAAAGGAGAAUCCUUUCUACUGAAUACUUUUUAUAAGGGACAUUUUUAGCUUUGGAACUGCAUUUCUCUUCCCUGUCUGGAUGUUAGCUGUUUGUAUGAGUGGUGAGGACAAAAAGUAAAGGAUUGCAUCCCACAAAAACCAACCUCAAUAGUUUAAGGUCACACAGAUGGCUUUGAGGUAAGAAAGGAAAUUACAUCUCCUGAAAGGCAAUGCACAGGCUAUUGAAUAGGAUGAACUUGGAGGUCUCUUCUAGUCCUGAGAUUUUAUGAUUCCAUGAUCACAGAAACUACUAGUGAAUGUGAUACUUCAUAUCUCAUCCAUUGGCUAUUUCAAAUGGCAACUAAAGUGAGAAGGGAAAUCAUUUAUUCUUAAAUGCAAAUUCAAACUAACAGAAAUUGGAUAUAUUUCUUGGUGUUCAUGAGCAUUGCCAGUAGUAAAAUAUAUGUUUAGAGAUAAGAAAAUAAAAACAACUUAUACUUAUUGAAUGCUUAUGACAUACCAGGUCCUAUAUCAAGCAUUUUAUAUGCAUCAUAGAUUCUAUUAUUGUCAACAUCUUAUGGAGGAGGUAACUGAGGAUUGUAGAUAUUCUGAAGCAGUGUCGUGAAGCUGACACUAAACACUCUUGGCUACCAUAGCAUCCUGCUUCUCUGUAGCAGACGCUGGUGAUUCAUCACACCACAUUUCUUUGGCACUCUGGAUUUCAGCACAAGUGCUGUAGACAGUUAAUUGCCUAUCGCUAGUGUCCCGCUUCCUUCAAGUGCAUGUGGGAAAGAAGGAGAGGGAAGAGAAUCUGAAAGACCGUUCAGCAGGCAGGUGCAACUCAGAAUUAAGAGAGAAUAAUAUACUCUACCUAAGGACAGCCCUCAACCAGUGGAAUGAUGGGGAUGGUUUCCGGGUAAACUCCGACCCUCAUUGUCCCGAAGGAGAACACUUCCGGGGCACAUACUACAAUCGUUUCUUAGAGUGUCCCUAACAGGGGUGAGCCCCCCACUCAAUACACAGUGGUAAGAAACUCAUUCCUGCGUUCUUCUAAUACAUCUUCCUUCCCUAUCUCAUUGUCUAUGCUCCUCAUUUCUGCAUCCUAGGAUCAGCUCCCAAAUAAACUUCCUGCCCUCAAGUCCUUGACCAAAGUGCUGUUUUGGGGAGGAGUCAAAGUAAGAUUUUUUAAAGAACACACACGUUACUGCUAUGUAGUUACAGGCAUAAUCUUACUAAUGGACUAUAAUGUCCAUCAUACCAUGGGGUUGAUGGUCAUAAAACCUAGGCGUAUUUGGGAAUAUUUCUGUGACAUUAAAUCUCUAACUAUAUAAUAGAAGCUAAUGGUAGUAUAUUGAAAUUUGUUCUUUGGAAUUCAAUUAUUCAAUAAAAUAAGAGAAAUCUCUACCACACAUUAGCAUGACCCCGUUGAAGUCUUCAGAAAGCCUAAUGAUUUAGCAUGACUAUUUCAAGAUCAUUUUUCCUAGGCUUCCUCCCAUCCUACUCCUGGAAGUGCUCUGCUAUUAAUUUCCUUUGUGGUCUUAGAUAAGUCUCAGACUGCAGGUGAAAUGAUUAAAUUCUCAUUUCUCUUGAAAAAUUUCACACGAAGUCUCUUUUCAUCUAUUUCAAUACCUGAUAUUUAAUUUGAAUGGAGUAUAACAACUACAUUGAUAUAGGGAAAGUUUUAUUGAAUGAACAAAGCCAUCACAUAAAUUUUUCUUUCAUUUUUUUUUUUGUCAGUCUCUGAAAUUAGUGAAUAGGUAGAGACAUCCAUCAGUUGGAUCAUUCUUAGGUAACAUUUUGUUUAUAAGAACAGGGCAGUGCUGGAAUGUGGAUUUACCCACAAUUCUCACGUGAGAUUUCUACCAUUGUACUGCUGUUUUCUUCUUGUCUCUGAUUUUUUUCAAUCUCUGCUCCUCAAACAUCCAGGUAGCUUUGAUCAGUGCUUCAAGCAGAGUACUGGAGUAAGUAAUAUAUUUUUCUAUAACCUUGUAAUGAAAGCAUGAUCUCUUCUUAAGGACUCUGUACUUAGCGAGGCAUCUAUCGGUGAUUGUAUACUUUGUAGAUUUUAUUUGGGUGGUUCUACCAUCCUCCAUUUAUUACAUAUGACAAACUCAGUAAGAUUAGGCUAAGAAGAACUGGUUCCUAGAAGCUAAUGUUACCCUGGACAGUUAACAAAAUUUUUGUGAAAGUACUGUAGAGUUAGAAAACACACCAAAUAGUACAAUUCUCCACACUGGAUUUCUUCAAUUUACUGUUAAGUUGUAAAAAGUAGGCUUGUACCUGAUGAAAACAUUUGGCAAAUUUGUAUGCAGUACCAGUGAAAAAUAUGCACAAAUUGGCAAAAUAAGGCAAGAUUCUAACUGCUGUCCAUGUUCAAGAACUAUAACAGUAGUGGGGUGAAUGCUAAAUCUUUACAAUAAUAUAUAGAUUGUACAUUUGUUUUUCAUGGAUUAUAAGACAUUUUUCAUUUUUCAGCCACACGGUAUUGAUUCAUCACUUCCAUAUUCAGCUAUGCCUAUAUAUGUCCAUGUCACAAAGUUAUUUUCCCAUUAAAAAUUUACUCUGUCCUUGCAAUAAGAAACACAAAAGAGUUAGUUCAAAGGAAAAAAUAACAAUUUGCAUUUGGAUAAAAAUGGUAAAUAGAUUUAUUUUUGACUCAUCCUGUGAAUCCUUUUCAGAUUGCCUUCUUUAUUUUUUAUUUUUUGAGACAGAGUCUCACUCUGUCACCCAGGCUGAAGUGCAGUGGCACGAUCUUGGCUCACUGCAACCUCUGCCUCCUGGGUUCAAGCGAUUCUCAUGCCUCCGCCUACUGAGUAGCUGGGACCACAGGUGGGCGUCACCACACCCAGCUAAUUUUUUUGUAUUUUUAGUAGGUAUGGGGUUUCACCAUGUUGGACAGGCUGGUCUCAAACUCUUGACCUCAAGUGACCCACCCACCUCGGCCUCCCAAAGUGCUGGGAUUACGGGUGUGAGCCACUGCACCCGGCCCAGAUUGCCUUCUUCAGGUAAGUAUUUUAAACCUCUUAUGAGCUGUUUCCUUCCUUCAUCCCUUCGUUUCCUCCUUUUUCCUCCCCUCCUAGGACUCUCUUUCUCUUUUCAUUUGCCUCUAUUUUCCUUCAUUCUUUUCUUCCUUUGUUCAUUCCUUCCUCCCUUCUUUCUUCCAUCUCCCUCUUCUUCUUUCUUCCAUCUCCCUCUUCUUCUUUCUUCCCUCUCUUCCUUUUUUCCUCCUUAUUUCUUGCUUUCCUUCUUUAUUUCACUCAUCUAAAAAAAACCUGUAGUAUAGAUCUUUGAGGAAAUUAUUUUAGUUUUGACAUUCAUUGCACAGUUGUCUGUAACCCAGUUAGGGAAUUCUUUCCUAUUUUUAAAAUGAAAAUAGCUGAGAGAUUUGUGAGGAAAAUUUGAAACAAUGUUGAUUCUGAAUGUUUUUAAAAAUUUCUAAUAUUUAUGAAACAACUGUAUCUCAGAUGAGCUUCAAUUUGCAAGGCAUCAUUCCAUUUUCAUUUUUAAUUCUCUGUUCCAAUGCCUCUGCUAAGAAAUAAGCAUUUUCUCAUAGGAAGAGAUUAUUCCUUUUAACUUUUUUUCAAUUUUAAUUUUUAUUCAGCCUCUUACCUUUUUGCUAAAACCAAAAGUUCAAAAGAAAGGUGAUCAGGACACUCCCAGGAAUUUUUUAGCCAUGUGAGAAUAUAUGGUGAAAUGAUUCAAGUAGAUGCAACAUGGUCUACUGGAAAAGCACUGAGAUUUUGAGGAGAAAACUUAGCUCUGCCAUUAGUUAAUUGUCAUCAAGGUCUUCCUAUGAAAAUUGUAGUUCAAUUUUCAAACAUUUAUUGUUUUUCUCCAAAGUGCUAGGCAUAUGCUUUUGUGCUGGAGAUGAAAGAUGAAUAACAUGUAGGUGCUGUUUUUGAAGAACAUCACUGAAGAGAGAGUGAGCUAAAACAAAUAAUGAUUUGUGUGCUAGAAUAGAGCCAGGUUGUACAGAAAGGUUCUAUUAAUAGCGCUCAGUGAUCCCUGCAAAAGAAGCAUUUGAUUCUGUCCAAAGAGAUGAGUACAGAAAAAGCCAAAGAGAAGAAAUGAUAUUUGAUUUGGGAUUUUGAAGGAUGAAUAGGAUUUAACCAGAUGAAUACAUUGGAGGAAAGAUAUUCUGGUAGGAACACUGUGAGUAAACAACUGUAGGACUUUGGGAGGGAUUGUGAGUAGAGUGUGCAAGAUGGAAAGUACGUUGGCAUUAUAAUGAUUCAUCAUCAACAACACCAUGUUUGCUUGCCUGGUUGAAUGUCCCUGAGUACACCAGCUGACAUGGAUGCCAGAAUUCCAGCUAUGAGAAUUUCUCCUCUAUUUAUUUUAAACGUAGGUACAAAUCAGUUCUCUUUGAACCCUGCCUGACUUUGCAUCAUGGUUUCUUCUCCUUAUCUACUUCUUUGUGAAUGUGAUAACUCAACUUUGGAAUUGUAACUUUGUUUCUGGCAUCGCAUCCUUCCUAACAUGCUCAUUCCAAAAACUACUCUUUCACUGCACUACUUAGGCAAGAGGCCCCCGGCCAUGAGUCUCAGAGUUCUCCUCCUCAUAUCACCAAAGUGUCCCAUGGGUUCCAGUGGAAGGUGAGCAAUAACAGUAUCUCCUGCAGCCACCUCACAGAACUGUUGUGAAGGAUAGAGAUGAUAACAGAUGGACCAUGUAUUCACUUUGGAGGUAAAUAGACUUGGAUUUAAAUCCUGAGUCUGACUGAGUAAGCCAAGUCAAGUUAUUUAACUUCUAUGGUCCUCGAUAUUCUCAGUUUCCUAUGAUGGGGCUAAUAGUACCUACUUGGUAGAAUUAUUGUGAGAAUUUUCAUUCAAUGAAUGUGGACUGAACACUUGCUAUAUGUGGGCUACUAUUCUAGGGCCUGGGGAUGUAAAAGAGAAACAAGUCCUUGCCUCCUUGAAUUCAGACUGUAAAUAAACAAUUAACUACAUAAUAUAAUAUCAGAAAGAGUUUGGUGGCUGGAAGAAUAGCAAAGGGUAAGGGGAGAGAGAGAGAGGAACAGAGUGAGAGUAGUGAUAUUGCAGAGGGUGUUCAAGGAAAGCAUCUUACCUGCAUGAAAUAAAGGGAUAAACCAUGUAGAAAUCUGGAAGAAGAGUAUUUCAGGCAGAUGGAAGAGCAUAUACAAAACCUCUGUUAUGGACUAAGUUGUAUCCCUCUAAAAGGCAUGUGCUGAAGCCCUCACCCACAGUGUAACUGUAUUUGAAAAUAAGGCCUCUAAAGAAGUAAUUAAGGUUAAAUGAGGUCAUAAGGGUGGGCUCUGAUCCCAUGGACUGAUGUCCUUUUAAGAAGAGGAAGACAUCAGAGCUCACUCACUCUGUGCACACACAGAGGAAAGGCCAUGUGAGGAGACAGGGGAAGGUGGCCGUCUACACGUCAGGAAGGGAGGCCUCACCAGUAACCACCCCUGAAGGCACCUUGGUCUUGGUCUUCUCACCUCCAGAAUUGUGAGGAAAUAAAUUCCUGUUGUUUAAGCCAUCCAGUCUGUGGUGUUUUGUUAUGGCAGCCCGAGCUCACUAAUAAUACAGGCUCUGAGGCUGAAAUGUCCCAGGCAUGUGACUGCAGCAGAGUCAGUGAUGGGAGGCAGUGCUGGGAAAUGCCUUGGAGAAGUAGCCAGGAUCCAGGACACCUUUGCCAUGAUGAGGAGUCAGGACUUGAUGCCAAGGGAGAUGGCUGUCUUUGAAGCAUGUGCUUCAAGGAGUAAAAUGACAUGUGUUUUUAAAAGAUCAAACUGGCUGCUAUGUGGGGAAUUGACUCUGGGCCAGAGACCAUGGUCUUGAGAGCAGUUAGGUAGACAACAGGAGCCCCUAGUGGAGUUGGUGAGAAGUGGUUGGGAUACAUUUUGGAGAUGAAGCUGACUGAAUUUGGUAAUGGAUUGGAUGACGAAUGGAAAGAAACGAGUCAGGAUGACUCACUGGUUAUUGGGCUGAGCAUCCGAGUGAGUGAUGGUGUUUUUGUGGAGACUGCCACUCUUACGUCUGUAAUGCUAUUCUGCAGACACCAGUGUGGCUCACUCUCUCCCGUCUUGCAUGUCUUUCCUAAAUGUCACCUUCUGAUUCAGACCUUCCCUGGGCAGCCUUUUAAAAAUUGCAUUGUUUCUCUGUUUCCCUGUCAUGCCUUUCUUUUCUCUAUAGUAUUUAUCCCCAUCUAACAUAUUAUAUAUUUUACUUACCAAUUUUAUUUUCUUCUAAAAUGUAUAUUUCAUGCAUUUUUAUCUGUUUUGUUCACUGCUUUUUAGUUCACAUGUCUUGAACGUGGUCUGGUAUACAACAGGUGAUCCAUAUUUCUUGAAUAUAAGGAUGGAUGAAUGAAUGAAUGAAUGGGUGAAACCUGGGGAAGAGGAAUCAAGAACUUUGUUAAAAUGAGUACUAGUUGGCCGGGCAUGGUGGCUCACAUCUGUAAUCCUAGCACUUUGGGAAGCCGAGGUGGGCAGAUCAAGGUCAGGAGUUCAAGACAAGCCUGACCAACAUGGAGGAACACCGUCUCUACUAAAAAUACAAAAUUAGCUGGGCGUGGUGGCACACACCUGUAAUCCCAGCUACUUGGGAGGCUGAGGGAUGAGAAUGGCUUGAACCUGGGAGGUGGAGGUUGCGAUGAGCCGAGAUUGUGCCAUUGCACUCCAGCCUGGGCAACAGGGGAGAAACUCCAUCACAAAAAAAAAAAAAAAAUACUGGUCAAUUGGAAGUAUCUGGAAGGUAAUUGCUAUACCAUUAAAUGAGAUAUAUAUAACAAUUAUUAUUACAAGUAUUCUUCCUCUUUUUUUUUUUUUUUUUUUUUUUUUGGAGACGGAGUCUCGCUCUGUCACCCAGGCUAGAGUGCAGUCUUGCAAUCUCGGCUCACUGCAAGCUCCGCCUCCUGGGUUCACGCCAUUCUCCUGCCUCAGCCUCCCGAGUAGCUGGGACUACCGGCACCCGCCACCACGCCCGGCUAAUUUUUUGUAUUUUUAGUAGAGACAGGGUUUCACCAUGUUAAGUAUUCUUCCUCUUCUAAGUGUGCUGCACCCACCUCUUAGUAGACUUUGGUUGGGAUUAUCUGAGAGUAGUCUUUUUUAGUUCUGUGGCUGUGUGAGCACAUGGUUGGGAGAAUGUGAGGAGGAUGUGGCCAUGACCAACUUUAUCCUUUUGUAGCCACUCACUCCCCAGCGUCACACAAAUGGAUGCUUACGCAGAUUUCCUAUAUCCUCCAUAGGCUCCUAUCUUUGUGCUGAGUAUUAAUUCCCAUCUGUGUUCAAGGACGGUAAUCAGGCAGGGGCAGUAAUCAAAAUGAUGUGUACAGCAAAAUCAAAGCUUUCGCAUCAUAAUCAAAACCAUGCAGUAAAUUAUAGGAAUACGUGUUCUGGUUUAAUCAAUGACUGAUCUUGCUUGGAUGCUUGAUACAGAGAAAAUCAAAGAUUUGGUUUCAAAUUAGCCAAGGGGAACAUAUUAUGAAUGAUCUCAUAUAACUUAGCAUGCUAUCACAGUGAUUAUUUUUUAAAUAAUAAGAUUUUGCUGUAGGUCUCACCACACUACUAUUUUAGCAUACAACGACUAAGAAAAAUUCUUUAGUAUUUGUCCUUACAUAGUGUCUUGAAGAAUGACCUGCCCUCCAAAAGCUUGUUACAGGAGAGAUGAUAUAGGCAUGAGCAAAAAAUGGUGAAUGUGCUUGUACCCAGCAGUGUUAAGUAAAUUCCGAUCUUUGCUGUGAAUUGCGAGUGAAAAGUUUGGGGUGAGUAUUUUAUUUUUCAUUGAGAAGUGAAAUAAUUGUUAGUUUGUUUAGUAGCACUGGUUUUUGGGAAUUUUUUUUCUUUUUUGUCUUUACACAUUGCAGAGUAGCAGUAAAGAAAUAGGUUGGUCUUUUAAAGGGUGUAUUUCCUGCUUUUAAUAAACACAAGUUUUAUGAGAAAAAUAAAUAAAUUUCAAUAUAAAAUUAAGAUGUACAGAAUAUAGAUUUAGCACAUAUAAAAAAGGAAACAAAAAUCAUUUUACCUUCACUUUAGCCUGGGCUGAUUUAACAAAACACCAUAAACUGGGUAGAUUUUUAACAUCAGAAAUUAAUUUCUCAUAGUUCUAGAGGCUGAGAAGUCCAAGAUCAAGGUGCUGGCAGAUUUGGUGUCUGGUGAGAGCCCACUACCUCACAGAUAGCCUUCUUCUCACUGUAACUCACAUGGGAGAAGUGGCCAGAGAGCUCCCUGGGACCUCUUUUAUAAGGGCACUAAUGCCAUUCAGGAGGGAGGGCAUCACCCUCAGGACCUCAUGACUUCCCCAAGGCUCCAUGUCUGAACAUCAUCACCUUGGGGGUUAGGAUUUCAACAUAUGAAUUUUGGAUUGGGACAUAAAGAGUCUACUGCAAAUUUCUUCAUGUCAGUCACAUUUUAACCAAAAUCAUCUUACAUGGACUUCUCUAGAGGUAGUUAUAUUUUUUAACCAACUGCACUUUUAUAUGAUAACAUAUUUUUAUAUGCCACCUGCAAAAGGGCUACCUAAUGAGGCCACCUAUUUUUUGUAAGUGUAAGAGACUCAGCUGGAAGCAAGUUCAAGUGUGAAGCACUGUCCCCUCUCUACCUGGGACAUGGUGCAUACAAAUGGGAGUAACAUGAGCUUUGCAGGGGUCAUCUUGGCCUCCUGUCCCACCUCCACCACUUACCAGUCAUCAUUCAUUAUUGUUAUUCCAUGAACAAUGCCACCCACAAACCCAGAGUGACUCUCAGUUCAUUGCUUGUCUUCACCCAGCGUAAUGCCAGUUGUGUGUCCUUAACAUCUUUCUCAUCUCCUUAUUUUGUCCUCACUUCUCUCCCCACUGCCAAUGUUUAGGCCUGCAGCAACGAUUUCCUAAAUUGCCCACCUUCCAUCCAGCUUCCAUCACACUGCUAGAGUAACACUUCAGAAAAUCCAAGUUCAAUCCUAUUAAAAUCUUAUUUUAAUCAGUCGUCUAUUUAAUUAUUUUUAUUAUUGCCCAUUACUAGGAUAGAGAAUUCCAAGUUUGUCAAGUAAUGAACUGCAUGAUAUUCCUGGUCUCUUUAUUCAAAGUCAUCUCCUACUUAUACCCCUAAUGUGUGCGCGCACACACACACACACACACACACACACACACACGUACACACCAUCUUGCCUUCCAGGCACCCUCAGCCACCUUUACUACUCCUGGCAUGCUGUCUCCUGCACAAGUCUCAUUGCCUUUACCCUCUGUGGAAUUUCCCUCUCUGUGCUCUUACCAGAUCACUUUAUAAAGUUAUUUUUAAAUAUGCUUGUGAAAAUAAAUGAAGAUCACAUGAACAAGAACAGAGGUGAUUUAUUUAGAGUUUGCAAGAGAAUCAACCACUAUCAGUUGCAUUUGGCACAGACUUAAAGGAACACAGAAAGAUAGGAAACCUUUAGAGUGAAACAAAGAGCAGGUUCCAGGUACGCUGUGGCAUGAGGAAGCUGGAGUUGAGCUAACUAGAUGUGAACAUCUGAUGUGGUUGGUUUGGGAAGCAGAUCUUGCUUCCUCCGGUUGAUUCUGAGUUGAAAGGAGGGAGCCAAGAAUAGGGAAGCUGGCAGUCAUUGACUGUAUCGUGACUGUUGGGGCCAGUUGCUGUAGAGGUUGUGGUUUGGCUUCCAGCUGGUUGCUGCAGAGGUGGUGCUCAGAAUUCUGUUGUCAUAUAUUGUCUGGCCAUUGUCCGUUUGUAUAUUUCAUCUCUCAUGAUCAAUCAAUAUUUUUUGAAUGAGUACAUGAAUAUUUCAUCUCAGUAAGUGAUCAUUCCCUCCUCAUCCAUCUUAAUCAUAAAAUUCUAAUGUCCUAGGUUCUUUAUCUUUCAACAAAUUAUGUUUCCCUUUCUUAAUGGGUAGAAAAAGGAAGCUUCCCCAUAGGCCUAAAUGUGCUGAUUUCAAGAGAAAGCAUACUUCUUUGCAACAAGAAAUUGCCCAGGCCUUCACUCUUAACCACUAUGCUACAUCAACGUCCUUAGAUGAAACAGAGACUUGGGGGCAUAUAUUUCCCAAUUUUUCAAAAUCCAUUUUUAUCGCAUAUUCAAUUUGGCCUGCUUACCUUAUUUACAUUACCUGUCUGGGAUGAAAGACAUUUGAGGUUGUCAUUCUGGACUCUUAAGUAAGUUCUUCCUUUAAAGUAAAGAAGCUGACCUUCCAAGCUAAUUUAUCCCACUUAACAAGAGUAAUAAUAACACACCACCCACUCCAGAAAGGAAAUCAUGCAGAUGAAUGAAAUAAUGUUUGUACAGAGCUUGACACUCCAUAAAAUACUCUAAUAACAUGGUGUCUACACUUUGAAAUGUUCAAAUCCUAUUUCAAUAGAAUUAAAAGCCAUGAAGAAUAAAAUGUGAAUUGCUUGUCAGACUUUUACAUAGAGGUGCAGGGUGAUACUGAUGCCAUUAGACAAUUUAAAAGCUGGGUUUUAGCAAAGUUUCUGAGGAAUCUGAUUGGUUUGUGGGGGAGAAAGUGAUGGUGGUACUUAUUCAUAUCCAUUUUUGUAGAAAAACAAUAGGUUAUAACAUGAACCGAGAAACACUUACGCAGCUAAAUUUACAGAAAUCUGUCUACUCAUCUCCGAGGAAAAGUUUUGGCUAAGCAAGUUAAUUUUGUCGUUAGACAUUUGCAUAGUAAUUGUAUUGAGUCUGAAUGUGCAUCUGCAUGGAAAGCAUGUUUUUUCAAUCCUGUUCUUUGGACAUGGAUUAAUAUAGAUCCUGGCGAGUCCUUAAAUAAUAAAUUAUUGAAGUUGAAUGCUUAAUUACUUUACAUUUAGAUCUUUUAUAACCAGAUGCUUGAACCCCUAGUCUGCCAUGUAUUGCUGCUGCCUUUAUUGGUGUUACCAGGUAAUAGUCACCUGAGUUUUUCACAUGGUCUUGGUUUGAGGGUAGUCUACUAAAGAAUGCCCACAUAUAGUGUUUCAAAUAUUAUUAAAGAGUGAUAAUUAAAUGUGCCUGAUGUAUAAAAAGCAUGUGAGGUCAUUUAAACUAACACUUUUAUUGUGAUUGUUGUGAAGGUUAUGAAAAACUUGAUCAUGUAUAUUAUCUAAAGGGAUUGUUACAAACCUCAAGUGACUUCAGGUCAUUGAAACCAUUGCAUGUGGUGACCAGCUACAGAGGCCAUGACAUUUUUCCCUUGCCUAUUGUAUCCAAGGUUAUUUUGCAAAUCACCGCUUUGCAUGGUACAACCUUCGGAGUUUCUAGAAAUUGCCUGGAGUGAUAAACCAGAGUAUAUUCAACAAUAGGAUUUCCUAGAAUUAGUGGGAGAGGUGUAAUUAAGUUACUGUGUAAUAUAUUUCCCCCAAAUGAUAAAUAUCAAUAUGUGAACACUGAAUAUGUGCUCCUAUGAAGCCACCUUAAGUGGCAGUUUUUAGCUCAGAAAUUGUGAACCAAUGUUUUGUCCACCUGAACCAGUUUGGGUGGAUGGAAAAGACUUAAGGGCAGAUUUCAGAACUUGUUUUUCUUUGUUAAUUCAAAAAUGAUUCUACUAAACUCUAGAUGAGAUCAAGUGGUGAUAGAGAUAUCAGCUGAGUGAGUUCUGUUUUCUGGAACUUUCUUGAAUCUUUAUUAGUAAUUCAUAGCAUUUUUCUAGAUUUCAUGGCUGCAGUUUCAUAUUGACAUCAUCCAGUAUCACUCUAAAGGGACUCUAAAACUACCCUUCCUGGCAUUCAUCUAAGAGCUGGGAAGCCAUCCGCUUAUACCUGGCUUAGAAUAUCAUUUUUAGAGACAUGACCACAAGCCUGCUGACAUUCAAGAGCAUGGCUUAAGUGCAUCCCACUCAGAGCUUUGUGAAUUCUUCUUGUAAAUUAUGAUGCCUAUUCAAGAUUUAGUGGGAAUACUCCCUCUUCUCAAGCAUUUAUCAAAACACAAGGUGAAUGCAUUAUCCACAUUAACUGCUGUUCAAAAAUUCUGUCCAAAAGUUUUGUUUCAAUAUAGGCAAAGUUUCUGUGUGAUGCCUGGCAUAUGGCCAACCAUAUAGGAUGGCCAUGAUCUUUAUUACUGAUUUCUUAGUGUUUAUUUUGAAUGUAAAGUUCUUUAUGUUUUUCCUAAAAGUUCCUCACUGUUUCCCUCACUCACCCACUAGCCCACAUAUUCACAUAUUUUACUUGGUUGUGACUAUUUGAAGAAAGCCCUUAAAGCUUUUUUCUAAAGCCCCCCAUUUAAGAUUUUCAAGUACAUAGGAACCACUGGGGACUCUUACUACCAUUCUGAUUCUGUAGGCUGGGGCCUGAGGGUCUUCAUUGCUAACUAGCUCCUAGGUGAUAGGAACAGUGCUGAGAGCACACUUUGAGUGGCAAGUCUCCAAAGCAGUGCUGUCUAAUAGAACUUUCUGUGAUGAUGGAAAUGCUUCAUAUCUGUGCCAUCCAAAUGAGUGGCCACUUGCCCGAUGUGGUUAAUGAGUAUUUGAAAUGUGGCCAGUGCAACUCAGGAACUAAAAUUUAAUUUUAUUUAGUUUAAUUAAUCUAAAUUUAAAUAGAUACCUACCUUAUUUGACUAUGCUAGGGGACUUAAUUAAAGUCUUUAUAGCUCCUUGGCUUUCCCCAGUCUUGAGAAAAAGAAUCUGAAAGUCGAGGGCUCUUUCUUAUCUCCAAUUUUCCAGAAUCUUGCAUAGGGCCAAGAAUAUUAUGUAUGCAUAGUAAAUGACAUUCCUAUUAAGAGGUCUAGUCUGCAGUUUUGGGGGCAGACUCAUAGAACUGUCAAAUAAUAAAAAGAUUUGACUUUGAAGCUAUAAGACAUGGUGGGUAGGUGGCUCAGCCUCUACCACUUACAGGAUAAUUUCUGACAAGUCACUUAAUCCCUCUAAGCAUCAAUUUCCUCAUCUCAAAAUAGCAAUCAUGAUUAUGGUAAUGUAAUACCUAUCUCACAGAGUUGCUGUGUUAUGCACAUAAAAUUCCUGGCAAAUUAUUUUUUUCAAGUGAUACUUGCUCUGCAAAUGCUAGUUUUUGUGGUUAUUUCAGCAUGAAUUUCUUUUUUCCCCUAAUUAGUUAUAUUUCAGUAAAACAAUAGAGGAAGGUACCCUGUGUGGACAUAGUUGCAAUCCAAUUGAGAGGUUAAAUAAUAACACAAAACUACAUGCAGUUUUGUAUCAUUUCUCAUGUGGAGAAAGUAGUUUCGACGGUCAAGGAGGAGGGCUUCAGCAUGUUACUUUGAUUCUUUGCAUUUUAUAUUAUUUUAUGUGGAAGCAAACAAUAUUUUUGGCCUGGGAUUUUGUGUUGUUUGAUUUAAUUCCCUCAUAAAAAUGUGUCAUAAAUGCUUUGCUAAUUGUGAUUGAAAUUUCAUAACUCUAUCUCAUCUUAAAAAUAUCCCAUUCCAAUUUGCUGAAUACAUAAUUUCCCCUUGUUUAAAGUUAUAUAAUGGACAUAUUUUCUCUUUGUUUUUCUUGAGUAUAUUUGCUUUGAAAUAGCUUUUUUGUUUUUCAUACCCUCUGUUUAUAUAUAUGUAUAUAUGUAAAUAUAUGUGUAUAUAUAUAAACGUAUAUAUGUAUUUACACACACACAUAUGUAUACACACAUAUAUUAAUCAAAAGCAUUGCCUACUUCAAGAAAAUAAGAAAAAUCACAAGGGGUAACAUUUCGCAAGUGUGCAAAGCACUAUUCUAAACACCUUACAUAUAUAAACACGUUGAGUUGUCACUGAGGCUGAGUAAACCUUUAAGCUCUUUUACUGUCUGCUGUGGUGUUGAGUUCUGAAAAUAUUGAUAGUCCUCUUAUCACUGGUAAUGACAUGACGUGCCAUCCAAUGACCUUUGUACAAUCAUGAUUUAUGUAUAGGUUGAACUAGGGGCAUCGCCAUUUAAGAACGAUUAAGACAAAUCAAGGCAUUUCUGAAAGAGAACAGAUUGAUUUUGUUUCUUAAAGUAUUUAUAGCUUGUAAGGCAGCUGUCUGCUUUUGUAUAUUCUUAAACAAGCAUCAUAGACCUUAUUCAAUAAUUUAAGUGUUUUCUUUAGAACUGUUUUGCAGCAAACCGAACUUCCCAUUUGCAUUGAUCAGUGUUUUCACCUUCAUUCUAGAUUACAUUUUAAAGUAAACCAACCAAUUUGGAUAAAUGUAAACGCAAUCACUUGUUAACAAUCUUCUGAGACUGAAUCGGUGCUGGGUAUUUCUGAGUUUCUAUGGAAGGAAAAUAGUUCAAAGUUCAGAUUGGCUGUCUCACCACCUAAGCUCCAUGCCUUGCCCCUUGCUUUCCUCCACAAUAAGGCUUAGACGCAAAACACUUCGUUUUCCUGAUCACCACUCAGGCAUGAGAGACCAGGUGAUCUAUGGCUGGCCAAUAGGCCAACAACAAGUAGGGAGAACCUCCUUUCAUGAGUAGAAAGGCAAAGCAUUGUGAAGGGAGCACCUUUCUAUAUUAUUCCAACCUCGAAUAAAUGAGAAUUUAUUUAUUUAUUUUAUUCCAGUUUGUUCAUUUAUUUCUUAUACGCUCUAAGAGGCAACUCAGUAUGUUGAUUAUUUUUUUCAGAUUCAUGCCCAUUCAUCUUCUUAAAGUAGAGUUUCUACAGAUGCUCCAGGAUCAGUCUGACCUAGUACAGAGCAGUGUGUGUGUGUGUGUGUGUGUGUGUGUGUGUGUGUCUGUGUAUGUGUGUGUGCUCCUGCAUGCUUUUAAUUAUAUAUUGAAGAUAUGCUAAAAUAUUUAUAAUGCCUCUCAAAGAUUCAAAGAAUAAUAAUAAAAUAAGCAGCUUUCCCUACCUUAGAGACCUUCUGUGUACCCUUCCCUUAUCCCUUCAUUUUCUUCCCUACCAACAUAACCACUGAUCUGAAUUUUGCAUUUACUUUUCUCAUUCUUCUCUUACAGUCAUACUACAUACCAGGCAGCUCUAAAGAUAUAUUGUUUAAUUUUACAUGUUUUGGACUUCUUUAAAAAAAGAAUCAUACUGAACAAAAAUGGAAUCAUAUUGCAUGUAUUCUUAUGAAACUUCAUUUUUCAUCCAAUAAUGCUACUUGAAAUGUAUUUAUGUUGAUGUAGUUACUACAGCCAUUUUUCACUGCUCUAUAUUUGUCUCACUUUUGCCAGGUUUAAUUUUUUUCUAUUUUAUCCUUUGAACUAGCUUGAAAUUAUAUACUUCACUCUUUUUUCUAAUCUCUUGGUUACUCCAGAAAUUUUGGCUUGUAUACGUAACUUUAAUCAAAAUCUUUAUGAUUCUCUUGAAUGAUAAAAUAUGUUCAGCAUUUUAGCUUCAGCUAUUUAGUCUGGUAUUUAAUUACACCUUCCUAAACCACACACAUUAGACAUUUUUACUACAAUCAAUGCUUAUAGAAAUUCACUCACAUAUUUAUCAGCAUUUUUUUUAUUUACCUCUCCUUCAUGCAUCUCUGACUUUGCAUUUGGGAUUAUUUUCCUUCUGACUGUAGUUGGUUCUGUAGGAAAUCCUCCCGGGAGUAUUGUUAAAUAUUUUCCAUUUGUUUGAAUGAAAAAUGGCCUUUUGAAAUCUUUUGUAUUAAAAGUUGGAUGCACUGGGUUUUCAGUUCCCGGUUGACAGUUGUUUCUUCUUGGCACAUUGGCAGCAGUUUCUCCUAUAGUCUAAUAUUCACUGUUGCUGUUGACAAGUCAUGGCAAUUGUUAUUCCUCUGAAGUAAUCUCUUCCUCUGGUUGCUUUUAAUAUUUUCAUGUUGUAUUGGGUGUUCUGAAAUUUCACUAAGUCUCCAGGUAUAUGUCUUUCUAAGUUUCCUCCUCAGGAUUUGUUGUGCUUCCUAAAUCUGAGGUUUGAGGUAAUCAGUUCUCUAGCAUUUAUAGCCCAUUGCUACUUUGCCUCCCUCCCAUUCAUUCUGUUUUCCUUUUCUCAAUAGACUUUUCCACUCUGUCGUGCCCUCCAACAACUUUCUUAUGAUUCCAACCUAGCUGUCUCACUGUGCUGCCUUCUAAAUCACUUUUUCAUAACUAUCUUCUAGGUCAAUAAUUUUUCCUUCAGCUGUGUCUAAUCUGCUGAUAAAACAUCUGUAAGGAACAUGACUGUGCUGCACCCAAGCAGGCAUAGGCCAAGGUAAACAACCUGGAUGACUCAGCAGGUUUGUGGUACAAGUGCAUAGUCCCAUGUCUUAUAUAAUCAUAGCUGUGUAGAGAUAACAUAGAAAAGUUCACCGCCAUAGCCAUAACAUAGAGAAGCUCACCACCUAGCUCUCAGCCACUAUUGUUUGUGUAAUGUAUAAAAGUAACACUGACCCUGUGAGGCAGCUGCUGAAUAAAGCCAUGUCUCAUCUACCUGCUGUUUCUCAAGUGUUCUUCCAGCUCCCUGCCCCACAUCCACCCACUCCCCUCAGCCCUCAGCUGGGGUUGGAACUUGACCCCAAGCAUGACAACAUCCAUUGGUUUUUAAUUUUAAUUACCAUAUUUUUAAUUCCUAGAUAUUCUUUUUGCUUUAUUUUAAAAUUGAUUUGGUCAUUUUUUAAUAGUUACUUCUUCCUUAAUCAUAUUAUCAUCUUCUUAUUUAUUUCCUGAAAUGUGUUAGACAUUCUUAGAUAAUUCCUAUAUCUAUUAGAAUUAUGGGUUGAAGUUGUUUGUUAUUUGUGCUCUUCUUAUUCAUGUUGACUUGUUAUUUUAUAUAUUAUAUAUUUUCAUGGAACUUUCUUUUAAGUGUUGUCUGAGACCUGGGUUCACGUCAAGGAUGAUUUUUGUUUGCUUCAAGUAGCUGUCCACAGAGGUAGAGGUGGGAAAUCAACCAGUGGCCAAUAAAUUCAUUCCCCAACUCCCUACAAAAGUAGUAUGAUGCAAGCCAUAAACUCAAAUACCGACCAGGUUGUGGGUAUGAAAUCUCUUUGGAGAUUUUUUUUUUCCUUCACUUAGUGCUCAAUUCAUCAGGCAAUUUCCCUUCUUGUUUUCUGAAAGAAUUUAUUGCCAGUUACAGCUUAUGCUGCUGUUCCAAUUGUAUAAGGGAUCUCUAGUGAGACUCCCCACAUUGGAAAGUCCUUAGACUUUUUCUCUGAUUGCUCCAACUCACACAUUUGAAAUCAUACAAAUGGAAGCUCAUGGUUGCCAAGACUCAGCAGAUAUCUUCAGGGUGAAACCUGGAGUCAGUGUUAAUGUCUCUUCAGAGUCUUUAGUUUGUUUUCAUCCUUUUCCAGCAGAAGAGCCCUACAAAAGAAGACAUUUAUGCAGCCAAAAAACACAUGAAAAAAUGCUCACCAUCACUGGCCAUCAGAGAAAUGCAAAUCAAAACCACAAUGAGAUACCAUCUCACACCAGUUAGAAUGGCAAUCAUUAAAAAGUCAGGAAACAACAGGUGCUGGAGAGGAUGUGGAGAAACAGGAACACUUUUACACUGUUGGUGGGACUGUAAACUAGUUCAACCGUUGUGGAAGUCAGUGUGGCGAUUCCUCAGGGAUCUAGAACUAGAAAUACCAUUUGACCCAGCCAUCCCAUUACUGGGUAUAUACCCAAAGGACUAUAAAUCAUGCUGCUAUAAAGACACAUGCACACGUAUGUUUAUUGCGGCAUUAUUCACAAUAGCAAAGACUUGGAACCAACCCAAAUGUCCAACAAUGAUAGACUGGAUUAAGAAAAUGUGGCACAUAUACACCAUGGAAUACUAUGCAGCCAUAAAAAAUGAUGAGUUCAUGUCCUUUGUGGGGACAUGGAUGCAAUUGGAAAUCAUCAUUCUCAGUAAACUAUCACAAGAACAAAAAACCAAACACCACAUAUUCUCGCUCAUAGGUGGGAAUUGAACAAUGAGAACACAUGGACACAGGAAGGGGAAUAUCACACUCUGGGGACUGUUGUGGGGUGGGGGAGGGGGGAGGGAUAGCAUUGGGAGAUAUACCUAAUGCUAGAUGACGAGUUAGUGGGUGCAGCGCACCAGCAUGGCACAUGUAUACAUAUGUAACUAACCUGCACAUUGUGCACAUGUACCCUAAAACUUAAAGUGUAAUAAUAAUUAAAAAAAAACAAAAGAGCUGUACAGGGAAUCUAGGCUGGCAUAGUGUGAGAAACAAAACACACAUGGCAGCUCUUUUUGCCAUCCACAACAAAAUACUAACAAUUGAGCCUAUAAUCAGCUAAAUCCAAAGGCAACAUAAUGUUCUUCCCCAUCUUUUACUUGUGCAGUUGUGUUUUGGAUCCAGAUUAAAGACCUUAAAUUUAGUACUAUUAAGUUUAUUGUUUGUAGGUUUGACUGAGCUCCGUAAAAUUUUUUGGAUCUUAAUUCUAUCACUUAACAGUCACAAUUUUCCCCAAUUUCAUGUCAUGCAUACAUUUGGCCAUCACAACUUGAAUGUUUUUACUACACUGUUGUAAAAAUGUUGACCCAGAUCAGAUUAAAGCCUCAAUAUCCCCUCUAGGUAGAGACUCGUGUAUGAUGUGGCAUUGACUAGGUCUGCUGUUAGGAAUACUUUCUCUUUCUUUUCUUUUGUUUUAUUUUUGAGAUCUCCCUCUGUCACCAAGGCUGGAAUGCAGUGGUGCAAUCUCAGCUCACUGUAACUUCUGCCUCCUUGAUUCAAGCGAUUCUCAUGACUCAGCCUCCCAAGUAGCUGGGAUUAUAGGCAUGUGCCACCAUGCCCAACUAAUUUUUUGUAUUUUUAGUAGAGAUGGGGUUUCACUAUGUUGGCCAGGCUGGUCUCAAACUCCUGGCCUCAAGUGAUCUGCCUGUCUUGGCCUCACAAAGUGCUGGGAUUACAGGCAUGAGCCACCAUGCCUGUCCAUAUUUCUUUAUCUUCAAGAACAUAUUUUGCCAAAUGCCUUCCUGAAGUCAACACACAUUGUAUUUAUGAUUUUUUUAGCCAGAGAAGAAUUAAAUCAGUUAACAUGAAUUUGACUUAUAAAUCCACCUGUGUGUUAAUCAAAGGGCUCCAUGGAUAGCCACACCCAGUCAUCAUUUAUCAUCUCCAUUUAUUCCUCACUGGGGUCAUUUGAAGAUUCUGACUCAGAAUUACAUCCUUGAUACCUUGCUAACAGUCAAGUUAAGCUAUUAUGGAAUUGUGCCUAUUUUCAUGAAUAUUUGGGCAGCCUCUUUUCCUAAAGCUUAUAAUAAAGGCCUCUAUGAACUACCAUGAACUCCAUGGACAGUAGGUAUACAGUGUUAUAUUUGAGUUCCUUCCCUUUUCACCAGAUGUCCAGGUAAUCUGUACUUUAUUUCUAUAAUGACAUAGCAUCCAUCCUUUUCUCCUUUUAUCUUUUGAGCAUUUUCCAGGGUGCUUUCAUCAUCUUGGUUUUGGAUUUUUAUCAGAACAUGUGUCCUUGAACUUGCACACAAGAAAGACUUUCAGUGAUUGACACAUCCAAGGCUUCUUAUUUAGUUGUUCUUCAACUCAACCACAUUGUCUAAUAGAAACCAGCCAGGCUCUGCUGUCUGCACCAUUAGGAUGAUUAUGAAAAGAAUUUAACUAGCAUUUUCCUAUUUAUCUUUCAAAUAUAUAAGCUUCUACUUAGCAAUAUGAAAUAACAAACCACUGCUACAGGAAAAAUGUGGAUAAAUCUCACAGAGAUUGUGUGGAACAAAUAAAACAAAUGAAGUCAUGUGCAAAAGACUACUUACUCUGUUGUUCUGUUUAUAGGAAAUUCAAGAACAAGCAAAACUAAUAAAUGGUCCUGUAAGUCAGAAUAGAGUUUUCCCCUGGGACUGGGAAAUAUUGACUGGAAGAAGCGUGAGGGAGCCUUAUAGAGGCUCUAUAUGUUCUAUAUUUUGAUCUAGGUAGUAGUUAUAAGUCUGUUUACAUAUAUAAAUAUUCAUAAAGUUGUACAUUUAAUACGUGUGCAUUUUACUAUAUGUAUGUUAUACCUUAAUAAAGAAGAAAAACUCAUUUAGGUUACAAGUGAGAAUCAGUUUUAGUGCAGUACUUAUAUGAGUAUGGACUCUGGAGUCUUGGAUAUAUAAUCAGUUGAUUACAAUCAACAUCUGAAUGAUUUUGGAAACUAAGUUUCCUCAUCUGUAAAAUGGAUGAUUUUCUGUGAUAACUGUACAUUUUUACUUUUUGUAUAAGGCAUAAUGGAGUGAUGUGUGUAAGUCACUUACCAUCAUACCUGCCACAAUACAUGCAAGUUUUAGUAUAAUAUCGUCCUGAUUCAAAACAUUUCCUGCUUUUUAAAACAUCCUGCUGUUUAGACAGAUGACUGACAUUAUUCAAUACAUCAAAUGGUAUGUUUUCAUUAGUUAUCUAUUUGUGACUUGCUUAGUAAUUAUAAUGGCAACUGCCAUUUAUGUAACUCUUUAUGUUUAAAAGCUAAUUUAUAUACAUUAUCUAAUUUAAUUAUUCACAACAGUGCUAUAAAAAUGAUAUUAAUUUUAUCCUCAUCUUGCCAACCUAGAGCCUGAGAUGCAGAGACCUGAAGUAACUUACCCAAAUGACAUAGUCAGGAAAUAUUAGAGAGAGUCAUAACUCAGUCAUUUAUCUUUCCCUCUUCAAACGGAAGGGUACAUUAGAGUCACCUACAGAGCUAGUUACAAGUUCCACCCCCCGUAGUGUCUGAUUCAGCAGGUUUGAGGUGGGUCCUGAGAUUGCUGCAUUUCCCAGGCGAUGCUGACACUACCGUCCUAUGGACCACACUUUGAGUAGCAAAGCUUUGCAGAUGAAGAAAGCGUAAGCAUCAGACCUGAGUUCUGCCUUCAAAGAGCUUGCAUUUCUUUUUUCAGGAAACAGGACUGAAGUAUGAAAUAAUAGAAGCCUCCCUAAGGUGGUUUAUAUCCUGAGAACACCCUCUUUGCUGGAAAGAAAGUUUCAUAGUAGAAGAGAACUUAAGAAUACUCAGAUUAUAUAUAGGAGAACAAAGUAUGCUUAGAUACGCUAAUUUUAAUGGUGUUCAAUGACUUAUAUGCCAAAAUGUUAAAAUGGUGGGAGGCCCCUAAAUUAAUAUCCUAAUUCAAGUAUCCUAGUCGUGUUAUUCUCACAAAUUGUCAUUUCAUUAUGUCAAGUAAUAUUUUAGGGUGUUUUAACCAUCGUUAUUUAGGUCUUUGAUUGAUGUGAAAAUUAGUCUCAGUGCUGUAACCACAGGUUUUUGUCAGUGUAACCCUACUGAGUUCCAGCUUCUUUUUUAAAAAAAAGUACAUAUGUGUACCCACAACCAUUGUUACUAAUUGAAAUACUUGAAGAAAAGAGAGAAAACAGUGACCAAAAUUCUUAUAAAAAUCAAAAGCUUUCCAUUUUUUCCAGCUUUGCUUUGUUUCACAGCAGCCAUUUAUCAGAGUUUUAACAAGUAACAAGUAACCAGUCACCUAUUUUUUAAGUGACAGCAUUAUUAAGAUAUAAUUCACACACCAUACAAUUCACUCAUAUAAAGUGUACAAUUCUGUAGGUUUCAGCGUAUUCGUAGAGUUAUGCAACCAUCACUACAAUGUAAUUUUAGAACAUUUUGUUACUUCCAAAAGAAACCCUGUCCCCAUUAAUAGUCAUUCCUCAUUUCUCAAUUCACUCUGCCCUUUGCAACCGCUAAUUUACUUUCUGUCUCCAUGGAUUUGUCUCUUCCAGACAUUUCAUAGAAAUGGAAUCACAAAAUAUGUGGUCUUUUGUGACCAGCUUCUUUCAUAUAGCCUAGCGUUUUUGAGAUCCAUCCGUGUAAAAUGGAUCAGUUUUUUAUUCCAUUUUAUGGUCAAAUAAUAUUCAAUUGAAUGAAUAUGCCACAUUUUAUCUACCCAUUCAUCAGUUGAUGGACAUUUCAGCCACUUCCACACUUUGGCUGUAUGAGUAAGAACACAUUUAUGUACAAGCUUUUGUGAGGACAUAUGUUUUCAUGUAUCUUUGGUAUAUACCCAGGAGUAGAAUUCCUGGGACAUAUGGAAACUAUGUUUAAACCAUAAGGAACUGACAGUUUUCCUAAAGAGUUGAAUCAUUUUACAAUUCCACUAGCAGUGUAUGAUGAUUCCACGUUCUCCACAUUCUCACCAGCUCUUGCUAAUAUUUAUCUUUUUGUUUACAGUAGUGGGUGUGAAAUGGUAUCUUGUUGUGGUUUUGAUGUGCAUUUCCCUAAUCCUAGUGAUGCUGAGCUUCUUGCAUGUGCAUUUGCUUACUUUGUUUUCUUUUUCCAUCCUUUGAGACAAGGUCUCACUCUUAGUCCAGGCUGGAGUGCAGUGGUGCGAUCACAGCUCACUGCAGCCUUGACUUCCCAAGAUCAAGUGAUCCUCCCACCUCAGCCUCCCAAGUAGCUGGGACUACAAAGCACAAACUCUUUAGUUUUUUAGAAAUGGGGUCUCGCCAUAUUGCCCAGACUGGUCAUUCAUUUAUCUCUUUUGGAGAAAUGUGUAUUCAGAUUAUUUGCCCAUUUUUUAAUUUUUUUUUCUUUUUAAAAUUUAAUUGUAAAAUUUGAAUAACUUUUUUGUGCUCUUCUUUGUUUUGGUCUUGUUUUGUUUGAUUUGGUCUUGUUUUGUUCCUUAACCUUUUGGUGACUAGUGAGUAGCUAUUGGUAGAAAGUGGGUAAUUACUAAACAAAUUGCAAUGAGAAAAAAAAGAAUUAAAUAGUGUGGAACACUUGCAAAUAUGAUAACUAAGUUUUACCAAUUAUGAACAGGUUAAUAUUUGGUUUACUGUUUGGAAAAUAAUAAUGUACAAUUUACACAUUGGUUCUAAUACAGUAUUUAAUCUGUAUCUUUGUGUCAUAUUUAAUACCACCAUUUUCCAAAUUGUUCCAUGGAAUGUAAUAGGUUUUAUAUCAAAAAGGGGUCUGUGGCUUAAUAAGUCUGGAGAACCAUAGGCUCAAUAAACGGGAUGGAGUGUUUUAACUCAAGGGCUUCCUUGAACCUUUAAUAUGUAAAUAGACAUUGUAAGUGUUCAAAGCAAGGACUGUACAUGAAAAUAAAACCCUUUACUUUCCCUAAUCAUUUCUUUUGGGACUUGUGUUCUGUGGAACACACUCGGGGAAGCAUUGCUUUAAGGAUGUUAAUUUUUCUUAAAGAAAGUAUAUUGCCCUGGAGAGCUCAGAUUGUGACAACUGGACAGGUACAAAGACUGGAUGAAACAGCAGCAAUUGUUAAGUUACGUGUUACAAACUCAGAAUUAAUAUGGGAAGGAUCCUGACAUUUUAUGAAAUUAAAACUAAUAUUAAUUGAACAGAAAUAGAAAAAAACCUGGGAAGACUUGAGACAGUUUGUGAUUCCUCUCAGCUAGCUGGCAUGUUUAUUUUGUAUUACAGUGCAUAAUUGACCCCCUGCUAGGUGAAUUGGAUUUUGCAGACUCGCCUUGUUAUGUAUUUCAAAGAGCUCUAAAUUUAAUACAUGCUGCUCCUCAGGGUUCAAGCUUUGAAUCACCCUCCUUUUCCUGUGUUUUAGCUGGGUAAGUUUCUCUCUUUUCAAGAACAGCAACUUUUUCAAUGCAGACAGUUUAAUUAUAAAGAUCUUCUCAUUUCGGUAAUGUUUUAGUGAAUCUCAUAUUUCCUCAUAAAUUUAGGGAGAAUGCAGCUAUUUCUAAAAAUAGGAAUUAAUAGUUGAGUUGUUACUGGCUUUUUUAUUGUCCUUUCCAGAAUUACAAAAAAAAUAGUCUUUGGCAGUUCACAUUGCUUCAGGUUGAAAGUAUGCAAAAUUUUUAAACUAUUCCAUAUUCGUAAUAAGUGAAAAAAUAAUUAUUUUUGAUUUCUCCCCUAAGGUACUAGCAAUGUGUCCAUUAGGAAAUUUAGCUCUUAUUUUUGGUGAAGUAGCAGAAUUUUUGUUUCAAGGCAAAUUCAGCAUAGAUACUUGAUUGUAAAGAUAUUAUUGUUUGCAAAUCUUUGUGGAGUUUUUUGGGGGCCAAAUUGAAGCAUUAACUCAAAAGAAUGGCCCUUUUCUUUUAUUGUUAUGUUCUUUUCAUUUUAUUUAUUUGCUUUCAUACAUUUUCUAAUUAAUUUUAUGUUUUUACCAAUACCAGCCCCAUCACUGGGGUUCUGGUGACCACUUAAUUUUACUGUGAAGUAGAAGCCAGAUGAUGGAUAAGUCAAGCCCCAAUAUAAUAAAGCCACCUUAACUAGUUAAACUGAUAUUAUAGAGCUUAGCUCUGACUCCAGAUAUACAUAUAUACCAUUACUUUAUAGAACAACUCUCUCUGGAAUAGCCGUGUUCUCUUUAAGCCAGGUAUGAUGGUGCAUGCCUGUAGUCCAGCUACUGGGGAGGCUGAGGUGGGAGGAUUACUUGAGCCUAGGAGUUCAAGGCCAACCUGGGCAACACUGCAAAACUUUGUCUCAAAAAAAAAAAAGUUAUCUUCGUCAUUGAGAUGUUGCAUUGAUCACCCAAGUAUGGUGAAGAAUUGAAGAGUAGCCAAUUAGAGUGCUCGAUUAUGAAAAUAUGAUGCAAGAUAGGGACCAGGAAGGUCACCACAGUUCUUCCUGGGGCUAGUUGCUAUGAAAGAUAAACCCCCACAUCUCAGUAGCUUAACACUAUUGAAGUUUACAUUGUUGUUUACAAAAUGCUCUUUCUGGUGGACUGUUUCCCUUCAAGCCAUGAUUCACAUGGCCGGCAUUCUUCCAUCUUGUAAACCCAUCAUCUACAAACAGAGACAUCCAACUUACCCUGCUAGGCUGCAUCAAGCCAGAAGGAGAAAGAGUAUGGACGGUCACCAGUGGAAGGUUUCUGUGAAUGUGACUCUAGCUCUAACUCUGUGAGCUAGAAGUCAGUCAUAUCACCAAACCUCAUCCCAAGGGACACUGGGGCAUGUAAUCCAACCACAUAUGCUCAAGAAGAUGAAAUGGAUUUUGGUGAACAUGCAGUGAUCUUGACAUACACUGCUGAAUAUUUGCUUUUUUAUAUUUACAGUGUUGAAAUUAAUCUGACUAAUGAAUUGGAGUUAGUUAUCUCCAAAGGAAAAAAAAAUUACACAUGCACGCACACAUUAAUUAUACAUUAGUCUUAGGCUAAUAAUUAAUAUAUCCACAUGUUAAGUAAUUUCUUUAAUAAGUUCUCUUCAAAUUAGUUCAAAGAUGUCUUUGGCAUUCCUAGAAGGCACAUUUUAUUGAUCUGUUCUCAAUUUACAAAACAAAUAACUGACUCUUUAUAUCUCCUGAAUCUCCUUUGAACAUUAAACUGAGUAGCAAAGCAUCACACAUAGCAAGAAAAUUGAUUUUGACAAUCCAGCCUUGUUAGUUAUCAUUUCAACAGGUGCCAUUAGUAUCAAGACCGAGGUGCCUGCCACAGCUCUAGUGCAAUAAUGUGAAGUAAAUAUCCAUCCAAGCACCCUGGCCUCUUCUCCAAAAUAGAAAAUGACAUCAUGUAAUUGGUUUUGUCUGAACUGCUCAGUGAGUGAAAAUGUGUUUCAGAAGAGUUAAGGCAUGAUGUCAUUAUUCCUGAAGUGGAUUCUUGCAAAGGCUGGGCACUCAGCAGCCUGAGUCUUAAAACCAGCAGCAGUACAAAAACCUGAUGCAGAACCUUAACCCCAUUUAUAUAAUAUGGUGAAUUUUUUCUCAAAUGGGAAUAUGGUGCAUUAUCUUUAAAAACAAGAAGUGAUCACAUGCUCCAGAACACCACUGAUGCCUCUAAGAAAUCUUAUUGAAUUAAGACAGUUAAUUAAUUGUCUGCAAUAGUCUUGACUCUUGCCUGUCUCUCACUUGAGCAUGUGUUGUAAAUUAGGCAGGAAUAUCAUUAGGGCAUCCAGUUCGUUCCCAUGCCCCAGUGGCAAAGAGGGGCAGGACAUGAAGAUGAUUUUAUUUAUUUAACAAAUACUGAUCACCUGCUAUGUGCCUUGUAAUGAUCUUAGUGCUGGGUAUAUAGCCAUGAAUAAAAUGAGAUUCCUCUUUUUAUACAUAAUAAGCAAAUAAAAAUACAACCCAAUGGCAGGUAGAGUUUCAUGCUAGGAAGAAAGAUAAAGCAAAAUGACAUGCUAGAGGGUGAUGCGGGAGUGGCAUGGACUGGAAGAUGGGCUGUCAGAGUAUGACAUUUGAGCAGAGGCUGAAAUGCUCUGAGGGAGAAAAUCAUAAAUCAUGUGGAUAUUUGUUGGGGAAAUGAUUAUAGGUGUAGGGAACAGCAGGGGCAAAGUCCUUGGAUCGGAGUGUGCUUGGCAAGUUUAAAGAUGAGCAAACAUGAAUGAGGGGUAGAGUGGCAGGGAUUAUGGUGGAGGAGAGGCAGAAGGAGCAGAACAUGCAACAUGCUGGAUGCUGCUGUAGGCCCUCAUAAGGGACUGACUAUUGAGCCAUAAAGCCACUCGAUUUCAGGCUUGGCAUUCAUGCUCUAGCACCAGAAGUGUAAUGCUGGGUGGUCUAUGGGCUCUGCAUUUAGGCUGGGGACUAAGAUGUGACAUUUCUGGACCUUGGAUGAUUGUCAAAGGAUGGGAGGUUGGUUCUGGGUUCAGAGAAUGGGGAAGUACAUUGCCCAUUAAGAAUUUUAAGAGAUCUAAGUGUGACCACAAUUGAUGAUUUUAUUAUCUUCACUUCAGUGAUAAAAUUCUUCACCCUCCUCAUUCCAUAAUAUUCUGCUGCUUUCACCUGAAGUUCGCCAGGUAUGAUUAAACAUUGAGUAAUUCAGACCAAAGCUUCCAGAUAUCUAGUAACAAUAUACACUAGUCAAAAAACAAGAUCACACACACAGACACACACACACACACACACACAGACACACACACACACUCUUUAGUAUAUUUGGCAAGGAGAAAUCAUUGAGUGCAUGAAUUUAUAAUGGGAUUGUAUAUUUUCAAUCAAAGAUCUUACAUGAAAAAUGUUCAAUCAUUAAGAUAAGGGAGACAUUUAUGUUAUGUGGUACCCAAGAUAUGCCAGUAAGGUUUUUUAAAAUACACUUUAUUCAUUUGUUCAAAAGCCAUUUUGGGUGGUGGAGGCUUACUCUGUGCUACUGAAGACAUAAUGAAGAUCAGGAGAUACCCUGGCAGCCGAGAGCAGUGGUGCAUGCCUGUAAUCCCAGCUACUCAGGAGGUUGAGGUGGCAGGAUUGCUUGAGCCUGUGGGUUGGAGACCAACCUGGGCAACACAGCAAGACCCUGUCUCAAAAAAAUAAGUGGGAAAAAAAGACAGAGAUGUCCUUGCAACAAACCAGAAAGUGAGGUAUAACUAUUCUAAUUUUACAAACAAGGUAACUGAGGCACAGAGGAGUUCAGCCUGUGUUCGGAGUCACACAGCUGGUAACAUGAAGUUGAAACACAAAUGUAACUUUUUUCUACACCUUGUCUUUUUAAAACCAACAACAUCUUUCAGACACUUGCACACUUUUUUUCAGAUAAUUGGUGUAUGUAAAGGAUUUCACUUCACAUGGACUAUUUGGUAGAUAUAUAACAUCUUAGAUAUAGCCAAUAUCUUGUAUAGGAACAAUGUUUGUAUGAAGUAAAGAAAAACAAUAGGAUAAUCAAUGCAAGGUAGAAAGUGAUAGCACACUUCUGUGAUUAAUACUAGGAUAACUGGUAAAGAGUAUAUGCUAUUUUGUAUUACUAUUUCCAUAACUUCCAAUCAUGCACAUGGCUGCUUCUCUACAACUCUACAAAGACAGUAUCUAACACACUGUCAUACACCACUGCUUCCUAUCUUGUUAAAAUGCCAAUUCUGACGCAGGUCUGGUGUGGGACCUGAGAUUCUGCAUUUCUAACAGACUCCAGGGAUGCAGAUGUCAUUGCUCUGUGCUCUUAAAUGUGGAGUUUAAGGCUAUUACAGUCAUUUCCGGCACCAACCAAAACACUGUGUCUUGGCCCCCACGGCUACUGGUGGUCACUUUUGCAAGAAUGUUUCCUGGGAGACCUAGUAGAGCAGCUUACAGGAGUUCACAAAGACACAAAAUGAUGGUAGGAAGGAAUAAAGAGGAGAAGUAAAAGUGUUGCAAUGGAUUCUGUACCUCAAUCCUGAAGAAACCACAGAUCAGUCACUUCCUUCUUGUUCAAGUGUGUCAAGUGUGUCAAGUGUGUCAGCCUGAUUUGGCACAGCUGACUUGAUGAAGCAUGAUCUCACACAGCAAAGCUGUUGAUCACCUUGAAGAAUAUGUACUUUGCUCCUUGGUGUAACCUAAAUUUUACCUCGCUAAAACAAAACAAAAAGAAUCUAAUAUUCUACUCAUAUUAUUCAUUCUGGCUGGAUGCUAAAGUUAAUUUCCUUAAGUGCUUCAGAUACUAUAUUAAAACUAUCCUUUUAUCAAAUAUUUUAAUAUAAAGCUUUUGAAAACAUGCAAGAGAAUUUCUUCAUUAGAGCCUUCUCCAAUUUUAAUGAGCACACAAAUCACCUUAAAAUCUUAUUAAAAAUAUAAAUUUUGACUCAGUGAGUCUGGGAUAGGGAUUGAAAUUUUCCUUUUCUUAAAAGAUCUUAGAGAAGGUGGAUACAGCAUCCUUGGAGCACUCUGAAUAGACGGGCCUUGGAAUAUCUUAUCUUCACUUGUAUUAGGAUGGCUUUUUUGUGUGUGUGAUGUUCAAAAUGAUGAGGAAGCUAUAUGUUUACAUAUCACCAGAAGCUUAAAAUGAUGGAAAGGAGGCUCCCACCCCAUCAUAUAGGCCAUUGAUCAAAGAUUCUGCAGUCACACUAUUUCCUUACCAUGAUGGAUUAUUCAAACACCAGCUGUAGGAAAAGGAUUUUUUUCAGGAAACUGAUGGUCCAUUGUAGUUUUUCUGAAAUCAGGCUGUACUUGAGGAUUACUCAGCGGGUUCCAAAGAGUACAGACAUUUAAGAUCCACCCCAGACCAACUAAAUCAGAAUCUCUGGGCAUGAAUCUAAUGAGUAGUCUCUAGACCAGCAGCACCUGCAAGCUUAUGAGCCAUACAGAAUCGCAGGCCCCUCCAGAUCUACUGAAGUACAGCUUGAAAAGAUCCCCAAGCAAUUCCAACGCAUGUUCAAUUUUGAGAGAUGUUGCUAACUGGGAGGCAAAGCUGUAGAGUUGCCGCAGCAACUUAAUUGUAAGGUAUUAAAAGUCUCCUUUCCUAUCUAAUCGUUUGGAUGUCUGCCAGGUAUUAGGACCAAAGGAAGACGGGCAGACAUAAGAACCCAUCCAAUGGUGGUUACAUUGAUUAUAUCCUUCCUGAGGCAUCUGAAAUAGUAUAAAAUAAUAAGGAGAGAACACCAAAAAUGUAUCAACUUCCAUGUAACUAGUGUGUAUUAGCCCAUUUUUGCUUUGUUGUAAAAGAAUAUCUGAAAUUUAGAAAUUUAGUAAUUUAGAAAGAAAAGAGGUUUAUUUAGUUCGUGGUUCUGCAGGCUGUACAAGCUUGGCACCAGCAUCUGGUGAAGCCUCAGGAAGCUUUCACUCAUGGCAGAAGGCGAAUAGGGAGCAGGUGUGUCACAUAGCAAGAGAGGAAGCAAAGGAGUGGGGAGGAUGUGCCAGGCUCAUUUAAAGAACCAGCUCUCGCAUGAACUAAUUGUGCAAGAACUCACUCAUCACCAGGGCGAUGGCGCCAAGACAGUCAUGAAAGAUUUGCACCCAUAAUCCAAGCAGCUCCCACUAGGCCCCAUCUCCAAUACUGGGAAUAACAUUUCGGCUUAACGUUUGGAUGGGACACACAUCCAAACCACAUCUUAGUGCUUUACAUAGACUGUUCCAUCUAUCUCUCCUCUUUGUCAUGGGUUUUGGUUGACUUUCUCCCAGAAAGUCCUCCCUGCUUGUUUCUGGCUUUAAAUCUAUUGAGUAAAAUUUAUCUGAAGGAAAUUUAAUCAAUAAUUCAAAACAGGAAUAGAUUAUUCAUAGGGAGAGCUGUGCUCACAGUUUUGUUAAUUUGCAGUGGUAGCAUUCUUUAUCACUGGCUGAAACUCAAGUAAAGGAGUGAAAGAUCAAGUAUUUGUUGAGAAACUAUUUUGUGCCUAGCAUCAUGCUAAGGAUUAUGGUGACAACCGCAAAAGGUUAGUUUCAUGGCACUUGUUGGAGAUGCAUGUAUUUAACUUGCAAAUAGUAUACACAACUCGUGUGUUAUUAAGUUAUGAAAUAUUGAAAAAGCAUAACAUGGGAGUUUAAUAAUGGAACACAGACAGACUGAGCAGAAAAAAAAAAUUAGUGAAGGGAGGUGUCAUUUUGAAUUUAGGCUUCACAGAGCCAACAGAACUUGAGUAGAUUUAAGAUGUGGACAUUCCAUUGAGAGAAAACAGCUUCAACAAAAGCAAAAUAUAUAAAUAUACAUAUAUAAAUAACACACAGAUGACAGGAAACAAAUAAUAAUGAGAGCUUACCCUUAAACAUGCAGCACUAUUUUAUGUUUUGCAUUUUUAAUUUUGGGCAUAGAAUUUCAUGUAUGUUGGGGAAACUGUAGAAAUUCUUCUUAUUCUAAUUAAGGAAGGUAGCUUUGAAAACAAGCAUAUUUUAAAUAGUUAAAAUUUUCAUUAUUUUUUCCUCAAAAUUAUAGAUUGUGGUGCUUUUUUGUAAUUUUUGCUAACUUCAAAAUGUAAAGUUAAAGGUUUUAUGAAAUAUCAAUUCUGAAAAAAAUUUUCUGCUACUAAUGAUCUAAAAACUGCUAUGUUAAGCAGGCUCUUUUCAUAGAUUAAAAAUGCUCAAAAUUACUUUGAUGUAAACUUCAUUCAUUAUACAUGUAAAAAGCUUGGUUUACAUGGCUUAUAAGUCAGUUUUACAGUCUGGCUGUUAAGCCUAAUUCUUUAGAUAAUUACUAUGUGAAAUUUUCGUUGUCAUUAAUUCUUCAUUGUGGCAAACUGGCAUGAGUAUUCUCUAUUAUGGAGUAAUAAUAUUAAUAAGAAGUGCACAUAUUCAAAAUAAUGUAGAAUUAUAUGCACUAUAAUUUACAUAUUUGUUUAAUGUCUUAUUUUUUAUUAUCAACUUUGCUUGUUUAUUUGUUUUAUGUCACCUGCUGUAGAAUGCUAAUUGGUAACAAAUUAUAGCAUUAUAGAAUAGGUGCAAGCCAUCAAAGUGUACAUUUUUAUGUAAAUAUUUUAUUUUUAUUAUAGAAUGAGUAACCUAAAGAUAAAUGCAGUGCAUUCUCAGCAAUAAGAUAAUGCUGAAAUACAUUUCAGAAGAUACAAUAUUUUUAAACCUGACAGGAAAUUAUAAAACAUUAGCUUACAUGAAAUAAGUUUCAUUCUAUAUGAGCUUUAAUACUGCAAGAUCUAUGUCUAUUAACUGACAAUGGAAAGUUUUGUGAGGAAAAUGGUUGUAUGCUAUAUCUUUGCUUCCACUAACAGGAAACAUUACAGAGUCACAAUUCUUAAUAGACCGCAGGCUCCUUUACAACUUAGCCAUCUAUAUUACUCACUUUUAUGUCCCUAGCAUUGGUGAUAGAUGGUGUUAUUUAUUCACAAUUCUUUUGCUUUCCAUCUUUGCCAUGAGUGUAAGUGGAGUUGACAAUCUACUGCAUUGACUUGGCCCUGUGACUUGCUUUAGCUAGUCAAAUGUUAGUGGAUGUAAUGACUUUACAUGUGCUUGUGUGGUAUGACUCCUUCUCUUGCAUUUCUGCCCUUUACUAUGAGAAAAAUAUCUUUUAGGUAGUUGACGAUUUCGAAAUGAAAAGGAUAUGAAGAUCAGAACCCAACCUGUAGCAUAACACAAAUCUAUAUGCACAAAGCACGUUCCAUGCAGUCAUGUCUUAGUUCUGGGAUUUCUAGGUAUGGGAUUUCCUUGAGCUGAGCACUACAUGUAAUAGUGAUGGUGAACUAUCUAGGUAUCGGUUUCUAAAGGUUUUCUCAGUAGUGGGACAGUAGCUGAGAAAUAAAGGAGAAAUUGGCUAGGCCAGGAGACUUCUCCAUCUCUAGGGUCGCCAGGUAAUAGUUCAGAUUACUUCAGAGAUUUAAAGGUGCAGCAUUAGAACAUGGUUUUCCAGGUUAGCAGGGUCAGGCAGUUACCAGAAGAUUCUGCAAGCAUGACUUGGUGCCUGAGUGGGUGGCGAGCCAGGGGUCCCUGUCCAAUCCCCAAGCUGAACAGAGAAUAAAAUCCGGAUUAUGAUUAAGCUCAUAUCCACCACCACAAAAUGGAGAGAAAAACAACAGAUUUGGUUAACACCCAGUGUUCAAGGAAUGAGAAAAGGGAUAGGAAGCAAACUUGAAGCAUUGAAAAAAUAUGUCAGGUCCUGAAACUGGGGGGAGGAGAAGUGGGAAGGAGAUGUUCUGAAGAGCGUCACUGAGAAAGGCAUAUUUAUACCUGAAUAAGUUCUCUCCAAUCUGCCUGCAAUUUUUAGCUAGUUUGCCUAGUGUAGCCAGAUUACAGCCUUUGGGUGUGUUCUGUGUCACCAAUGAGGAGGGCUCUGUAACUGUUGAUGAUUGCCAUAGAAGGGUGGGUUUCCUGUCAAGUCCUCCAGGUACUAUCCAGAUGCUCCCCCAGGAUCUGACAGAGGCUGGACUAAGGGAGCCUUCUGAAGAAUAGAGUAGCACACAGCUUGAGAACUGCAGUGUGGACUGAACUUGAAGCUCAGCUACAUGGUGUUAUAAGCAGACUUACAAAACUACCUCUCAGUUUGGGCAACUGAAACUGAAAGUUUACUAUUGAAUAUAGACAAAUUUUGGCCAGGCGCUGUGGCUCAUGCCCAGCACUUUGGGAGGCUGAGGCGGGCUGAUCACCUGAGCUCAGGAGUUGGAGACAAGCCUGGCCAAUAUGGCGAAACCUGGUCUUUACCAAAAAUACAAAAAUUAGCUGGGCGUGGUGGUGCGUACCUGUAGUCCCACGUACUGGGGAGGCUGGGGCCAGAGAAUAAGUUGAAUCGGGGAGGCAAAGGUUGCAGUGAGCCAAGAGCGCACCACUGCACUCCAGCUUGGAGUAGACAGAGCAAGACUUAAUCCCCCUACCCCCCACCCUCCCAAAAAAGAAAAAGAAACAUGUAAAAUACAUUUUCAUUUAAAAAGUUAAAUUGUAGUAUAUUCACUUUUAGUAAUAAAUUUUUUAUAAUAUGUCAUUACCAGGCAGACAAAAAAAACUUCAGAUAUUUUCUUUCAAAGUGCCUUGAGUGCCUUCUGAUAGAACUGCUAACGAGCAAAACUAGUACUAGUUAAAUAGCACUAAUUUGAUAAUACUAAUUAUUGUGAAUUGUUUGGAUGACUUCUGAUACAUAUAUUUUACUUUGAAGGGGCUUUUUCUAGGAAUAUUGAUAUUUAAUACCUGUUAUAUCUUCUAUUUGUAAAUGAUUAUUAAGUUGGCUACUUGCUCUGCAGAGUAUUAGGAAUUUCAGUUUUUACUGGUUGGUGGUUGCAUGUAGUUUUGCCAAACAGAAUGCUUAAUAAACAUUUUAAGCUUGUUCUGCCUUGGCUGUAUAUUUUAGUUCAUUUUUUGUAAAUUUUCUCAAAAUUAAUUGUAGGCUAGCUUACCUAUAAUAGUCCUUAAUUACCAUUUUGGGGGGGAAUUCUUUUGUAUAGUAAUUGUUCUCCCCCAACUAGAGUUUAUGUGCCUUCUCUGUCCUUCUCUGUCCUUCACCUGAAUAAUAUAAUGCUGACCAUCAUGGAGUAAGCACUGAACUUAUAAAUCAUUUGAAUUGGUUUUUUGAUCUGAAAUUCACAGCUGAUGAAAGCAGUUGAAAGUCGAUGUUUUCUGUGAGUCAUGAUUUUUUUUUUCCCCAAGCUGGAGUUGAAAUCUACUUGAAUAUCUCUCUCCUAUGACAAAGGCAAAAUUAAGUAUCAUGAUAACUUUCAGGAUUCGAAUAAAAUAAUCACUUAAUAGUGAUGUGAAUUUUCAUGAACAUUCGCAGCUUGAAGAAUUAUUUUAGUAUGCCAUGUAUUUAUAGUUUAAUAAAACAUAUGUUUCUCUAUAGUUCAAUUUAUUUUGUGCUUGAAGGAAUUUUUUUUUUUUUUUUUUUUUUUUUUUUUUGAGAGGGAGUCUCGCUCUGUCGCCAGGCUGGAGUGAAGUGGCGUGAUCUCGGCUCACUGCAACCUCUGCCUCUCGGGUUCAAGCCAUUCUCCUACCUCAGCCUCCCAAGUAACUGAGAUUACAGGCACAUACCAGCACGUCCAACUAAUUUUUGUAUUUUUAGUAGAGACGGGGUUUCACCACGUUGGGCAGGAUGGUCUAGAUCUCUUGAUCUUGUGAUCCACUCACCUCGGCCUCCCAAAGUGGUGGGAUUAUAGGUGUGAGCCACCGUGCCCAGCCAGAAAUUAUUUUUAAAACUGUGGUUUUGUAUUCCCAGGAUAAAAUGUGUAUCUUUUGUACAGCUUCACAAAUUAGUAUGUCCAUUUACCUAUAGCAGUGCAUAAAAGGAUAUUUCUUUAAAGAUCUAUUUGUAUAACAUUCUAUAGUCCCCUCUUUAUUGAAAGUACUAAUAGCAAUAUUUCUAAAAUUAUUUAAUUUUCCAGUGAAUGCCAAAGAGUCCCAAUUAUGGGAAAAUGUGUUCCAUUUUGGAAAAUGCUACAUGCAGUUCUCAUUUUCACUCAGAAAAAUAAAAGGCAAUUUAAUUACAAAGGACGCAAUUUUAUAGAUUGGAAAAAUAUAGAAAUCCAGACUGCUUGCCAAGUGGAGUGAGACUGUGUGUAAUAAAGUAGAUUUUGAAAACUUAUGCUCAAAACACAAUCAAAAAGUCACAGAAUGUGAGGGUAUUAUGGAUGGCAAAGAGAUAUUUGGCAAAUGUAAGCAGGGCAGGCAGUCCUUCAUUUUUUUUUUUUAACCUCUUUUUCUAAAUGCCCUCUGCUGAAGUGGGAUAGUUAUUUAGAGGUAAGGAAAUGAUGGUGGGAAAAAAUGUGGGAGACAUUUUUCUCUCCAAGUGCCUGAAAUCUUGACAUUGUUCUCUCGAUCGAUGGAAAUAAUCAAAAAGGAGAAGGCCAUAGCCCUGGUUAAUUAACCAGCUCACUAUUUAAGAGCACAAUUCUCCAAAACAGCCAUUUAUUUCUAUCUAAUAAACAUUAAUCUCAAAUAAAUAAAAACAUAUUCUCUCUCUAAUUCUAUUGUAAGCACCUUAAGACAAAACCUGAGUCUUCUGUUUUGUCCUAACAAUGGUGCAAUGUGCCCUCUAGAGAAGACCCUUCCUAAGUGUGAUUGACUGGGAUGGGCUUAGCUGUUCUACCUUUUUCUAAAGGUGGCACUCCCACAUACCUUAUAAAUGCAGGUCUAGUUUCAUCAUUCCAUUAAUCACAUGCUGACAUAUCAGCUUCAAUUAUUUAAAUCAAAUAUUUACAGUUAACAUUAGUUAUAUGAAGUCGGUCCUCAGAAAUCACUGUAUGGAACACACUUUUAUAGUUGACAUUGUUUAACAAUGUCCUUCUAAAUGUUGGCCAAGUAAUUUGCCUGAAGAGCCCUUCUCUGCCUGAAGCCAUAAGUACUUGAACAGACAGUUUUUUGGGGAGAUCUUCCUAGUUAAAAAUAUUGAGCUAAUAUCUAAACUUAUAGAUAACUUCGGGACAUUUGAUUUGAGUUAAGGUUAGAACAAUGCUGCGUAAUUCUGGCCACAUAUAUAAUUAAUUUAAAUUCUUCUAGAUUAAAAAAAAUGUUGCAGAAUGCUACAGAGCUGCAAAUGAAGACUAGUAUCCUGUUAAAACCAUUUGAUCUUUAAACUGGCUUGCUUCAUUUCAUAAUGGAUCGAAGACAAUGGACACAAAGUAUAUAGGCAGUAAAAUAAUGAUAAAAUAAAUGUUGGUACUCUAAAAUAGAAAUAAAUUAGAAAAUUAAGAACAAGGAAAACAAAACACAAAUGCACACACAUAGCAGCUAAGCUGGCUCAUACCUCAGGGCCUUUGGACCUGUUGUUCCCUAUUCUUGGACCCGUUGCUUCCUUAGAUCUUUGGUUUUGUUUUACUUUUUGAGAAGGAAUUUUGCUCUUGUUGCCCAGGCUAGACCAUAAUGGCACGAUCUUGGCUCACCACAACCUCAGCCUCACGGGUUCAAACAAUUCUUCUGCCUCAGCCUCCCGAGUAGCUGGGAUCAUAGGCAUGCGCCACCAUGCCCAGCUAAUUUUGUAUUUUUAGUAGAGACAGGGUUUCUCCAUGUUGGUCAGGCUGGUCUCGAACUCCCAACCUCAAGUGAUCUGCCCACCUUGGCCUCCCAAAGUGCUGGGAUUAUAGGCAUGAGCCACUACACCCGGCCACCUUCUCAGAUCUUUUGCUAGCUGCUGCUUCUUCUUCUUCUUUUUUUUUUUUUUUAAAUGGAGUCUCCCUCUGUCGUCCAGGCUGGAAUGCAGUGGUGUGAUCUUGGCUUACAGCAACCUCCACCUCCUGGGUUCAAGUGUUCUCCUGCCUCAGCCUCCCAAGUAGCUGGGACUACAGGCGCCCCCUCACCAUGCCCAGAUAAUUUUUUCAUUUUUAGUAGAGACAGGGUUUCACCGUGUUGGUCAGGCUGUUCUCGAACUCCUGACCUCAAGUGAUCCUCCCGAAGUGCUGGGAUUACAGGCAUGAGCCACCGGCCUGCUAGCUUCUUCUUUCUUGUCAUGUGUCUCUUUUGAGAUAUCACUCUUCCAGAGAUGCUCUCCUUGACCACCUUGUCUGAACUAUCCUUAUAGUCCCCUUGUGUCAUCUCCUUUUGCUUUCUUUUCUUCAGAUCAUUUAUCAAAAUCAAGUUGUUUCUUGUUCACUUCCAUGUGUAAGUAUUGUUGUCUGUCUACCCCAAUUCAAAUAGAAACUCCAGGAGAGUUUGCUCACUGCUAUAUCCCCCAGUUGUGCAUGUGGGUACCAGGUGACACUUUCUAAGUAGUUUAAAGUGAGUACAUGUUCUUAGGAACUUGCUAUGUGGCCUGAAGCUUUCUAGAACUCAAAAUGAAGAGAGAGAAAUUAGAAAGGCAGAUGCUUACCACUGCUCCCCAGGGAAUAAUAAUUUGAAAACCAGCACUUAAUUAUAAUAGACUUGUAUUGCCAGGAACCCCAUCCAGUGGGUACUGAGCUGGUACAGUGAGAAAACUGUCAAACAGAACUUUGUACAGGAGAUACUCUUAUUGUGGUCCAAAUCUGGAGGGUUCUAUUAGAUGAAGUUCAUCCAAACAUAGAACUUAGAUUAAGGGAGUAGAUGUAUACUCCACAGCCAAUCCUUCACAAAACUCAUUUGUCUCCAUUGGGUUUUUUAUAAGCUCUGGAAAACAAACAAACAAAAGAGAUAUUUAAUAAGUUAUCUAUUUUUUUCCAGAGUUUCCCUUGUUCUCGUGCUGAUGAUUAACUUUAACUCUUCAAAUCAAUUGUAAGCUGCCUAAAGGCAGAAAAGAUAAUGUAUUUAAAUAUGUCUUCUUAUUCUUAGGACAGAAGAAGGUCCCUAUACAUGGCAGAUGUUCAUUAAGGAUCAGGGUUUAGUGAUGUUAAUGCUAUUAUAUAGGUUCAUUAGUCAUAUAAAAGUUCAUUAUGUGCCAGGCACUUUCAAGGCAAGUUCUGAGAAACAACAUUAAUGACUGGGCACAGAAUCUCAGACUAGAGGACCUCAUCUGGUGAACUUGGGCAUGAAUGAGCACAGCAAAUUAGUGGCAGAGCCUAGGGCUUAUUCUGCUAAUAGGAGCAAUUCUAAUGUUGGCAUGCACUCACACAGGGAAAUGUGUGAUAUAUGUUUCCAUCACAUAGGGAAAGCAUUAAAAAUCUACAUGCUUGGACUUUACUCCUAAAUCAGAGAUUUGGGGUCUACAGAGGUAUGGAAACCCUCCCUCAAUCUUGGAGGGUGUAUUAGUCUGUUCUCACGCUGCUAUAAACAACUGCCUGAGACUAGGUAAUUUAUAAAGGAAAGCAGUUUAAUUGACUCACAGUUCCACAGGGCUGGAGAGGCCUCAGGAAACUUACAAUCGUGGUGGAAGGGGAAGUAAACACAUCCUUCUUCACAUGAUAACAGGAAGGAGAAGAAUGAGUGGGGGGAAAAGCCCCUUAUAAAACCAUCAGACCUCAAUGAACUUACUAUCAUGAGAACAGCAGCAUGGUGGUAACCGCCCCCAUGAUCCAAUUACCUCCACGGGGUCCCUCCCAUGACACAUGGGGAUUAUGGGAACUACAAUCUAGAUGAGAUUUGGGUGGGGACAUAGCCAAACCAUAUCAGAGGGAUACACUGAGAUACAAGGGGAUAAAGCAGAUAAAAAGGCAAACUCUAGUCAAUUGAAUUUCUCAUAUAUCUUUCAUUCUAACCCGUUCAGAUGUACUAAUUUGUCACAUGCCAUGGUUACUUUUCCCUUUUUAGACUUUCAAGUUGGAAAAAGCUUUUUUCAGAUUCAGAAAGAUAAAAUAUCAGCCAUGUAUUAAAUGCAUUAAAUGUUUUUCUCUCAGCUGCUUUUAUUCCAAAAUAUUUUUUUUUUUUUUUUUUUUUUUUUUAGACGGAGUCUCGCUCUGUCGCCCAGGCCGGACUGCGGACUGCAGUGGCGCAAUCUCGGCUCACUGCAAGCUCCGCUUCCCGGGUUCACGCCAUUCUCCUGCCUCAGCCUCCCGAGUAGCUGGGACUACAGGCGCCCGCCACCGCGCCCGGCUAAUUUUUUGUAUUUUUAGUAGAGACGGGGUUUCACCUUGUUAGCCAGGAUGGUCUCGAUCUCCUGACCUCAUGAUCCACCCGCCUCGGCCUCCCAAAGUGCUGGGAUUACAGGCGUGAGCCACCGCGCCCGGCCUCCAAAAUAUUUUCUUAAGGGUCACUGACAAUCUUGCAAGGAUGUAAAUGACAAGCUGUAUUUGUUUGUUGACAUUAUCUAUCAAAGAGGCUUCUAAACACUUUUGUGUUUCUGAUGUGAAUAAAGGAAAUACAACAUUGAAUAAUAAUCCAGGCAGGUUGCAGGUGGCAUAAGGCUUCAGAACUCCACCAUAGAAAUGAACGUGAUUGGAAAUGCAGCAAUCAACAUUUUGACAGAAAAGUGAAUGUUUCAACUGCUUUAUGUUCACAAAUUGUUUCUAUUUUCUUUUUGUAUUACAAAAUGUAAGCAGUGUGAGUUUGUGUGUAUAUGUGUGUGUCUAUGUGUGUAAAUUCAAAGGUUUAUCCUGUAAUAAGAUAGAAUCAGAGAUAGACUCCUUGCUAUUCUCAGGUUAUUUUUUCCUUGUUCACAUUUUUUUACACUUGAGUAAAAUACUUCUGCAAGACAUAUUGGAAUAGUUUUGUGACUAAAUCCUAGAAUUUGCAAAAUAGUGAAUCACAAUAUAAUGUUUCCUUUGGAUACUAUUUUGGCCAUACUUGGUUGGCUUUCUGGAAGUAUGAAGUGGAGGUUUCCCAGUGACACCUGUAGCAGUGCUUCUCAGGGACAUAGAAAGACACCAAAUUCUCUUAUACUGGGAUUCAUCCAGGUGACCAGCAUUUGCUUUGCAACAAUCAUCUGUGGUGAUUGCUCAAGUGUAGAAGGGUUUUCAAGAACUCCAUCAUGGAGUUUUGUAGUGGCAGAUUAGCUGUCCUCUACUUCUCCUGGAGUGGCUGGGAUUCUUCAACACCAAAAGAGGCAUUGAGUCUUUCUUAAUUGGCUUCAGUCAGAGAGGGUGGGGAUAUGUGAAACUUCUCAGUCUGAUCUGUUCUUCAGCUCCUCAGAAAAGUUCUACAGCUACUCCAGAUCUGUUUCGAUAAAGGGGCGGUGGUGCAAUGAAAUUAUUCAUAACAGCCCACUUUAGAGGUCUGCCUGAAAAAGGUGGAGUAUUUUUAAUAGUAGAUGUGUUGAGUGUCUUAUCCAUAUCCUUUUUACCGAGGCUGGUGCACCCAGCCCUUGAGAUGCCGAGUACAUUAUGUUGCAUUCCUCCCAGGGGUGGCACACAGGCAAUGACUGACUCGUAUGAGGGUGUAAACGUGCAGCUCCCUUGCCUCUAGGUGGGAUGUGGGAUCUAUGCCAGCACUGUCCAGGAUAAAGUCAUUAAAUCUAGAAAGUUUACAUGGAUUCAAUGAAUUCCUCUAUUCGAAGUCUUACUAUGUUUAAUAGCAAAACAAAAUAGUUACCUAAUGCAGUUCAAUACAUUUUGAUAUGUUGUUAUGAUGAAGAAACAUGAAAAUUCUAAAAAUGCCCAUUUGUUGAUUACAGAGCAAUUAAGUUUUAAAUGAUUCAAGUGAGUCUAGGAAUGUAAAUCUUAACCAUUGCAGAAGUGAAUUAAACAUGUUUAGAGAAAUCACAAUUAGUCAAAAAAGGUAAGGUAGAUUAUUCUACCUUACCACAGGGCUCAACAGGGAACUCCACAGGGAUCAAGCUCAUCUAGAUGCCAAAUCUUUGCCAGCUCCUUCCUCUGCCCCAUCCUACAUCUCUCACUCCCUUACAGGUUUCCCCUAAAUGCAUUCCCUUAAUAAAUCAUGGGACAAUUAUUUUCAUCUCAGCCUCUGCUUCUGGGAAACCCAGCUAACAAUAUCGAAUAUGGAAACAUCAAACCCCUGAAUAUAACCAGGGCUGCCUCUUACUUAAAGACUCAUGCGUGAAAUGACCUGAAGUGCUUAGAAUAAUCUACCUUACCUUUUUUGACUAAUUGAGAUUUCUCUAAACAUGUUUAAUUCACUUCUGCAAUGGUUAAGAUUUACAUUCCUAGACUCAUUCGAAUCAUUUAAAACUUAAUUGCUCUGUAAUCAACAAAUGGGCAUUUUUAGAAUUUUCAUGUUUCUUCAUCAUAACAUCAUAUCAAAGUGUAUUGAACUGCAUUAGGUAACUAUUUUGUUUUGCUAUUAAACAUAGUAAGACUUCAAAUAGAGGAAUUCAUUGAAUCCACUUAAAUUUUCUAGAUUUAAUGACUUUAUCCUGGACAGUGCUGGCAUAGAGAUAAACAUUUAAUUGAUAGCUUAUUUUAUGAAAAAUAUAACAUGGCAAAGGUUUACAGUUCUGUUUAAUCUCAGCAGUGGCAUGUUAAGAAGACAAACGGAGAUUAGGAAACAUUUUUUCUAAAUAAAAUACCUCAUUUUAUGUGGUACUGAUAAGCAGUAUUUACAACAUGAAAUAAAUUAUUCCUCGUAUACUUAUUGAAUACCUUAAAAGUAUGUGCUAGGAGCUGGGAACCCAGAGUAAAAUAUAGGUCUUGUUCCUAAGAGGAUACGUCUAUUAUGGGGAGAUGAAAGGGGGGUUAGGGGCAAGCACAGACUUGUAAAUAAUCUAUGAGUAAACGUCUAUACACCAGAUUUGCCUAGAGGAUGGUGUAUUUGCGUGGCAGGACAUUGGGUACAGCUUUAGCAGUGAAAAGAGCAAAGUGCAAAGAGAACCUAGAAGAAUGCACCACUGGGAGCUGACUAUUAUUAUUUUCAUUAAAGGUGAGUAUUGCAUAACUAAAAUAUUUCAGCUCAAUGACCUAGUUAAAUAAAUCGUUGUAAUAAAUAAAAAUGUCUUCCUGUCUUUAUGUAACUGCUCAUUUUGUGAAAAGCAUAACUUGGCUGCACACCUUUUUUCCGCCUUCUUCUGAUAAAUUCUUGGAGUCCAAAAGGUAUCUUUCAUUUAGUAGAUUUUUCAAAAUGUUUAUAUUCAUAGCAAGUUCUGGUUUGGGUCAAGCAGGUGGUAGAAAUCAUAACUGCCUCCAGAAAUCAGGAGGGCCCACGCAGUACAGGACUUGGCAGGCCCUGGUGGCCUAAGGUCAGCCAGAGUGCAGAUGCAAUGCAGCAACUAUAGUACCAGCAUUAUUCUAGAAAGUUCUUACUUCUUGGAAGUACUGACUUGUAAGUAAAAGAGCAUUUUAACUUGAUCAUAUUCACUCUGGAGUCUUCUACAUCUGAAUCUAAAGGGGAACUGUAUUCUUCCUGCAAAUUUGGGAUUCUCUAAAUAAAGUUCCAGGGCACCAGAGGUUCCACUGGGUUAGACCUUUGAUUUAUUUUAAUGAAGAGCCCUUCUUCUUUGUUGAUGUCUGACAGCACAUUCACAGUGAUCCAGUCAUUUUUGGGGUAAGAUAGAAGGAAUCCAGGUAGAAUACAAUAUAAAAAUGUCUCAAACUAGGCAAGAGAAGAGUCUAGUCCUGUGGUAGGUCAUAUUUGUCAAAAUAUUUGCUACCCUCUUAGCUGUUCAUCCUCACUGAGCCUCUCUCUUCAAAAGAUUAUCCUUCAUAUCCCAACACUGUGAGGCUUGAGCACGUGCUUUGCUUUGAACAAUGAAAUACAAGGGAAGCAAUGUAAUCCAUUUCUGAGCCAAAAAAAUUAAGAGCCAUUGAGUGAUUCUGCCAGGCAGUCUCCUGGGUCAUCUCCAGAAUCUGGAGUGCAGAGCCACAGUGACCCAUAAUGGACAUUGUGUAAGCAAGAAAUAAGUAUUUGUUAUUCAUAAAUUACCAGUGUUUUGGGCUUGUUACUGCAACAUUGACCCAUUGGUAGAAACAACUCAGCUUCUGGUUAAUAGGGUAUUAUUUUAAAAUCCGCUAUGAACAUUCAUGUAUAGUAAGUCUUUGUGGAUGGACACAGGCUUUCUAUUUCUCAUAGAUAAAUUUUGUAAGCAAAUGGCAAACUGUUUACAAAGUGGUUCUAUGAUUUCACUGUCCCACUAGCAGUGUAUGAGACUUUCAGUUGCUCCACUUUCUUACUAACACUUUGUAUGACAGCAUCUUUUUAAUUUUAGUCAUUCUAAUACAUGGGUAGUGAUAUUGCAGUAUGGUUUUAAUUUGUAUUUCCCUAAUGACUAAUGAUGUGAAACACCUUUUCUAGUGCUUAUUUGCCAUCCCAGUUUCUUAUUUGGUAAAGCGUCUGUUUAUGCUGAUUUUAGGAGAAUAGUUUCUUUUCUUAUUUUCAGAUUUUGAGAGUUGUUGGCUCAUAUAUAUAGGCAUAUAUAUAUAUAUAUGUACACAUAUCUAUAUGUACACAUAUAUAUGUGUACAUAUAUAUUAGCAUAUAUGUGUGUGUGUUUUUCUUAAUACAAAUCCUUUCUUUAGAUAUAUGAUUUUUCAAAUAUUUUCUCCAAGUCUGUGGCAUGUCUUUUCAUUCUUAUAACACCGUCUUUCAAACAGCAUAAAUAUUUUACUUUUAUAAAAUCUAGUUAUCAAUUUGUUCUUUUAUGGAUUUUGGUGUUUGUGUCAUAUAUAUAUAUAAAUAUUUGCCUAACUCAAAUAUUUUAUCCUCUUUUUUAAUAAUUUAUUUUUUAGUUUAGGUUUUAUGCUUAGGUCUUAUAAAAAAUAUUGAGUCAUUCCAUCUAUGAGCAUGGUAUAUCUCUUCAUUUACUUAGUUUUUAAAUUUCUUUCAGUAUUGCUUUUUAGUUUUCAGUGUAUAAAUCUUUCAUAUUUCUUGCACUUAGGAAGGCAUUCAGCUCCUUGAUCUAUGAGUUUAAAUUUAUUCUCACCAAAUUUGAACGUUUUUCAGACAUUACGUUCUCAAAUAUUUUUCUGCCUCUCCCCCUCUUUCAAGGACUCUAAUGACUUUUACAUUAGACCACUUUUCUGGGAACAAGUUCCAGACUGGAAAAGUGGUCUAAUGUAAACGUUGUCUAAUGUUCCACUGGGAACAAGUACUGUGUGUAGUGCUGACCAUUGUUACCCCGAAAUCUUGAAAUCUUGUGGGUAGUCUUUCCUCAACCUUGGGAAGUCAGUACUCAAGUGAAUACUCACUGGGAUCCUGUACAGAUCUUCAGAGUUAUUGCUCUCUGAAGCUGUUUUCCAAUAUUCUUUUCUGUGAACUCAAAUUGCCUUAAUCUUCCUGGAUUCUCAGCAAUAUCUCCUCAACUCAGAAUCCCUGGGUUCUCCUUUCCUGUACCAAGGAUUGCCAAUUCUCACAAGACAAUAAGUUGGGUUACGAUAGGACUCAUCUCAUUUGUUUACCUGCACCCCAAGGAUCACUGUCCUUUGUUACCUGACAUUCUGUGUCUUAAAAACGGUUGUUUUGUAUGUUUUGGCUGUUUUUUGUUUGUUCUUUUUUUUGUUUUUUUGUUUUGGUUGUUGUUUCAGGUUGUUGAGGAUAAUUCUUAUCCCUGUUAAUCCAUUUUGACAGUAAGUAGAAAUAACAAAAUUCACUUAUAAAUUAGUAUAUAUAUUCUUGGUUCAAGGAGUAAUGGGCUAAAGUAAUUUUCUCCAAAUUGUGUUAUUUGUCUUGGCCACAUCAUUAACUAGCAAACCUACUCAGUUUUAAUAAAUGGUUGCUUUGCCAACCAUUUUUUUUUUUUCAACCAGCCCCUCUCUGUUUUAAAAAGAAAAUUAAGCUACCCACUUUCUGUUUACUUACAUAGAAUUCCACUAUUUAGGCUUUUGAAAAUAGCCCUUCUGACUUGUAAAUAACUUAUUUGACUCUGUGUGUGAGUCACUCACUUUUAUGUAGCUUGCAUUGUUAACUGCAUCUUCCAAAUUGAAUUCUGGUAAUGCUGAUAAACUGUUCAAAUAGGUCUUUUGUAUGUUUGCAUCAGAGAAAGUUUUAUGGGUAUGUUUGGUAUAAUUAAGUGCUUUUUCUCUGUGUGUGUGUGUUUGUGUGUGUGUGUUUUAAAUAACAUGGCAUAAUGCUAAAUAAUCCAAGCAGGAAUAAUUUGUUUUUAUUAAGUCAGAUUGCCUUCUGUACAUAUGUUGGGGAGUAAUUUAGUAGGUUAUAGUUUCAGUGUAAUAAAAAAUGGUGGGGUUGGGGCUGGUGGAAAUGAUGCCUUUCUUCUGUGCCUAAGUGAUAAUGUAAACAUAAGUCAGGAACUAAGAGUAUCUGUCUGGGAAUAUAUAAUAGGAUCAAACCUAAGCACAAAUAUUCCCAGAGGUAGAUUUUUCUUAUGCUGAUUUAGUUAUGAACUGGUAAAUUUGUUUUCAUGACUCAAUUUCUACAAAGCAAACUUUAUUAUAUAUAUAUAUGUGUGUGUGUGUGUGUGUGUGUGUGCAUUUUUAAUGUAUGUUCAUUUUUUUCUGUUGAUUUUUUAAAUUAUGUUCAUUACAUAAGUUCCUAACUGAUAGCAUUCUCAUCGUAAACAGGUCAAACUGUUCAGAUAAAAUAAAAUUCCCUUAUAUCACCUUCUUAUCUCCAGCUGAUUUCUUUCCCAGAAGGUAAUCACUGAAAUGAGCUUGGUGUGGGCACCUCUCAAUGGGGACCCCAAGAUCCCCUUCUGUAACAUACCUGCCACUUUUGAGGUUUGAAUACUCAUGGGCUGCUCUCCCCUUUUCAAAUGCCUAUCCCUGCACCAUGAUUUUCUGUUUUAGUCAGUCCUAUAUGUCAUCUAUCUUUCACUGAUUUCUCUCAUUUCUGGUCAUCAAGGGCACCCCUUUUUAUUCUAUCAUUUGGCUGAAAAAGUGGCAAACAUGAACACUGACUUAAAAAAAAUACUCCAAAAAUAAUUUGAGUUUAGAGCAAAAGCAAAUCUAUCAUUGGUUAAAAUUUUUUGUGUAGGUUGUAUAACAAAUUUAAUUUUCAUGAAUUUCUAAGGUUGUGAUUUUACAUCAUUUGAUUUUAGCUAAUAGUUUAAUUUUAUGGUAGGUUUCAUUAGAGGAGAUAAAAGGCUUUGGUUUGCUUCGUGUCUCUGGAAAAUUUAUUAAAUCUCCAUAGUUUUCAGAACCUAGCAAAUGGUAAGCUUGUUUCCAUUCUAACUUUAUGAGAUGCUUUGUUUCUUGUAAAGUGAAUUUUGAGAGUGCUGUGUGCUUUAGCAUCACUGGAAGCUGAACCUCAGGUAGUAGCCCUUACCUUGGUGUAUGAGAGUCUGCAUGAGUGCUGUGUGCUAUAGCAUCACUGGAAGCUGAACCUCAGGUAGUAGCCCUUACCUUGGUGUACGAGAGUCUGCAUGAGUGCUGUGUGCUAUAGCAUCACUGGAAGCUGAACCUCAGGUAGUAGCCCUUACCUUGGUGUACGAGAGUCUGCAUGAGUGCUGUGUGCUAUAGCAUCACUGGAAGCCGAACCUCAGGUAGUAGCCCUUACCUUGGUGUAUGAGAGUCUGCAUGAGUGCUGUGUGCUAUAGCAUCACUGGAAGCCGAACCUCAGGUAGUAGUCCUUACCUUGGUGUAUGAGAGUCUGCAUGAGUGCUGUGUGCUAUAGCAUCACUGGAAGCUGAACCUCAGGUAGUAGCCCUUACCUUGGUGUAUGAGAGUCUGCAUGAGUGCUGUGUGCUUUAGCAUCAUUGGAAGGUGAACCUCAGGUAGCAGUCCUUACCUUGGUGUAUGAGAGUCUGCAUUUCCACCUUCGAAGAUUCUGAAAAGGAAUUAAAAAGUAGUGUCUUGAAUAUUGGAUAAACUUAAGAUUACAAGAAAACAUUCUGGAACAUGACUUUCCUCCCGCUUUUGAAGUUUUUCACUUCUUUUUCUCUAGAUCUUUUUAUAGAUGUUCAGAGGCAUUUUAGGUUGAAUUAUUAUGUGUUUAAGGAAUUCUAAGAUAAUAAUUACCAGGAAAUUAACUCAAAUUACAUAAUCAUGUAUUCGAGAUAAGAUACGUUGUAUUGUUGUGGUAGGCAAAAAUGCCAUGACCCAGCAGAAUAUUUUAAAAUUAGCAAUGUAUUUUAAAUACUUGAACGCUCUCUUUCAUUUCAGAAGCUAGCCUGCACUUAAGUCAGAAAACAAAAGCUAACUGCCACAGUGAAUGAAAUACUUUAGGAAGAGAGGAGAGAAAAACAGGCUUUUCUCAUUCUGUAAUUCUGAGUGUUCUUUAAAUGUGUCAGAAUAUUUGCUUUGUCCAUUUUCUGUGUCAAUUUCUACUUCUUUCUUCUUGCUCAGAAAGUUUCAUAAUGCUCCCUCUAACAUAAUUAAGUCAUUUAUCUUUCCUCCCUCUCUUGCUGUUUACUUCCUUGCUUCCUUCCUUCUCUACCACUUCUAGUUUACAUAGUAAGGGACUUCUUUGGCUUUUGGGUAGUAAUUUAAGCUCCAAAUUUCAGUUUCAUGUUAUGUAAAACACAAAUGAUACUUACCGUAUUUCACAUGGUUGUUAUGUUGAGGACUGAGCCGCAUUAUGUGAGAAGGCUAAACAUCAUGUCCUUAAUACUGAAUAUAUGUUCUUUUCCCCUUUUCCCCUUUUCUUUCUUCUUUGCUGUCCCACUCUGAGACUCCUUUCUUCCAACUCUGAGAUGUAGUUUUAAAUCUUUUAUGAAAAAAAAAAACCUUAUGGAGAAAGGGAGAAGAGGUGGAUUCAUGAGCAGGAGGAGAAUGAUAACUGAACUUUUGGCAUCAGCAUUUACUAUGGCUAGUCACCAUUUUAAGCCUGUCACUAAAUGAAGUUAUAUUCAUUUAGUCUCAUUACAAUUCUAUGAAAGUGCUAUCAUUAUGUCUAUUUUAUACUUAAGGAAGCAAAGUCUUAGAUUAAGGCAAGAUCACAUAGCCAGUAAGUAAUGGGGUCAAAAUGCAGACCUUAACAUUUUGGCUUCAGACUCUGUACUUUGAGUUCAGCCGGUGUUUGUGGACUUUGCCUUACCUUCCUUUCUUUUUUUUUUUUUUUUUUUUUUUUUUUGAGACGGAGUCUCGCUGUGUCGCCCAGGAUGGGGUGCAGUGGUGCCAUCUCGGCUCACUGAAAGCUCCACCUCCCGGGUUCACGCCAUUCUCCUGCCUCAGCUUCCUGAGUAGCUGGGACUACAGGCGCCCGCCACCAUGGCCGGCUAAUUUUUUGUAUUUUUAGUAGAGACGGGGUUUCACCCUGUUAGCCAAGAUAGUCUGGAUCUCCUGACCUCGUGAUCCGCCUGCCUUGGCCUUCCGAAGUGCUGGGAUUACAGGCGUGAGCCACCGCGCCUGGCCGAUUUACCUUCCUUACUUAACCAAUCAUGCCACUAGCUUGCACUGGCCUCAAUACCCAACGUUUUUCCUACCUUAGGGACCUUUUCCUACCGUGGGGCCUUUGUAUUCUCUAUUCCAUCCUUUCUGCAAUUUUUCCAGAUCUUUCCAGCUCAGCAAAAUUGCCAUCUCUCCACAUUGCCUUCUUCACUCUAUUCAAAGUAACGAAGGGUACUUCCCCCAAAGCAACUGAUGUUCCCGUGGCUUGCUUUAUUAAUCACAAUAGGACAUGAUCUUCUACAUUAGGUUUUCCUCCAUGUUUUCUGGCAGCCUCUGAAGGAUAUGAGCCAUAACAGAGCAUAGACAUUGCUUUUUUCUUUGUAGCUUAAUCUCCAGUGCCUAGUAUCAUUCCCAGCAUAUAAUAUGUUUAAUGUGAACUGAAUGAGAAAACUAAAUGAGAGGCUUAAUUUUAUACAGCAGUGAAGGUAUGUCCCAGACUUAUAAUUUAAGGAGAACUUACUCUCUAGAAAUGUGGAGUAGCUGGACGUGGUGGCUCAAGCCUGUAAUCCAAGCACUUCGGGAGGCCGAGGUGGGUGGAUGACUUGAGCCCAGAAGUUCGAGACCAGCCUCGGCAACAUGGCAAGACCCCAUCUCUGCAAAAAAAAAAAAAAAAAAAAUACAAAAAUUAGCCAGGCAGGGGAUGCGCCUGUAGUCCCAGCUACUCAGGAGACUGAGGUGGGAGGAUCACUUGAGCCUGGGAGAUGGAGGCUGCAUUAAGCAGUGAUCGCGCCACUGCGCCCCAGAGAGAGAGGGAGAUGCAGGGUAAUUGAUUUGUACCUUUACUUUGAAAUGUUUAAUAAUUAGUGAUUUUCUCAGUCCUCUCUUUUUCUCAUGGGCCCCUUUAGUAAAUGCUGAUGGACAAGAUUCACAGGCCAUACUUUAAAGCCAUUGAUGGAGGUAGAUUUUCUUCCCAGGGUGCUUUUUUGGCAUGGAGUUGGCUAAGAAUGUCCUUAAAGGCCAUCAUACAUAGGUGGAAAGUAGAAAUCAGUUCAAAGAAAGACUGGCAGAGCAGAUCAUAAGUCAAUACAUGAAUCAAGUUGGCCUGUAUCCUACCAAGUACAAUCUUUUGUUUAGUGGUGUAUCUACUACCACACUCUCAAACUCCUAAUGAUACUUUAAAAUUAACCUUCAUGCUCAUUUUUAUAAUAAUGUUGAAGGUCAGGCAAGAGAUAAUAUCCUCACUUUACAGGUGGAGGAACUGAGUCAAAGAAGUACAGGACUUGUAUAAAGAAAAGCUAGUCUAUAUGAUGUCUCUAAAUCCUGGGUCUGAACUACUUUAACGAUAUUAAAAGCUUGCUUGACAUAAAAUUUUAAGACUGUUACGAUUAGAGUGAAUGUCAGUGAUAUAUGUGUCUAAGGAAUUUGAUAAAUAUACAUGAGAUGCUCUAAUGAAUUCAAUUGCUUGGAAGUGAAGGGGAAAAUGCACAAAUUUUUACUUAGGCUCAUGCUUUUCAUGUAGAAACAAACAUUGAAAUUUGGAAGUGAAAAAUCUACCUCUUAUCUUGGGUAUAUAUGCUGCCUAUAUAUAUGCAUAUAGUAAGAUGUUUAAGUUUUUAAAAUUAACUGCAUUGUUGAGUAUUUGAAAUACACAUCUGUUAUUUGUUAUUGAACUUUAAAAUGAUAUAUGAGGAUUUAGGUAAAUACUGUCUGUCUAAAAUUAAUUUUGGAAAGUAACUCAUAAGAUGAUAUUUUCAAUACAGUUUUGCCAGCAAUUAUUAAAUAUGUUUCGAGAAGAAAAUUGCUAUUCAAAUUACCCAUCUCAUCCUUGGCACUUUCUAAAAACCAGACAAAUAUUUUUUAGUUUGUGAAGGCUGCUCAUAACAGUUACAAGCUAAUUAAUUAUAAAAGAUUUAGCCAUGCAUUUGACCAUAAAAUAGAUUGGUUGUGGCUGCUGGAUUAUAGUUUUAGAUGAUUUUAUGAUCCAUGUAUUGCCUUGACUUACUGAUGAUUUAAAUGAUUGUGUGUGGGUGAUUUAAAAAGCAAUAAGAUUAAUAAAAUAUUUAUUUUGGGUAAAGGUACAGAAUAUGUUUUGAAUAAAUAAAGUAUGGAAAAGGUAUCUAAAUUCCUCAUACAUUUUUAAAAUCAGUUAAUAAAUAGUAAACAUGCAAGAAGCUCAUUAACUAUAGAAAUUUAGCCUAUUAAUUAGGGAGUGUUCAUUUUUAACCACUAUGUUCAUUUUCUAGUCUAGUACAUAAUAUUUUUCACAAGUCUUCAGAACCUCAUUUUUCCUUUUAUAUAAUAAUGACUCUCCAAAUAUCUUUUUGUUUCUUGGUCAUUAUUUAUCUUUUAAUAAGACAAUAAAACCAAUAAUAAAAGUGUAUUCCUAUAGCCAAUAGCCAAGAAUCAAAAUAUGCCUUUAUGGGUUUUUCUUUUCUUUUCUUUUUGAGAUAGAGUCUUGCUCUGUUGCCAGGCUGGAGUGCAGUGGCACGAUCUCAGCUCACUGCAAUCGCUGCCUCCCAGGAUAAAGUGAUUCACCUGCCCUAGCCUCCCAAGUAACUGGAAUUACAGGCACGUGCCACCACGCCCGGGUAAUUUUUUGUAUUUCAGUAAGAUGGAGUUUCACCAUGUUGGCCAAGAUGGUCUCGAUCUCCUGACCUCAUGAUCUGCCUGCCUCGGCCUCCCAAAGUUCUGGGAUUACAGGCGUGAGCCACCACGCCCGACCACCUUUAUGUUAUUUUAUUUAACCUUCAAAUAAUUAUAUAAAAUUGAUAUUAUUUCUUUACUCCACCAAUGCUUAUUGGGCAACUAACAACUAUGAACCCUUCUGAGAAUUUGGGGUACAGUGGCAAAAUAAAGUUGUCAAAGGGCCCUGUCCCCUUGGGGAUCACAAUCUCAAGGCGGCGGGGAACAUCCGGAAAUAAGAUAGUUAUAGUUGGUGAUGCAUUACCAGAGACAUGUGAUGCCAUAAUAGUGACUAACCCAAGGACAGUGAGUUAGCUUUUGUUGCAUAAAUUACCCCCAAAAUUUAGUGGCUUAAGACAACUCUUUGUUUAGGCUCAUGUUUCGGCUAUUUGAAAUUUGGGGUAGGCCCAGCUAGCUGUUUCUGCUGAUGUACGUCAGACUAAGUUCAGUUAGAGGAACUUAUAGGAGAGCUGUGAACUUCCAGAUGAGUCGAAGACAGGCUGAGGGUAUCCUCAACUGAGAUGGCUUAUUUCUGUGUCACAUGGUGGUGGUAGGGAUCCCAAGUACAGCACGGGUCAUUAGUAAAGCAGACGUUCUGGCCUUCAUUUCAUUCUUUUGAGUGUAUGCUGUAUAAAAAUUGACCAAAUUAUCCACAAAUCUUCCUGUACCACUUGUCAAGGUUGAAAACCCAAGAAAAAAUAAGAUUCUUUCUAUCACUGGAGUGAUAUUACUGAGCUUUUCAGAGUCUAUUCUCAUGCCAAGAUGUAUGUUUGUUAAAUUUUGAGCCGGAUGUGGUUUUCAUUCAGAAAGUAUUUGAUGAUGACUUCUCAAGCAAGGAAUAACUAUAAUAGCUUAUGUGCUUUUGGGAUAUUUUAGGUAAGGGUGAAAAUAAUAAUUCUGAGAAACAUACAAGUAUUGCUUUUUUCUUCACAUUCCCUAAUUUUCUUCUUUUGUACAUUCCACGGAACAAUGCCUUCUCAUAUAUUCACCUGACGUGUUGAACAUCAAUAUAGGAUUGAAUGAAGCAAAACCUUAUGUAUGAGUUACACUGGAGAAAAUCAAAUAACUAUAUAUUUUUUUCUGGCAUUAGAAAGUCAGAAAGAUAUACAGAAUUAGUGCCAAUGACUGUAUCAGUUGUUCAAUGAAGAGAAGAUAAAGAGGUCAUAUAGCAGAGAAUUGUAUUUGUAUACUCUUGUCUAUAAAAUUUAGAACAUUUUGGUUGUUGUUUAAAUUUAUAUAAGCUUGUUUUAUUCUUGGUAUAUGUGCCAAUAUCUACCCUUUAAAAUCCAUGCCAUUCAGGUAGCUCAAAGGAUAUACUCAACUCUGACAUUUGUAAUAAGUGAAUAGGCUAACUUGCUGCAAUUUGAUAAAAACAGAAGCACACAUUAAGUUAAAUAUUUGUGGAGAUUUGGGUGUGAUUCACAAAACUUUUCUCUCAUUUUAUUUUUCAUUAAUUCAUUCAACCAAUGCAUACUAGAAGUGUAUUAUUUGUUAGGCAUUGUUUUCGGUGCAGGGAACACUGAUAAAUAAACAGGUAAUGUUACUGCUGCCUUUGAGCUUCUAGUCUAUUAAACAUUAGAUGGACAAGUCAGUCUUUCUACUUUUUAGAAACAACCAGCAGAUAAUAUUUGUUAACAAAAGUCAUGAUGUAAGGAAUUUACUAAAGGAAUUCAGAAAAGAUUACAUAUUUUUCUGGUUACAUAAUAUAAGAAAUUUACUGAAAGAUUAUAGAAAAGAUUAUGACUAAACUGUAUCCAGUAUUUUAGUGAUUUGUUUAGCAGAUUAUUAAUUUAGGUAAAGGUCAUUUUGAUUGGAAACAUCUAUCAAAUCAGUCCAUGAGGUAAAAGAAAGCAAAAGAAAGCAGAGUCUAACAAAGGAGACAGAACAUUUUAAUAAGAGAUACCUUUAAAUUAUAUUUUAUACCAUACGAAUUGGUCUCUUUGUUUGAGAAUUCAAAUAUUUUACAGCCAAUACCACAUACAUUUACAUUCGGAUUCUAUAUACUCUUCUAGUUUCUAGUUAUAUACAGAUAUUUCAGAUAAUAAGAACCAAAUCUUGCCUCAAAUGCUAACAUCGUGGAUGACAACAUAGAGCCUACUGUAAUCCAUUAUGAUAUGAGCAAUGAUGGUAGGUUUGACAGCUGCAUAGGGAUCACAGGAGAAACUGUACCUGAGCUGUACCUGUAUCAAACAACUACAUAAUUUUUUCUGUCAUUGGGAAGUCAGAAAGAUAUACAGAAUCAGUGCCAUACCUGAGAGUUCAACUGUGUGCAAAUAGCUCACACCGUCUCUAAGUGUUUUAUUUCUAUAAUAAGAAAGGUAAGAUUUACCAAACUCUUUCUUCUUUAUUUUUAUUAUACAUCCUUUAUUAGUGAUUACUAGCCCAUGCUCAAAUGUUAGCUUGCCUCGAAUCAAAUCCUAGAGUCACUCUUAAUUAUUUUUAUGGUAUUAGGUAAGUGAUUUCACCUCCCUAAGACAUAGUUUCUUCUUCCAUAAUAUGAGAUUUAUGAGGAAGGUCCUAACUUGUAGUAGGGUGGUCAGGAGGCUUAAGUGAAAUCAUAGCUAAAACAGUUAACAAUUCCUGAAACCACACAAGUACACUGGAUAUCCUGACUAUUGGUACUUGUAUUCAUACUUGCAUUUAUAAUACGCAUUUCUCAGAUACCCCAACAGUUCAUAUCCAGACACCCCCAAUGGAUACACCUGAGACUGAUACCAGGUCAUCAUUUUUCGUUCUCAUGCUGCCAGCUACACAAGAGGCACGCACUGUGGAUCCACAGACGAAACAGACAGAGGCUAUGUUCCAUUCAAGACCUGGAACAGAUGAUCCCUUUUCCACGACAAGGACCAACCUCUGCCAAAACAAAUCACUUGGCACAAUUUCUAACUCUAAAUUAAUGUCUUCACUUAUUUGCUUAAUAACUCCCUCCAUCCUCGCUGUCAGAUCAGGCUAGGAGAGACUCCAUUGGAUGAGCAGUAGACUGCUCUUCCCCAGGUGCCUAGCACAGUGCCUGAUGCACCACACGCUCUCAGUGUGUGCUUGUUGAAGAAACAAAGACACAGUCUGCCCUUUUCAUUGAAAGCAGUGCCCCAAGGCAGCGGGUCCAAUCCAGGUCACCUCCAUUGUGCCUUCCCAUGAGGGCUUGCUCAACCCUCUCCCACCUCCUGUGGCCACCUCUCUAGAGAAGCUUCUUCCAGCUUGCCAGACAGUCUAGCUUGGAAUGCUGAACAGCAUCCCUGGUCCUUCUGAAUUUUCUAGCUGGGGAAGCAAAAUGUCAGUCUAUGAUUAAUCCCACACAAUAGGUGGUAAGAAACAUACCGAUGCCAUAUCUUGGCCUGAGGCACAACUCUUCUAUGGAGUUGAGUUUCCUGUAAAUUCGUGGCUGUUGAUUGUUAGUGUGCAGUCUUAAGGCCUUAACAUGUAUUUAUAAACAGUCUUCUUUUUAAAAGUGCAGGAGCAGUGUAUAUAGUAUGCGGUAUGCCACUAUUUUUUUUAAAAAAGAUAUAUCGCAUAUAUAUAUAUAUAUAUAUAUAUAUAUAUAUAUAUAUAUAUAUAUAUAUAUGACUUUUUCUUGCUUGUAUUAUCCCUAUGUUUUAUUUUAUUCUCCAAAGUUGAUAUUGUUUUCUUCUAAGGAAUGCAAUUCCAAAAAAACAAAUAUUGAAACCAAUAAAGACAUAAAAUUUAUGGUUAAUAGCUUCAUUUCAUUUGUUAAAUGUAAUUAACGUAUCUUUUUAUUACUAAGAUUAUUUACCAUUUUAAUGUAUAUAAUGACUAUUGCAUUAGAUUUUAUUUUUAAAAUGCUGUUACGCAAACUUAAAACCAAAAUUACCAGUGUUCUAUGGGACAGCUCUAAAUACAGUAUAGCUAUUAAAAAUAUAUAUUCUUAAAGUGUGCUAGGAAGAAAAAACACUUGACAUGAACUAUUCUGACAUUUAAAUCUUCUCUUAUUCUUGUCAGCACUGCCACAGCAAAUGAUAAAGGUGGUAUUAAUAGCCAUAUAAUUUUCUGAAAUUUUUGUAACAUUUUUUAACUCACAAGGCAGCUGGACAUGUUUACAGCUUGAAAUCUUUUAUUGCAUUAUUUGUAAGAUAUUAAUAUAUGGAUAUCAUAUAUGAAGGAAAUAAAAUGCAUAAUUAUUUUCUGGCACAUUGACUUGCAUUUAAUUAAAUAGUUUUUUCCUACUUAAGUUCAUCUAUCUAUCGAACAUUUCUAUGUUCUAGUUAUUCUUUGAACAACUGCCUUCUUAUAGAUAAGAAAAUUUUCGGUUUGCUGAUUGGUAAAUUGGUAGUUACUCCUCCAUUUUUGGUUCUUGUUAGUUUUCUAACACUAGGUUCAAACUCUUGAAGAAAAUAUUUUGUUCUGCAUGCACCUUUGCAGAAUUCUUCGAAAAUUUGCUGGCAGAAUAGUUGUAGAAAACCCCAAUUACAGAUAAUAAUUUUGCCAUUUUCCUGAUGACCCCUAGAGAGGAAUAAAUUUGCAAAAUUAGUUUAAUUUUGUUUUACUCCUGUGUCUUGUGCUUUCUCAUUUCCUUUCCUCAAGUUAUAGAAAAUACAUAAGCCCAGUACAGAUUCAGUCCCCUCUUCCACUCUACUCUGGCCAGUCACCUCUCUUCAUCAAUCCUGGGGAUGACUAAAGAGAAGUAGGGAAUAUAUGAUCCUUCCACUGACCAGCUAUGUGCAGGGACAUUUGGCAACUGAGUUGACCUUUAUCUGGACAAUGAUAGAAUGAGAACCCCUCUUAGAGGUUAAUGUGAAGAUCAAAUUAGUUAAUAGAAGGGAAGACACUUUGGAAAGUGAACCACAAAGGCCACCAGUAGGAGUAGAAUACUAGGAAAUGAUCUUUCUAAAUGCCAAUCUGGUCAAGUGCUUCCUGCAGCCUGUCUCCAACAAUACAAAGUAUCCAAGCUCCUUAGAAUGGCAUUCAGAUCUCUAAGGAUAGCUGAUGGCUUCUUGGACUGCCCUUUGAUUCCUAAGAGAUACUGCCCAUGGUUUUUCCUUUCCUCAAAUUCCUGGUAAGACACCUCUGUCUUCCUUCUACACACUAUUCAAUACCGUCUUCUCUUUGACAUGACCUUUUCCUUCCACCUCUUUUCACUUCUCUCUUACUUGCAGGGUUAGGAGACACCUGCUAUGUGAGUGUAUGUAAACCAUACUUCACAGAGCAAGCCUUAAAAAAAUACCAGCUUUCAUCCUUUUUCCUUCCCUUCCUAUUAAACCCUAUACAGUCAUAUGUACAAUGUAUUGAAUAAGUAUGGUGAGAAAAGAAAGUGAUAUAUUUGUAUUUCUUGUACAGUCUUCUACAAAUCUCUGAAAUUAGACAUGACUGUGAUUUUUUUUUAAAAUAAGUGGAUGUUAGGAUCUGGGCUAAUAGGGUUGGGGGUCUGAGGGAGACUUUUCAUUGUAUACAUUGAUUUGAUCUUUUGAAUUUUUAAUCAUGGGAAUAUAUUUCUCAUGUCAAUAUUAAGUAACAUAAAUAAAAAUUUAGUAUAAAAUUUUAAGUCUAGAAAAGUCGAAUGUAAAAGUUUCAUUCACUCGCCUAAUAUCUAAAUUAUGUGACUUACAAGCAUAUGGUGGAGAAAAGAAUAUGGCUCCCAUUAUCAAUAUUUCCUCCCUUCCCCUUGUCCUAUUUCUCCUCCAUUACUCAGUAGAACACUCUGACAUCCUUAGGGUUGAAGCAGAGGUGGAGAGGAGAGUUAAGGAGCAUAAAGAUUUUACUUGAAAGGCAUUGGUUUAAUCAGUUUUUGGCAGCUGAGCUUGACAGAAAAACAAUGUAUUUCUCAGUCUGGCUAUGGUCCCAUUGCAGAUCAAGAGGGGGCUGUGCUCUGUGUCACCUCCACUCUAAGGCCCAGUGACGGAGCCUGCACCGUUUCUAAUGUUUCCGGUUACUGUGGCAGAAGGAAAAAGCAUAUGACGAAUCACACACUGGCUCUUCAAAUGUCUGCCCAGAAGUGACACAGUCCCCUUGAGCUAUAAGUUCCUGGUCAAAACAAACAACAUGGCCACACCUAACUUCGAAGUGGGCAGAGACAUGCAGUGACCCAUGUAUCUAAAAAUACUAAAAAUAAUGGUAAAUAGCACUGAUAAAUAUUUUCUGAAAAAUAUAAAUCAAGAGUGGAAUUCCUUUUAAUUUUUCAUUUAGUUAUAGUUUGGGCUGUGAGAUGGUUGUGUUACACAUGAAAUUCACAUAAUUAGAAAACUAUAGGUGAGUAUGCUUUAACCCCCUGCCCCAACUUCCUCCUCUUUCUUUGUUCUUGUUUUCUUCCCCUCCUCUUUCGCUUAUAUUUUCCUCUGACCUCACCCUAAAAACACAGUUUAACCUACAAGGUACCAGAAUACCAAACCAAACCAACCAAACAAAAACAACAACAAAAAUUGGGUGCCCUCUGGAAUGUUUGGCUCCAAAAAAAAUAUUGAAAUCUAUAGCACCACUGAAAUGUCUAAUAUUACCAAUGUGGCAUUAAUAAAUGGACAGUCGUGCUCUUUUGUAGCUUUUCUCUCUGGAAGGAAGAUAUUGGAUAGUUUUUGUUUUUUAGAGACAAGGUCUUACUUUGUCACACAGGCUGAAGUUCAGUGGAACGACAUUGGCUUAUUGCAGCUUGACCUCCUGGGCUCAAGUAAUCCUUCUACCUCAACCUCUAGAGUAGCUAGGACUACAUCACCAAGCCGGGCUACUUAUUUUGAAAGUUUUGGUAGAGAUGGGCUCUUGCUAUGUUGUCCAGGAUGGUCUCAAACUCCUGGCCUCAGCAAUCCUCCUGGAGGCCUUGAUAUCCAAAAGUGCUGGGAUUACAUGUGUGAGCCCCUGUACCUAGCCAGAUAGUUCUUACUGUGACAAGGGGACAAGAAGCCUUUUCUCAGGGAGGACCAAUGGCAAUUCUUUUUACCCCACACUCUCAACAAUGAUUCUUCCAGGACCAUUUCCAUUUCUUCAGUCUAUUGCCUCCUUUCUCAUUGAGUGGCGAGCACUCUUGAGACCCAGCAGUUUGCUCUAUCUCAACCCACUGUGACAAAUAGGUAAACAUAGGCUGGGAUGUAAGGAAUGGAUAAUGGAUACUGGUUUUAGUUACCCCACCAGAGACAUUUUAAGUUAAUGCAAUUGAUGAGUAAAGCAACAUGUAUGGUUCUCUCUCACCAGGAGAGGAAAGGAAUAGAAAGAAUAGAGAAAUAUAGCCUACUAGUCAGUUUGGUGUUUGUUCCAAAAUAAACCCUAAAAUCUUUGCAGAGGCAAAUUGCUUAUUACUGUACCGUCAAGUGAAAUGCUCCAUGAAAUAUGUUCUGUUUUGCUAGACGUGUUUGGACAAUUUCCUGAAACUGUUAAACUGCUCAAUGGUAUUAACUCUUCUCCAACAGGCCAUUAGAAAUUUUAGCAUUUAAAAGAGAGAAGAGGGAAAAUACAGUUGGCUCAGUUGAGAAGCAAUCUCUUGGAGCUGGUAAUUAUGUCACAUCUGUUUGGAGAAACAAGUUGGCCUUUAAGAGAGUGAAUGGGGUAACAAUUUAAUUAAAGAUGGGUUAGAUUGCAUGGAAAUUACUUGCUAUUAUUAUUGGAGGAAUCUAUCAAAAUGGACCACUGGGAAAGCACUGUUUUCACUGUUUCUUGAGGAAAUUGUUCUUGGCAUAACAGUAGAAUUUAACUUCCUUUUCUGAAUGUAAGUUUCAGCCCUGCUGUAUGGAGGAGUGAGAUCAUUGCAUAGGGUCUGUGCACUUCCCCAGUUUCUGUUUUCUUCCUUUCUUACUCAGAUGCUGUUCUUUUAUAACUUUGUUUAACAUAACACUUGAGCCAACAUGGUAUGAUCUGGUUUGUGGUCGCUUUCUUUGGUUUGCAAGAAUUUUGGAAGGUAUUAUUUGCGUUUAAAACAAACUAUUUGCCUAUUGGCCAUCUGGCCAGUAAUUCCAGCAUAGAAUUCUAAGCUCUGUGAACUUGAACCUAACUCAAUUGAACUUGCUAAUCUAAUAAUAAGUCUAUUGCCCCACCUCAAUAUUACCAGUGGGAUGGUAGAAGGUUUUAUAAGCACCUCAGUUUUUUUCUCAGUGUGAAAUCAUCUAUAUCAAUCUUUUUGGUGCUGUACCCUAUACUGAACAUGGAAAUUCCACCAUUUAACGUGCUAAACAGCUAGCAAAGAACUAUUCCAUAGAUAUUGAACUUGAAAACUAUACAUUUUAAUAAGCCAAAGUACAUCAGGAAAAAUCAGAGCUUUAAUGAAGCUACAAUUGUAGAUAUGUUAAAAAAGACACCAAGUUCAUUGUAAAUGAAUUUCCAUUUGUUGGUUGAUUAUUUAUAGGGUGAAUUGCCAAAAAAGAUAGAGUUAAAUAAUCAGUCCAUCUAACUGACCUUAACUAAUGUAAAAUUACUUUCUGUAAGCCCAGGUUAGUUAUAAAAAGAUUGACCCUUUACCGCAGUUUAUCUGAUAUAAUCUCAGAUUAAUUAAUCUUGAUUAGUUUGUUAUUUGCCUCAGAUUUUUAAUUUUAAAAGGAUAUUAUUGGAAUUGUACUUUUUAAAAUAGUUUUAAUAAAAAUAUUACAUAGGUCUAUUCAUAUAAUAAAACUAUAGUAGAACCUUGAACAAAAUAGAGGUGAGGAGAGCUGACUCUUUACAUAGUCAAAAAUCCACUUAUAACUCUUGACUCCCUAAAAACUUAAUGACUAAGAGCCUACUGUUGACCAGGAGCCUUACCAAUAACAUAGUCAAUUAACACAUAUUUUGUAUGCUAUGUAUUGUAUACUGUAUUCUUACAAUAAAGUAAGGUAGAGAAAAUAAAAUGCUACUAAGAAAAUUGCAAGGAAGAGAAAAUAUAUUUACUAUUAGUUAAGUGGAAGUGGAUCAUCAUAAAGGUCUUCAUCCUGUUUGUCAUCACGUUGAGUAGGCCAUGGAGGAGGGGGCAUGGGAGGACUUGGUCUUACUGUCUCAGGGAUGGCAAAGGCAGAAGAAAAUCAGAAUAUAAGUUAAUCUUGCAACUCAAACUCAUGAUUUUCAAGGAUCAACUGUAAUUUCUUAGUAAUAAACCCUUUAGUCUCACAAGUGUCAUGAUUUGAACAACAAAUUGUAUGGUCACGUUGGUCACCCUAGGUAGAAAUUUGCUGAUUUCAGCAAAUUGGAAGUUACUGCAUGAUUGUCAGGAUCUGAGAAAGCAACUGAGAAGUAAUAGUUACAAUAAGUUACAAACCUUUUAGGACGGUGAACAUUUUAAGGCGUAUGUUUUCUCCAUGUGUCACAACCAACAGUAAACAAAGAUCAAAAUCAUGGUAGAAAAGCAGGAUUUAAUGGACAUCAGAGAAAUUGCAGAUCUGGAAUACAAGGCAAUAAAAAUUUACAACAAGGAAGUGGUAAGCCAGAGAGAGCUGCUUCAUGGUGGUAGGCCCAGGGGGAUUGGAGAGAGUGGUGCCAGAAAGUUGGAUAGAAAAGUUAAUGCAACAAUUAUAAAGAAGAUAAGAACGUAGUAUUUGAAAAUAAAUAUUUUAACAAGAUAAAUAUAAUACAAAAAAUGGAAUAAGAAAAAUACAUUAUUAUCGAAUAUUCUGUAUUGAGUUUUGGAAGUUUAUGUGUCUCCUUUUCUAAUGCCAUGAUUUUGCAAUGCAUUAUUGUUAGUAAUUUUUAGGUCUGCCUAUCCAAAUUAGGCUUUUGCAGCAUCUAACACCCUCCACCCUAGCUCACUUGGUGGGUGAGCCUCCAAUGACUACACCCAAGGAGGAUUUAACACAGGGAUUUUAUGACUUGCAACAAGUCAGGAGGACAUGGGGUUGGGGUAGUUCAGCAGUGCCUGUCUGAACAAAGGUGAAAAUUGGGCUUUUAUUGGGCUGAUCAAGGGGGAGUAAAGGCAGCCAGGAGCAGUCGCCUGUCAUGCUUCUACCUAUAUUGCAUGUAUAGAAAAGGGAAAAUAAACUCCUUCCUGGGCAGGGUUUUAGUAUGCUAAGGAGGGGAGUUAUUCAACUUCAAUCCAACUCAAGCAUCAGCAUUGCUGCGUCCAUCCCAGUUUUGUUUUGCUGGGGCUGAACUUCUUCCUAUAACUUUUUGAAACAACAAGAACUCAAGGUGUGACAGUUACAAGUGGGCCCUUUUUCACAGUGUGUACCUAAACACGUGAGGACCCUGGAUUACAGAAUGACAGACUCGAAGUGACUCAAGUUCCGGUUGUUCAUCUUUAGAUGGUAAAGAUGGCUGUACGUACUAUCCUUGCUUAUUUCCAAUCUAUUGUUUAAACUCUUGUAUAUGUAAUACCGCAGAGGCUAGAGAUACAACCUUUGACCAAAUGAGUGAAUUCAAGUAAUCCAUUACUAAUGUGAUCUGGAAACAAACAUGGUGUUGAAUGUGCAUAUGUCAGUUCUAUGUUGGGAGUUCACUAUAAGUAGGAGUUCUCUAAAAGCACUUCCACGUAGAAUGCAAUGAUUAUUUAAAAAUAAGUAAUAAAAAUGUGCAAAUUUAAAACAUGUAUAUGCUUUGAAUUAUAUAUAUAUAUAUGAAUUAUAUUUUACUAUGUAUACAAUGAAAACUGAACAGUAACCUCAGCUAUUGUAUAAAAGUGAAACCAACAAAAGAUUUUUUGGGGAGGAAGAUUAUUUUACUACUGACAUAAAGAAUUGCCAGGAAACAAUGACAGCAAACACAACCAACUUUUAGUUGCCAUUUAAGAAAAAUUCUUUCAGAUAAUGCAUUCCUUUAUUACUUGAACGGAGGGCAGACCACUCCGUCCAUUCUACCCUUGGCACACAUCACUUCCUAAACUGUCUUAUUGCUUUUAAUUGUAUAUUUUUUCCCUUAAUUUCAAUUAAAAUCUAUAAUUCAUUAGCUGUCAAAACCUGACCUGUUUGAAGUAGUAGCAAUUCAACAUUAAACCUCGACUAGUGUUGAAUAAUAUUUUGGGGCUUUGUGUUGUAUGCUACAGAGUGACCCCCCACAAGUUCCUUGCCCAUGUGUGGCUAGACAAUGGAAAUAGUUCCGUGCUUCAACAUGUUCCCCAAACACAUUCCACAGGAGAGCGCAUCCGAGCAUCAAUUCUUGUAAGACAACUGGGAAAUGAAGUCAUAAUUUGAGCUGAAGCAAGGAAGAUUAUUAAAUAUAUUUUCCAUGUGCUUUGAAAAUAUAUGCAAAGUAAAGCAAUCAGUGCUUGCCACUUUGUUUGUAUUCUAAAAGAAAGCUAGUUAAGGUUUUUCAUCAAACUGUAUUCUUCUUUAGGCUUAUAAAGUACCAUGAAGAGGAGGUAAAGAGAGAGUGGAUAUUUCAGUGGCUAAACCCAAAGUUUUUUAGCAUUUAGACUAUGGCACCCUCUAGAAAAGCAAUUUAAAAUGUGAAAAAAGAGAGGUCAGUUAAAAAAUAGAUUAGAUAGAUAGGUAGAUAGAUGGAUAACAGGUAGGUAGACAGAUGAUUGAUAAAGAGAUAGGCAGAUCAUAGAUAGAUAGAUAGAUAGAUAGAUAGAUAGAUAGAUAGAUAGAUAGAUAGAUAGCAUGAAGAUGGUUGAGGUGACUACACCCUAUGCUUCCUUCUGAAGUUUCGGGAAUAAUUGUUCAUUUUCCAAGUGACUGCUCAAUACAACAUUGCUCUGUUAGGUAAUUUAAUGACUGGUGUAAGUACAAAAAACAUUGCCAUCUGCUUUGUUUCUUUUGGCCUUAAUUAUAAUGUUAUCUUCUUUUCAGAGGCUAUAUUGUGAAACACUUAUUAUUCACCAUUAUUUCUGGCAGUGAUUAUAAUUUAUGACCAACAGUGCAGCACUGAAUAAUGUCUUGAUUGAUUGACUGAUUAAUGUAGAUUUUGUAGGUGAUAAGGGACAAAAAGCCUGAGAAGAUUUUCUGGAAAUGUAAAAGUAAUUUUAUUUUCUACUAUGUUUGAUGCCCAAAGAUCACUGUACUGAUAAUUUUAGUGAAUAAAGUGUCAACUAUAACAAGGAGCUUGUUUAUUCUAUCAACCAUGUGAUUUCAAAACUGGAGCUUGCUUUCACUUUUGAAAUUUUCCAUAAGCUAAAUCUAAUCCUCUAUAUUUACAACGAAAUUAAUUUUCUGAGUUAUUUAUUUUAGGAUAACUCUGAUCUUUUUCUUUUCUUUUUCUUUUUUUUUUUUUUUUUUUAAGAUGGAGUUUCACUCUUGUUGCCCAGACUGGAGUGCAGUGGCGCGAUCUUGGCUCACUGCAACCUCUGCCUCCCAGGUUCAAGCGAUUCUCCUGCCUCAGCCUCCCAAGAAGCAGGGAUUACAGGCAUGGGCCACCACGCCCAGCUAAUUUUUUUUUUGUAUUUUUAGUAGAGGCGAGGUUUCGCCAUGUUGGCCAGGCUGGUUUCCAACCCCUGACCACAGGUGAUCCGCCCGCCUCGGCCUCCCAAAGUGCUGGGAUUACAGGCGUGAGCCACCGUGCCCGGCAACCCUGAUCUUUUUCAAACUGCAAUUUAAAAUUUACUGAUCACACAGAACUGAAUUGAUUUUUAAUUGUCAUUCUGAAGAAGUAAUUAAACUUUAAUUACUACUUCUGAAAGAGAGGGUUUUUACUAGGACUUUUUCUGACAGGACAAUAAUUUCAUUUUUUGCAAUUUUUAUUUAUAAUUGGCAAAUAAUGAUUACAUAUGUUUAUGGGGUACAAUGUGAUGCUAUGUGUAUAUAUUGUUGAAUGAUUAGAUCAAACUAGUUAUCAUAUCCAUCACCUCACACACUAAUCAUUAUUUUGUAGUGAGAACACUUAAAAUCUGCACUGUUAGCAAUUUUGAAAUAUAUAUUAUUAUUAAUUAUGGUCACCAUGCUGUGCAAUAGAUCUCAAAAAUUAUUCCUCCUGUCUAACUGAAACUUUGUACCUUUUGAUUAACAUCUCUGUCUCAGCCUCUGGUAACCACCAUUCUACUCUCUACUUCUGUAAGUUUGAUUUUUUUAGAUUCCACAUAUAAGUGAAAUCAUAACAGUAUUUACUUAUCUUUCUCUACCUGGCUCAUUUCACUUAGCGUAACUUCCUCCAAGUUCAUUCAUGUUGUUGCAAAUGACAGAAUUUGCUUCUUUUUUUUAAGGCUGAACAGUGUAUAUAUACAUACAAAACAUUUCUUUAUCCAUUCAUUAACUGAUGAAUGGAGAUAAAUAUAUAUAAAACAUUUCUUCAUCCAUUGAUUAACUGAUGGACACUUAGGUUGGUUCCAUAUCUUGCCUGUUGUGAAUAAUACUUCAAGAACAUAGGAGAGUGGAUAUUUCUUUAACAGUUGAUUUCAAAUCCUUUGGAUAUGAACAUGGAAAUGAGAUUGGUGAAUUCUAGGGUAAUUCUAUUUUCAGUUCUUUGAGGCAUAUCUAUACUGUUUUCCCUAAUUGGCUAUACUAGUUUAUAUUCCUGCCAACUGUGUACAGGGGUUCCCUUUACUCCACAUUCUCGCCAACGUUCGUUAUCUUUUGUCUUUUUGAUGAUAGCCAUUCUAACAGGUAUGAGCUGAUAUCUCACUGUUGUUUUAAUUUUAAUUUCUCUGACAAUUAGUGAUAUUGAGCAUUUUUUCAUAAACUGGUUGACCAUUUGUAUAUCUACUUUCAAGAAAUGUCUAUUUAAAUUCUUUACCCAUUUUUUUAAAAAAUUCGAUUCUUUGUUUUCUGCUAUAAGAUUGUUUGAGUUCCUUAUAUAUUUUGGAUAUUCACUCCUUAUCAGAUGUGUGGUUUGCAAAUAUUUUCUCUCGCUCUGGGUUGUCUCUUCAGCACAGAAAUGGACAGUCGCACGUUACCACCUGUAUGAUCAUUAUUUUAAACACAAGCAGGAAAAGCUUUUGGGUUCCAAAGUUUCAGUCAUUAUGAUUGAAAAACUGCCAAACUGGUAGUGAAACAUUUAUUGGAUUGGGGAUUAAGCUAUUCAUUCUUUUCGCAUUAAAACAAUGAUGUAGUUUUAUUCGUAAAUCUAUAAAGUUAAGUGCACAGUCAUCACUUUUAGUACGUUCUGAUUCAUUGAAAUCCUGUAAAAUUUUAUGGAAAAAUCUGUGUAAACAAGCUUUAAAUAAGGCAAUAUUCCAAUACCAAAACUCGGGAUUUAGGCAUAGGUGCUAUAUUUACAAUUCUUAAGUAAUUUUCAUGUAUUUCACAUAUUUUUAAAACUCAUGUUACAAAAUAGCCUAAUUCUCUUUACUUUCUGUGUAUGAGGGAGGAAUUAACAUUUUGUAAUAUAAACCUCCCAAAAGUUAUUCAGAAUAUUUCUAAAAUAAACUGUUUUAGAUUCUUGGAGAAA